AUGCUUCACAUAAUCAUACACAUAUGUAUGUCAUGCCAAGAUAUAACAGAGUAAGCAAUUUAGGUAAGAAUAAUUUCAUAGAAAUAAUACAUGUGAGCCGGAACCCCUAUGGUAGUCUGUACGGCUAAAUUCAUAGCUCAAAAGUGACUCUAAGUGACUCUAGCCGGAGUCACUACUAUGACCUAUACGGCAAUAUACUGCAUAAGAGUCGGAACCAAACAAAAAGGUCUAUACGACAAUAAUGGGUGUAAUAUAAUCAUGCUCAAUACUACUCUCACAUAAUAGCUGGGCGAUAAAUCGCUAGUCACCUACGAGUCGGAACCAUAAAUAAGGUAUGUACGACAAGACUAUGCACCUAAAUUGGAUCCAAUAUGAGCAUAUGGUGCGGGAGGUGACAUAAUAAACAGGCUUGUAUCAUAUCUCUGGCUAAAUCAGAAUCACCCUAAGUGCAGUUUUAUGAGCUCAACAUUAUUCAAUCACAUAUCACAUCAUCAAUGAUUCAUAUAACCAAACAUGACUUACCUGGGCUUACCUGAGUGUCAGCACCACAAUUAUAUAUAUAACGUAUCGCAUACCAAAUCAUACUUGAAUUAUAAUUUAUAUGCAUGGCAUUUAUGGCAUACUAUCAUUUAAACACAUAUUUCUGGGAAAAUAUCAACUAUAUAAUAUAUACUGAAAACCAAAAGCCCACUCACUGGUAAGUCGAAGGGUUGUAGCCCCCGAGUCGCCCUUGGAUACGCUCGUCCUCAAGAUAAGUCUCACCUAUAUGCGAAUUAACUAUAAAAAAAGUUAUUUUAAAGCACAUAGGCAAAACUAGCUAAUAACUUCUCAUACAUAGCUCAAAAUGGGUAUAUGAAUAUACCACAGUGACCUACACAACCUCAAGAUCAUCCCCAAAUUUUUAGAAAUUUUUUUUGGACCCCUCACGCGCCGGCGAGUGCACGGCAAGACGCACGGCCACGCGCAGGGAAUCCUGACAGAUUCCCUAACUGCCGUUAGGAAUAUUUCUUGGAAUAUUCCGUUAAACCCAACGGUAACCGUCCAAACUAACUGACGGCGUCAGAAUAUUCCGUCCAAACUGAUGGAAUAUUCUAUCUUCGUCUUCGGCGAGUCGCCGGUCGUCGGAAAACUGGGUAAAACUUCAAAACGUCUAUUCUCACUCAUUUUUCAACCAUUUUCUUCGAAAUUUGAACCAAAUGAAAGCUUAGAGUGAGAAGUGGCGUUAUACCUAUUUCAAGCUUCAAAUCUCACGAAAUCGUGUCGGGGAAGCUUUGAAAUUCCAACCAAACCUGCAACUCGUCGUUUCUCGCAAUCCCGACGUCCAAAUUCCUCAAACGAACUACCCCCGAGACUCGUGAGGACCUCAUUAAGCUUCCUAUGAGCUUAGAUUUCCCUAAAACACAAGGUUUUACGUGAGUAUGGACAGUGCAUGAAAAUUGGGUUACGGGUUCACGAGUUUUCAAAGGAUUCCUUACCUGAAACUGGUACCAAACGAUUCAUAGCACCACGAGGAACACAAUGGUGCACUCAAAACCUUCGAUCUGCGAAGUUUGGGGUGUUCUUGCUCUUGUCCGUACGUAUAGUAAGGAGAGAGAGAGUGAUAGGAACAUAUUUAUGGGACUUAGUUGGCUUGUUUUUUGUGCAUUUAUGUCGUGUUUCCUUAGUUAUUUUAAUGUUUAAAGUCAUUUUCGUGUGUUUUCAGACUCUAAGUACAAAGUAUGCAAGAAGAUGCAUUUUGGAGGCCUUUGAAGCAUGUUUCGGGCUUGGAAUGGAUAGCAAAUGCAUGGGCCAAGUGGAUGGACGAAUUUGAGAACUAAAGAGGCCAAGAAUAUGAAGAAUUAUGGUCCAAAAGAUGAAGAAAACAGCCCAAAAAUCUGUCACCCCAACUUGCAUUCCUUGCCAUGCAAACCACAUAGAAUUCCCUUUGGAUUCCAUGCCAUGCUUGAUCACUCUUGUCCCCUACAUAAUUUCUAAUUUCAUGCUUCAAUUCAUUUAAUUAUUACACUCAAUUGCUUGAUACCUCUUGUUCCCUUCACUCAUUAGAUUUUAGACAACAUUUACAUCCAUUACAUGCACCAAUUGAUGCUCCAUCAUUCACAUUUGGAAUCCCAUGCCUUGUGUACCACAUGUUGCUGCACCUUUGACCCAUUUAUUGACACAUUUUCACCUCCCUUUCCAUCUCUAUGCAAUGCACACAAUCAUUCAUGCCCCCUAACUACAAGACCACUCCAUUUUACCCUUCACACUUUGCAUCAUCACUUCAUUUUCACCCUUGGACCAUUGCACACCACACACACAAAUUGCCAUGCAUUUCAUCCUUAACCUAACUUGAUUUUCUAAGGUUUUUGGGGCCUAUAAAUACAUGUUUACACCCCUUGGCCAAAGAAUAAUCCCCCAUAUUCAUCAUUUUAUCACAGAAAUUCGUCCAUACACACCCUAGGAAGCAAAACACCCCAAAAACACCAUUCUAGUGCCUAGAAAAACAUAACAGCCACUCCACCUUCUUCCACCCUCUUUUCCUAGUUCUCCACCACCUUCCAACCAUCAAACACUCUUCCACACUCACCCUAAACCCCUCCAUAUCAUUCCCCAUCCAUUCUACACCAUAAAUCCACCCAAAAAUCUGUCCACAAGCUUCAUGCCGCAACAAGGAGGAAGGGAGAUCCAUUGAUGCACUUGCUUUCCAAGUUGGAGCAUUUUAGGUGUUUUCUUUCCUUUGAUUUUAAUGUCUAAUUUUAUGUAUCUUUGUAUUGCAAGAAAUGAGGAACUAAACCCCCUUAGUUGGGGGGUGAUUCGAAACCAUGUACAUGCUUGCAAUAUGAUUUGAUUACAUCCAGUUGUGAUUCAUAAGUUGUGAAUUCAAUUUACUUAUCCGAUCGUAUAAAAAUGAUUUUGUGUAUGUUGGUUGAGAGUGCACGCUUAAUUUUCAUGCAUGAAUUUAACGCUAGAAUAUAAGGGAGUUUCACCUAAUCGUUAUGAACUUAUAUUCACAAGUAGUGAAGGUUGCUAGUCACAAUCACGUUAAGUAAAUUCUUGGCAUAAGUUUCAUGCAAAUCAUAGUAACGAGUGCCUCGUCAAUGCUUAUGUUUUUUCAUAGAACUUAAUGAUUCUUGCUUGUAUCUCUAUUAUGCAAUUCAUGUAGGGAACUUGUAGGGAAUGUUUUGGGUUGUCGUAUGCAAUCAUCCAAUCCAAUAACUUGUGGAAAAACUGAGGGUUAAUUAGUGCAAUUCACGGUUAAUUUGGGGCGUUGAGUAUUCAUAGCUUAUCGAAAAGGAACUGGAAAUCGUUUUGUAUGCAAGUGUGACAUGUGUGGAGAAGAACCUCCUAGCUAGCCUUCCAUCCAUAAGUUUCAUUCAAAUUCACUUACAAUCUGUUUUGUUUUACAAAGUUGUUUUGUUUUCAAAUUCAUCAAAACCAAACCCCCCCCAUUAUUAAAUUAUAUUAUUUAGUUAGUUUUCAUUGUUGUUAGUCUUUUAAUUCAAUUUCCGUCCAUUUCAGUUCCUAGUGUCUAAUUUGAUUGUUUUCAUUAUUUUGAGUCAUUCUAAGUGUGUUUCGAGUUAUUAGAGUUUUUAGCCUAGUUUUGUAUCCUUGAGUCUUGUUUAAUAUUUUUAAAUUAAUUUAGAAUAGAUUAGCAAUCCCUCCUAAUCCCCGGCCUAGAACGAUACCCUACUUACAUCUAUACUACAAUUGUCAAAAAGAGGGUUAAUUUGUGUGUUUAGUUAUUUUACGCAUCAAAUUUUGGCGCCGUUGCCGGGGAUUAGCAACUUUGCUAAUCUCUUGGAUUGUUUCUUUCGAAUUAUUGUAUUUUGUUUAAGUUUCUGUUUAAGUUGCUGAUUUGUUUUGUUUUCUUUGUUUUUAGGUACUAGUUUAUGACCCGUAGCUCACAACCUGUUCGUGAGCAUAUCUCCGACUUUGACGGUGAUUUUGAGAGGACUUUGAGAAGGAAAAAGAAAUUGCAAGAGUCUAAUCCUCCUAGUCCCGAGCCUGAAUUAGAAGAGCAAGAAGUUGAGGUUGAAGAGAAGGCCACGGCACAAGUGGGUGGAGAAGAGUAAGGUAUAGCCAUGGACAACCGUACGCUCAAGGAGCUUGCCGCAUCGGGUUUGGAUAAUGCCGCACCAUUGUGUGUAUCCAAUAUCCCAUGGCUGCUCAAGGUAAAACUGAAGAGUUCGAGUUAAAGUCAAGUUUGCUCCACCACAUUCCAAAGUUCCAUGGGCUGUCCAUGGAAGAUCCGAACAAACAUUUGAAGGAAUUUGAAGUGGUAUGCUCAAGUAUGACUCCAGUUACCGUUGACGGAAGUAUUUUAAAGAUGAAGGCUUUUCCAUUCUCUUUAAUGGACAAAGCCAAUGAUUGGUUAUACGAGUUGGCUCCCGGUACAGUUACAUCUUGGGAGAGUAUGAAGAGGGCGUUUCUGGAGAAGUUUUUCCCAACUUCUCGCAUCAUUCUUCUUCGUAAAAAAAUAAGUGGAAUUCAGCAAAGCCAAGGUGAAUCUCUUCCAUCUUAUUAUGAACGAUUUAAAUCACUUGUUGCUUCUUGUCCACAGCAUCAGAUGAAGGAGGAGUUACUUCUUCAAUACUUUUACGAAGGUCUUUUACCACUUGAACGGCAAAUGUUGGAUGCUUCCGCGGGAGGAGCUCUAGUGGAUAAGACACCUAGGGAUGCCAAAACUCUCAUUGCAAAUCGAGCACUCAAUGCACAACAAUAUGAAGGUGUUGGGCAAAGAGACACCCCACGGCCACAUCAUGUCAAUGAGGUAAGUUCUAUUUCUGAGUUACAAUCCCAAAUGGCUAACCUUACGUCUAUGUUAUCGCAGUUGGUUGAAGGCCCCAAAAACGCAAGAAACUACAAUCUGUGGUGUAUGCUCCAUUCAAGGACACCAAUCUGAUCAAUGCCCUAAAUUAAUUGAGAAUGGAGGAUGGGAAUCGGCCAAUGCUGUGGGUUAUGGGAAUCAAAACCAACCAAGGAAUGAUCCUUUCUCCAAUACAUACAACCCGGGAUGGCGUGACCACCCCAAUUUCAGAUGGAGAGAUGCACCACAAUAUGGCCAACAAAGUGGAUUCCAACAACCCCGGGUUUCUUUCCAAGGCCAAUGGAACCACAACCACCUCCUCAGGCACAAUCUUCCCAAACUAACCCAGGUACGUCUAUGAAUGAUGAUAAAACAUAUCAGUUACUAACCACCAUGGCGCAGGGAAUGCAGAACCAAGCAAAGGAGAGUUAAUGAGCUGAAGAAGCAAAUGGGCCAAAUGGCCGAAUUUUUGGGGCAAUUCCGUGAAAAUGGUAAGUUACCAAGCACUACGGUGGUCAAUCCAAAGGGUGGCUUCGAAUCUGCAAAGGCUAUCACAUUACGAAGUGGAAAGAGGGUGAGAAACAAGGAAGAUGAGAAGAUUACAACUCGAAGAAGAUGAGAACACCUACCCCACGGCAAGGGUGCCAUCACCCAUGCCGCAGCCAUCUAAGACAUCCCAUCCGUCCACCUCAGGUAAGAAUGUUCCAAAUGUUGUGAUUUCGAACACUAAUCUGCCCAAUGUCCCCUUUCCUAGCAGAUUUUGCGCAAUCAAAGAACGAAGAGGAGGAAAAAGAUGUUCUAGAGACAUUUAGAAAGGUGCAUGUCAACAUUCCCCUCCUUGAUGCCAUAAAGCAAAAUCCCGAAGUAUGCCAAGUGUUUAAAGAAGCUUUGUACAACAAAGAAACGUGUCCGGGAGAAAGAGGUGGUACAUGUACGUGAGAAUGUCUCCGCCAUCUUGCAACAUAAACUACCCCCCAAAUGCAAAGACCCGGAAGUUUUACAAUUCCAUGUGUCAUUGGUAAUACCCGUUUCAAAUCUACCAUGCUAGAUUUAGGAGCAUCUAUUAAUGUUAUGCCAUAUUCUGUGUAUGCAUCUAUGAAUCUAGGAGCACUUAAACAUGAUGGUGUAAUCAUACAAUUGGCCGAUAGAUCUAACGCUUAUCCAAAGGGAGUUUUGGAAGACGUUUUAGUGCAGGUUGAUCAUUUAGUCUUCCCAGCGGAUUUCUAUGUCCUCGAAAUGGAUGAAUCAGACCAUGCCCCUUCAUUGCCCAUCCUCCUUGGAAGGCCAUUCAUGAAAACGGCUCAAACGAAGAUUGACGUGGCCAAAGGAUUAGUCACUAUGGCAUUUGGUGGUGACAUGAUUAGUUUUAAAAUUUCUGAAUCCAUUGAGACUCCUAAUAUUGUUCAUUCUUUUGUGCCAUUGGUAAAAUUGAAAAGAUAAGGACCGGACCAUUCAGCACCAAGCACGAAGGAUGCAUCAGAACAUUGCAAGACGAGGGAAUUGGAGUGGAGUACAAGGACCAUACGGCCACUGCCCUCAAAAUGCUCAAAGUGGCCGAAAGCACCAUGGGGAAGAAUGUUCACAUUGCUGCCACUUCAUCACAUCACAUAGGUAAGCCACCUAAUCCAAAUCCAAUGCCAUUUAAAGUUGAUAGGUGGUUCCCUUCUUUGGUGCAGGUACCUAAGCAAAUCCCCGAUGGUGGGCGUAUGAACAUGAACCUUAGACAACACAACGCACCCAUCAACAAACAUCACUAUCCAUUUCCGUUCAAGGAUGUAAUCUAUGAGAACUUUGUGGAGCAUGUUGUGGAGGAUAUCCCACUGCAUGCCGUGGGUUCCAAGGAGAAGUGAAGGUGUUCAUCGUUCGGCUGGAAGACGUUAAAGCAAGCGCUUUAAGGGAGGCAACCCAUUUAUUCUGCUUGAUUGUCAAUUUUAUUACUUGUUUAAUUAUUUUUGGUUAUGAUUUUCUAUUUUGAAAUAUUAACAAAUAUGCAAGGGAUUUUUGACAUUAAACUUCAUGAAAUGAACAGGAAUCUGGGAAAUAAAGAAACAUAACAUAAUACAAGAGGAAGAGCUUUCACAAAGGCUGCUUGGGCGGAGUUGCAGUAGUCGGCGGAGUCGCAGUAGUUGGCGGAGUCUCAGCAGUCGGUGGGGCCACGGAAGGAGGAGGUAUCAGAGGUUGAUCAGAUCAGUUGGAGCUUCACUGCGCGGUGCCGCCCCAGAAUUAAGGCAGAUGCUGUUGGAACAAACCCACAAACCUUCGGUGAUCAAGUAAAAUCUGACGAUCAGUUUCCUGCAGCUGGUCAAUUUUCCUCUUCAUGUUUGUGGCAUAACUGUGUGCAAGCUUAUGCAAUUGUUUAUUUUCAUGCUUGAGUCCUCUAAUCUCCUCUUUGAGACUCUGUAUUUCAGCCACCAACGAUUCAACAUGACGGGUUCGAGCAAAUAGGCGUUGGGCCAUGUUGGACACAGAACCCGCACACUGCACGCUAAGAGCCAGAGACUCCUAACGCCAAUUCAUCAGACCGUCUAGCGAGCAGUCUGUUAUCUCUGGGGGUGACAAGGUUCCGGGCCACCACCGCAGCGGUCAUGUCAUUUUUCAUCACCGAAUCCCCAACGGUGAGGGAACCGGUAGGGGAUAUGAAGGAUGGGCGCCAUAUGUUGUCUGGUGAAGGCGGAGCUGCCUCUUCACCAAUGUUCAAGUCAAAACGACGAUCGGAAGGGCCAGACAUUUUUCAGAGGUGGUGAAGAAAGAAGAGAGUCGGACUGAUUAAGAUUUUGGAAGUGCAAGAAGGGAGUGUUUACAGGAGGGAGCUCAAGUGUGUUGUGGAACAAAAUUAACGCCUCUAUAAAAAAGAAAUCAAAAGAGGCGCUCCUCAGAAAUCGAAGAAGCGUCCUCUCGCAAAUCGAAGAGUCGAGAGGGAUUCUUUCUCAAAAAGAGGCGUUUCAUUUCUCAAAAAAUGGGCUUGCUCAGAAACCACGAGCCGAACCCCGGAUUUCAAAAGAUCAAUUUGUCCAGACGUGUCGUCACUCGUCACAUGCAACUUGCAGCUUUGCGGAAAUUACGGGCAGCUUUGUCAGAAAGCGCGUAAUUUGUACUAUUCAUCCAUCCACCGGCUGCCGACAAUGAGUGAGAGAAUAGUUCCGGUUGUGAAGAAAAGCCCUAUAAGUAUCUACCUUCGCUUUCCACAGCAAAGGCACACCCUCUCAGCACUUCUUCAUCUCUCUGAAAUGGCUUUCCAACAAACCCUCUCGAGUCACUCAGUGUUCCUUAUUCCCUGGGAUACCCCUGCAAACAACCCAUCCAGAGCACAAGUAUUUCAUAUCAUAAAGGUUGAGAGCACGAGUAUCUCAUAUCAUGCUUUCUCCAUGUCCUUUCUCCAGCCAGCACCUGCUCUCGAGUACUCAUCAUCUUAUGUUUCCGCUUCGUCUCUCACGCAUAAGGGAAGUGAAGAUGAUACCUCGAAGCAUGUGGAGACAACGUGCUGAUUCAUCCUCAACUAGGGACAAGGAGAAAGAGAGCAAGAGGUGGGGGCACUUGGAAAGAUUGAAGAAAGAAACAGACCAACACCUUUGCCUCGUGCCUGCCCACCGUGCAGAAGAAACAAGCAGAGAAGAAUGCAGACUGCACUCUGAUAUUCCCCGCUCAGAAUUCCAAACCAGUUCAAGAUCAAAGCUGUGGAAAGUCAACAAGAUCAACUAUCUCCAAAACCAGAUUUGCGUUCUUAAACUCUACUCUGUCUGGUUUUUACUUUGCCAUAUUUGUCAUGUUUAUUUGUCGUUUGUUAUUUGCUUGUUUUUGGUGUGAGUAUAUGCUUGAAACAUUGAGGACAAUAUUUGAUUUAAGUGUGGGGGGGUAACUAGUGUUUUGCAUAAAAUUCGAAGAAAAUUAUCACCCAUUAUUUCUAGUGUUGUUCCUUACUGUUUUAAGUAUUUUUUUUAAGUUGUUUUGGAGUAUUCAGUGUGUUUUGACAUAAAAAUCCGAAAAUUCAUAAAAAUUUGAAAAAUUGUUUUUGAAAAUCCCAAAAAGAGUUGUUUUUGUGUGCUUAUUUGUGUCUUAGGGUACCUUCCAACACAAUGAUGAAGAUUCAGUUUGUAAUUGCAUGACUGUUAAAGAGAGUUAUAAACAUGGAUGAAAGUUUGAUUUACUCUUUAUUUAUGCAUGAUUGUGGUUAUAACUUAUGAAAUCACAUGUAAUCAUAAAAGAAAAAAAAAUAAUUUUUUUUGUAACAUGCUUGAAGGAAAGAACUCAAACUAACGCUACAACCUUGUGAGACUUGAGCCUAAAUGUUUAUUUGGAGAGUUAAAAUCUGUGCAUUAUUGUUUUCUAAAGUCGUUGCAUGAUCUCAUUAUUCUUUGCUUGGUUAUUACUUAGAAGGCGUUUCAUCAUUUAGUUCCAAAUGCUAGAACUCAUGCCUAUUUCAUUCAAAGCAUGCUAUUGAUUUGCAUAACACAUAUUCAAGAUGAAGUUGUGUAGUUACCACCACCAAAGCCAAACUGCCAUGUAUCCCAUAUUGUUAUAUGUUUAAGUUAACCCCAUUGAGCCUUGAUAGCCUACAUUCUUUGUUAAACCACAUUAUCCUUACCUAUCCUAGUUUAGGACCAUCCACCCUUGUUCUUGAAGCAUAGUGAAGUAUGAGUCAAAUUGAAUUCCUUUUGAUUAAUGUAUGGCAGAAAACAAGUGUGGGGGAAGUGAUUCUUGUGUGUGUGUGUAUGCCAAAAUCAUUCAUAAGGCACGAGUAGAAAAGAAAGAUUCGUGAAAAAUAGAAUGAAAAGAAGAUGAAAAGAAAAGGAGUUGAAAAAUAUGUGAAAAAGAGUUUUAAAGUGUUGCUUGUUGAAGAAAGGGUCCAAAACAUUGAAUUCGGCCCUAAAUAUUGCUUGAAUCUUCCCUUCGUGUUUAAAAGUUGAUUACUGCAAUCUAAGUGAAUUCUAAGUUUCCAUUUCAUUACUUUUCUUGCUAUUGCUUUAAGAACGUUUGUUAUCCCUAUCCUUCAUUUGUUAGCCAACACCCCAAGCCCGUUACAACCUUUGACUUCAAUCUUGAGUGUUAUGCGUUUCAAUUUGUGGAGUUUGAAUUUGGUAUGAGCAUAUGGUGUCACUGGUUCUCGCGUCUAAGUAAUAGCAUUCCAUUCAUGAGAUCAUAUCUAAACAUGGUUAUUAACUCCAGAAAUUGCUUUCUUUGUGAUACAUAUAUGUGAGCAUUCGUUUUCAUAUCUACAUCAAUCUUCUCACAUAUAACUAGUAUAGGGUGUGUAGUUGGAAAAUCUGAGUGAAAAUUGAGUGCAUAUCUUGUAAGGAAUUGAGCGAAUUCUCUAAGGCAUGUUACUACAUCAAAAACAUUGUUUUAAUUGAUUAAUUGUGAACUAGUAAGUGGUGACUAUGAUUAAGUAUGUGCUUAAGUGUAAAGAUGACUCAAAUCUGUGGGGAUAAUGAUUUUUAACAUGUCAUGUGCAUUGGAAAUCCUUGAGGCAAAUGUUGGAAGGUUUAGGUUGUGUUUUAUUUGUUUUGUUUCGUUUUAUUUCUUUGUUUUGCUCGAGGACUAGCAAAAGCUAAGUGUGGGGGAAUUUGAUAGGAGCAUAUUUAUGCGACUUAGUUGGCUUGUUCUUGUGCAUUUAUGUCGUGUUUCCUUAGUUAUUUUAAUGUUUAAAGUCAUUUUCGUGUGUUUUCAGACUCUAAGUACAAAGUAUGCAAGAAGAUGCAUUUUGGAGGCCUUUGGAGCAUGUUUCGAGCUUGGAAUGGAUAGCAAAUGCAUGGGCCAAGUGGAUGGACGAAUUUGAGAACUAAAGAGGCCACGAAUAUGAAGAAUUAUGGUCCAAAAGAUAAAGAAAACAGCCCAAAAAUCUGUCACCCCAACUUGCAUUCCUUGCCAUGCAAACCACAUAGAAUUCCCUUUGGAUUCCAUGCCAUGCUUGAUCACUCUUGUCCCCUACAUAAUUUCUAAUUUCAUGCUUCAAUUCAUUUAAUUAUUACACUCAAUUGCUUGAUACCUCUUGUUCCCUUCACUCAUUAGAUUUUAGACAACAUUUACAUCCAUUACAUGCACCAAUUGAUGCUCCAUCAUUCACAUUUGGAAUCCCAUGCCUUGUGUACCACAUGUUGCUGCACCUUUGACCCAUUUAUUGACACAUUUUCACCUCCCUUUCCAUCUCUAUGCAAUGUACACAAUCAUUCAUGCCCCCUAGCUACAAGACCACUCCAUUUUACCCUUCACACUUUGCAUCAUCACUUCAUUUUCACCCUUGGACCAUUGCACACCACACACACAAAUUGCCAUGCAUUUCAUCCUUAACCUAACUUGAUUUUCUAAGGUUUUUGGGGCCUAUAAAUACAUGUUUACACCCCUUGGCCAAAGAAUAAUCCCCCAUAUUCAUUAUUUUAUCACGGAAAUUCGUCCAUACACACCCUAGGAAGCAAAACACCCCAAAAACACCAUUCUAGUGCCUAGAAAACAUAACAGCCACUCCACCUUCUUCCACCCUCUUUUCCUAGUUCUCCACCACCUUCCAACCAUCAAACACUCUUCCACACUCACCCUAAACCCCUCCAUAUCAUUCCCCAUCCAUUCUACACCAUAAAUCCACCCAAAAAUCUGUCCACAAGCUUCAUGCCGCAACAAGGAGGAAGGGAGAUCCAUUGAUGCACUUGCUUUCCAAGUUGGAGCAUUUUAGGUGUUUUCUUUCCUUUGAUUUUAAUGUCUAAUUUUAUGUAUCUUUGUAUUGCAAGAAUGAGGAACUAAACCCCCUUAGUUGGGGGGUGAUUCGAAACCAUGUACAUGCUUGCAAUAUGAUUUGAUUACAUCCAGUUGUGAUUCAUAAGUUGUGAAUUCAAUUUACUUAUCCGAUCGUAUAAAAAAUGAUUUGUGUAUGUUGGUUGAGAGUGCACGCUUAAUUUUCAUGCAUGAAUUUAACGCUAGAAUAUAAGGGAGUUUCACCUAAUCGUUAUGAACUUAUAUUCACAAGUAGUGAAGGUUGCUAGUCACAAUCACGUUAAGUAAAUUCUUGGCAUAAGUUUCAUGCAAAUCAUAGUAACGAGUGCAUCGUCAAUGCUUAUGUUUUUCAUAGAACUUAAUGAUUCUUGCUUGUAUCUCUAUUAUGCAAUUCAUGUAGGGAACUUGUAGGGAAUGUUUUGGGUUGUCGUAUGCAAUCAUCCAAUCCAAUAACUUGUGGAAAAACUGAGGGUUAAUUAGUGCAAUUCACGGUUAAUUUGGGGCGUUGAGUAUUCAUAGCUUAUCGAAAAGGAAUUGGAAAUCGUUUUGUAUGCAAGUGUGACAUGUGUGGAGAAGAACCUCCUAGCUAGCCUUCCAUCCAUAAGUUUCAUUCAAAUUCACUUACAAUCUGUUUUGUUUUACAAAGUUGUUUUGUUUUCAAAUUCAUCAAAACCAAACCCCCCCAUUAUUAAAUUAUAUUAUUUAGUUAGUUUUCAUUGUUGUUAGUCUUUUAAUUCAAUUUCCGUCCAUUUCAGUUCCUAGUGUCUAAUUUGAUUGUUUUCAUUAUUUUGAGUCAUUCUAAGUGUGUUUCGAGUUAUUAGAGUUUUUAGCCUAGUUUUGUGUCCUUGAGUCUUGUUUAAUAUUUUUAAAUUAAUUUAGAAUAGAUUAGCAAUCCCUCCUAAUCCCCGGCCUAGAACGAUACCCUACUUACAUCUAUACUACAAUUGUCAAAAAGAGGGUUAAUUUGUGUGUUUAGUUAUUUUACGCAUCAGAGAGUGAAACCGAGAGAAAGAGUACGGGGAGGAAGAGAAAGAAGGAUAAUGUGUGUGUGUGUGUGUGUGGUCCACGUGGGUCACCAAAUCAAAACCACCAAAAAUCAACAUCUAAGUCUCCAAAAUAAGUCACACACACGGACCACAAGAUUCAUCGUCCCUGGUUAAAAUCAUCAUUUUACGUCACUGAGAAUAAAAUAAUACAUAUUUCUAGGACGGGCUGUGACAUGACAGUUGACAUGUGUAAACAAGCUUACUAAGUGAAUAAACUGAUUUUUUUUUUUUUUUGCUCGCUUCCUGCUCUGUUACUAUCUAAAAAAACUUAUAUUUAAUAUUAAGAAACGCUGAAAGAUUCAAAUCAUGGAUCCAUCACUGUAAACUUAUCAAAUUUCUUCAGAUGAAAUUUUAACAUUAGAUAAUAUGUAUGUUAUUAGACUAGUCGAUCAUGCAUCCGGUUCAAACGAGUGAUUUCAAUUAAAUUUAGUGAUUCAGUUAGUAUUGGAUAGUCAAAAUCACUUAUGUAAACGAUUCAUCCCAGAUCUAUCUAUUCUCAAAAUCAUUUUCGAUCAGCAUAUCUUGUUAUUAAUUUCAAAUGUACUCUUAAUCUUAUUGUCAAAUUGAAAUUUUUUUUUAUAUAAUUCAAUCCAUAUGGAUUGUUACUAUUUUUUUCCGGCGAUAGGAUUUUAUUGAUGAUUAAAGAGCAUGAUAAUUUUUGAGAAGAAUAUCCUGAAUAAUGUUAUUAGGUUCGUUACACCAACUGGAAUCGAGUCUCGGAUUAUGCAUAUAUUAGUCUCUCUGUUAAGGCUUUAAACACUUGCUGAUGUGGAGUAGUUGAGGCCAUUGGACCCCAAGUCCCAACCCUAAAGGCUAAAACACAGGAGGAUUUACUUAAUUAAUUGUCUCAUCGCAUGGCAUGUACUUUUCAAGUUUCAACCUACGGACAGACAAACACGCACACGAGCUUGUUAAGUUCUUGUUUCUUAAACGUUCGUAUGGAUGGCUGCUGCGAAGAGGUGCAUAGAUUUUGCUUUAGUCCUCGAUCAUGAAUCAUCCAUUCGAUCAAUGGUACGAAAUACGAUUAACUAUAUAAAAUUAUGCUUAUUCUUUUUGGUUUUUUCUCUUGAUUGACAUCAAUUUCGACGUCAUUUAUAUGAAUCAGAGUCCCAAAUAUUUCAAGGAAAAUUAUUUGGAAAAUUAUUUUAAUCAGAAAACUGAUUUGGAUGCAUGUUUUGUUUCCCAUGUAUUUGGGAGCAUCAAUCAAAUUCAAACUUGGAUUAGGAAAUGCCUUCUGAAACAAUUAAAGGAAAUGCUGCUGCUAAUUUAAUUUGUUCUUCGGGGUAGAUUAGGGGCAUGUUUGAGAUACGACUGCAUUUGGUAGAAAAACAUAUAAAUUUAGGUCUUUCUCUUUCAAGUGCUUUUCCAGGAAGCACAGCUGAAGUGCUGCUUCUAAUAAAAGCGCUUAUGAGGAGAAUUGCUUCUUUAAUGGUUGAAUAAUGUACGUCAAGCAUUCUGAAUUUGAUAUGUAGGUGUUCGAUAUCUGAUACAUGUUAUGUUGCCAAUACAAUGGAAUUCCAUUUCCUUGUCCGUGAUGAUUCAUUUUUGCUUGCAAUUUGGAUAUAGGUUUUACGAGCUUGUAGCUGAAGCCAUCACUGGUCGUUCAAGUAGAUUUAGGAGGUGAAUUUUACCAUGGGAAAGAAUUUGAGAGACAAAAACCCUAACAAUCCAUCAGGGAAUGAGCAUUCAUCAGGGUGCGUUUGGGGAUUACUUCACAUCAUGAAGUAUCACCACUGGCAUUAUGUCAAGAAAAGACAAGUGCACAAGAGGCGCCGCGGUAAUAGACACACUGUCGGUAAGUAAAAUGACUCCAGUCUAUAUUAUAUGAAAGUUUUUCUCCCUGCUUUCUCUUUCAUUAAAGUUUAAUCUUAGCCACUUAGGCCAUAUACGCAAAUUUUGUGCAUAAAAUCGAUCUAUGUGCAUAAGAAUCGGUCUUGUUUACUGCACUGGUAGCCUAAAUUUCGUUCACUUUUGUAAGUAGUUCAAUAGACUGGCUGGAGCUUAUGACCAUGCCAUGAUAUGUGAUGUAAAAUAAUAUUACAGUUUAUUUAUGUUGGACUUUUUUUUUUUCUUUCUGUCUGCUUGGCCGCAGGAGUUGGGAUUCUGGGAAGCUGUACUGCAAAUGCCUGUACGCCAGAAGACACAGAUGCUAAGAUUGAUGAAUCUACUGUAAGUUUCAGCAAAAGAAUUUCUGAUAGCAUGCAUUUUAGUGCAUUAUUGGAUAUUAAUUUCUUUUCGUUUUCAAAAAUAUUACUUGAAAGAGUGAUAGACAAAAGCAACAUUUGAUUUGAUUUUAUCAGGGUAAAGGAAAGACGAUGCAGUCCAUUCCAGCAGGCAUACAUUCUGUCAAGGCCCGAAUAAAAGCACGGAUUUCUGGAGAAAUAUCAAAGAAGAAGGGUAGGCUUAACCGGAGUUCAAGCUGCCCUGUACGAUCACAAUUGAAACAGCAUCAUUUCGAAGCACCACCUAACCUGCACCCGAUUGCUGAAAUGGUAUUGAAUGAGAAAAGUCCUAGAAUUGCUCACCACGGCAAUGAAAAAUCUUGUGCUACAAGCAAUCUGGCAUCACCGCCCAUGACAUCAUAUGAAGGACCAAUUAGUGACAACAAUGAUUGUUGUGGAGAUAGUUGCCCACCAAUCACUAGAGAUCGUACCGUGCAUGACCAGGUUAACGAGAAUCAAAAGGAUCACACAUUUACUGAAGAAAAGCUGGAUAAUGACAUAAUGCAAAAUAUGUUCAAGAAGAAGUUGAUAAACGUAAAAGAACUCGAUGCAGAUGCUUCCUUGCACCAUCCGAAGGAGUAUUUGGAGGCUUUGGAUAUAAUCAAUGUGAACAAGGAGUUAUUAGUAAAGAUUUUACAUGACCCCGGCUCUCCUUUGGCUGUGCACUUCAAUAAUCAGCAAGCCGUCAGUGCAAAAAUGGGUUUAACUAGGUCAGACUCAUUCCCCGUCAAACUCAGGCACAAGCAUGAGUUGACAGGGUCUCCUUUAAAAGAAGAAAGCAAGUCGAAAAACAUCAGUAAAACAAAGAAGUUAGUAGGGUCGUCUUCUUUGAAAUAUGCUGGUGAACGCUCAAUUCCAUCGAUCAGUGAGCACACUGCAGAUGGGAUUCUAGAGGUAAACCAAACAAUUGCUGAUAGUUCUAGUUCUGCUGAAAAUUGAGGAGCCGAGGUGAGAAUCAAGUGUCAAUUAAGCGGUUCAAGGAUAUUAGACAGAAAAUAAAGCAUGUAAUCAAGGAGAGCAGACAAGAGAGACAUAUGAUCGCCAUGGAUGCCAUCCUCCACAAGGUUCCUCAUGGCCAAAAGCUUGCUAAAGAAAUGGAGAAAGAGAUCAUUAACCAUUCGAAGGACCUUGCAAUGAAUAGAGAAGGUAAAGACAGUUCAGCAAGCAGUUUUGAUAGCGAUUAUUCGAUUUCUACCUUCAAGAAAAAGCAACAACGCCACAUGAGAAGAGCAUCAUCACUCAAUGCAUCGCUAGAUAAGUACUGUGAGUUUUACGAGUCUAGUUGCAACAGAGAAGCCAAAUGCCAUACAACAUCCGAGAGAUUGAAGUUGAGAAAUGAAGGGGUAGGCUCGCCUUUACGCUCUGUCCCAAAAACGUUGGGGAGGAUUUUUUCCUUGCCUGAAAUGAAAUCAUAUAACUAUCAGAGUGAGGAAUCUUCUGAUGUGUUCUCUUCAGAAUAUCAUAUGCAGCUCGAUGCGCCAGUAGAAAGUGAGAUUAAAAAAUUGGCUGAUGUUGGUGAAUUGAAGGCAGCUUCCGGGAAUAAGAUGGCAUCAACAUCAGUUGCAGACAGUGAGAAAAGUGCUCCAGUGUAUUCAAUUGUUGACGAUAUUGAAAACUUGAAAGAACCGUUUCCUAUCUCUGUGCCCGAGUUCAACGUUUCCCUCUCCGAAGGUAUGUCUUCAUUUUUAUUAAUAGGUGCUACCUUAAAUUACAUCAUCUCAAACCAAGUGCAUGCACUCUUCAAAACUUUAAUUUCUUGUUUGCUCUAAGAAACUUUAUGUUCAAUGAACCUUUAAGUCCAGAAAUUAUCAGAUUUUUUAGCUUCAAAUUUUGGCACUUACUGAUCAAACCAACUUUUGACUGAAGAAUAAAGAUCAUCCCAACUUUUUUCAGUGUAAAAAAUGAAUUAUGUUUCAAAUUUAAGUCGUUCUUCGUAUUUUCCUCCAUCAAUCACCAAUUGUUGAGCUUUUAAGACUGAAACGAUUAUGCUUAUAGAUAUCGGUUUUAUAGGAGAAGAAACGGAAAUAAAACCUAGAGAUGAACAAGAAAACUUGGCCAAGCCAGGGCAUGAUUUUGUUAUUGGUACGCCUAAGGCGGUUCACAUAGAUACAGAGAAGAUUGAAGUCCAAGGAAGCACUUGAGGUACGACAUGACUCAUCUCCGUGUUGAUGACAGAGACAUGGCUGAAUUCAAUUACGUACGAAAUGUGUUGAAGCAAUCUGGAUUCAAUGGGAAUGAGUCCCUUGGGACAUGGCAUUCGGAUGACCAGCCAGUUGAUCGUUUGAUGUAUGGAGACGCGGAGGGCUGCUUGGUGCAUGGUCUUGAUUGUUCAGGAAAUGAAGAAGGCAGGAAAUGCGAUCACUAUCUUUUGUUUGAUAUAAUCAAUGAGGUGCUGAUGGAGAUAUAUGGUAGGUCAUACAACUACUGUCCGAUGGCGUUGUCUUCGCUAUGUCACAUUCCUCUAAUGCCGGCAGGGAACCAUGUUCUAAAGGAAGUUUGGACCCUUGUGAGUUGGUACUUGAGCUUGAGACCUGAGGUUGAUCAAUCACUGGAUUAUGUUGCGAGCAGGGAUCUUGCGAAGAACGACGGAUGGAUGAACCUCCAGUUUGAUUCUGAGUGCAUAGGGAUUGAGCUGGAGGACUUAAUUUUUGAUGAAAUUUUAGAGGAAGUUCUCUGUGUUUGAGCUUGUGGAUGGAUCGGCUUUCAGUUAUCCGAUACGUUGCCAAAUCUGACAAGACGAUAUAUGUUCUAAACUAGUUUAACCUGCAGGGAAGUAGAAUCCGAAAGUGGGUGCAAAUGAUCGAGCACUCGGCCCUAGUCAAUUGGCCUAACCCACAUCUACAUGUAAUAUCAUUACUCUGAACUUCACCAAGAACAUAGAGAAAAGGAUUAGGAACAGAGAGAAUUAUUUUGUUCAUAUUCAUAUUGUUGUGCCUUGGUCCGUUCAUUAGUGCGGAAACAAGAUUCAGAUUACAACCUCACCAAAAUCACACUCGGUUGAACAGAAUAAAAUACAAGAAAUAAAGACACCGAGAAAUUUACGAGGUUCGGCAAAAAAUCAUGCCUACGUCCCCGGAGAGAUAUUGCUCUUCACUAUGAGAAUAACAGUACAAGUACACAUGAGUUAAAUCAACAUAACCCAAUCCCAAAUCCCUUGCACACCCACUCAUAGAAUUUUCCCAAGAGCCUCACUCUACCCCAAGAGUUCUUUCACUAGAAUACUUUUCACUCUAGCUCUCUUGAUUUUUCUCUCCCCCAUGCCCAUGCUUUCCCAUGGGAGAGCCGAAUGCUCUCCCCCUUUGGAUGCUCUCUCUCUCUGAUGUCUUCUCAGGAGAGAGCCGAAUGCUCUCUUUCUCUUUUUCUCCACUUCGGCUCUUUGCAAUUAAAUGGACAGAAAAGUGAGUCAACUUCUCAUUUUUUUCAUAGACACAAUGAUGAUCCAUCAUGCUCCCUUUUCUCAAAACACAAAACCACUUUCGGCAUGCAAAUGGGAAAUGAAUAAAAAAUGCCAAAACAAAGGAAUCCCAUGAAACAUCAUCAUUGUCUUCCACUAUUAGCCAAAAUGAGAUAUGGACAUAUUUGGCCACUAUUCCGAAAGCAUAACACACAGAGUCAUUUAAUUGUUAACAGCUCAAAAUAUGAGCCAAUCACAACAAUCUCCACCUUGGCGAAUAUACUGUGCAAAAAAUCCUUGCACCCAUCACCAAAGUCCAUUGGCCUUACGUACCAGUAUACACACUCUGAAUCAACCUUUUUGGUCCUGUUUCGAUUCAGUCACUGCCAAUGCAUGUGCAGCUGCUGCAAGCUAAAAAUCACCAUUUAGCUUCAGACAGUAUCUCGACACAUCCUCGUCUCCUCCAGCAGGUUUUCCUCCUUUUCAUUGUCUGCAACCUGGAAACUCGUCAGCGCGCCCGUUUGCAACAACAACCCAUCGAGCCAGACAAAAUUCCCACACUUUCUCCUACCUCAGGACCAUCUCAUCACAUGUGAAUCCCAUAGCUCCACCUGCUGUAAAACCCCUGCAACACUUGAGACUAAACAUCACCUGGAGAAGUGUUGCUUCGAGUACCUAGAGGACAUACUCAAAGUCUUCCGUCACAAACUUGCUACAACCCGGCCUUGCACUCGUAGCACUGUGGACCCUUGCCUCCGAAACCGGAUCUGAACCUGCUGUCUCUCUCAGAUCCUCUUUUCAAUUUUCUUCCACGAUUCCAACCUUUAAUAACUUAAGCAGUCUUGUGCCCACCAUCAUCCAUGGUCUCCUUUGUGUAUCAUUCAACACCAAAGAAGCUUGCACCUGCUCCAAACUUACUGUAACUUUCCAUGCAGUAAAGUUUCACAAGGUUCUCGUACGAAUCUGAAAGUGAGGGAAGAAGAAAAAGGCCUUUGUCUUCUUCCUCAACAUCAACUUUCGCAGUUGAUCCAAGCAUCCCUGAACACGGCUUCCAUUUCUUCAGGCUUCCAUUACUUUCCUUUACCAAGAGUAAAACCGCCUCUCCCAUUAAACUGCUCAACUGAAAAUUCCAUGGUGAACAACAAAUCUGGACCUCUAACAAACCAAGCCUCCAACGAUGCUCUGAUACCAAUUGUUGUGCCUUGGUCCGUUCAUUAGUGCGGAAACAAGAUUCAGAUUACAACCUCACCAAAAUCACACUCGGUUGAACAGAAUAAAAUACAAGAAAUAAAGACACCGAGAAAUUUACGAGGUUCGGCAAAAAAUCCUGCCUACGUCCCCGGAGAGAUAUUGCUCUUCACUAUGAGAAUAACAGUACAAGUACACAUGAGUUAAAUCAACAUAACCCAAUCCCAAAUCCCUUGCACACCCACUCAUAGAAUUUUCCCAAGUGCCUCACUCUACCCCAAGAGUUCUUUCACUAGAAUACUUUUCACUCUAGCUCUCUUGAUUUUUCUCUCCCCCAUGCCCAUGCUUUCCCAUGGGAGAGCCGAAUGCUCUCCCCCUUUGGAUGCUCUCUCUCUUUGAUGUCUUCUCAGGAGAGAGCCGAAUGCUCUCUUUCUCUUUUUCUCCACUUCGGCUCUUUGCAAUUAAAUGGACAGAAAAGUGAGUCAACUUCUCCUUUUUUUCAUAGACACAAUGAUGAUCCAUCAUGCUCCCUUUUCUCAAAACACAAAACCACUUUCGGCAUGCAAAUGGGAAAUGAAUAAAAAAUGCCAAAACAAAGGAAUCCCAUGAAACAUCAUCAUUGUCUUCCACUAUUAGCCAAAAUGAGAUAUGGACAUAUUUGGCCACUAUUCCGAAAGCAUAACACACAGAGUCAUUUAAUUGUUAACAGCUCAAAAUAUGAGCCAAUCACAACACAUAUAUCCUUUAGUAACUAGUGAAAUAUGAAAUUUGUAGUGUAUAUUUAAAAUUGGGGUUCACGUGUCCUGCAGUGUGAAUUUGUGAGGAGAUUUGCUUGUAACAGUUUGCUUUCUACAGUAAUCAGACAGAAAGUAUUACAUCAAUCAAAAGAAAUUGUGCAACAGAUUCUAUAAUAACAUUCCCAAAACCCCUCAGUAAGGAACUAACCCAAGAUUUUAGGCUUGAAUGUCUACUUGGUGACAUUGAGUUUCUAGCACGUAGGAUGCAGUCUGUUGUUUUCGUCUUUGUGUCUAGAGAGAGUAACAAAGCUGCUCACUUGGUGGCCAAGUAUGUAGGUGAGAAAGGAAGGGAUUUCGUGUGGGAUUGUAUUGGGCCUGAAUUUUUGUUUAAUAUCUUGGCCCAAGAUAUUAACAUUCCUAUGAGAAUUAAUAUACUCAUCUUUGACAAAAAAAAAAUCAAAAGAAAUUGUGCCAUGUGUCUCUCUCGAGUGAGAGUCUUUCUCUCUUUUUGAGAGUACUAGAAAUUGUGACCUGCACGUUGCUGUGGGGAGUGUGACUUGCACGUAGCUAUGAGAUUGAAAAUUUUAUGACAUAAUAUGGUUAAAACAUAUACAAAUCAUGUAUCCAAUGAUUGUGGACCUAAUAAUCAUAGACUCAGCAUCGAAUGCCUAAAUGUCAUCAAACCAAAGUAAACUUUCAUUUUACUAAGUUCUUAGCACUUCAGUUAAAUCUGAAGUUAAAAAAAGUAGUUCAAUUUGACUUAAAAUACACAAAGGAAGGCAGAUAGACAGAACAAACAGUUGCGGAAAAGUGUACAGUGACACUGAUCCUGCAAGUCAAAUAUGAAAAAUAUUCAAAAGAAAGUAAAAAUUCAAAUUAUUCCUAGCAUUAGUAGAUUAAAAAUGAAGAAAUAAAAUUCAUUUAAGUUUAUAUUGCUUGUCGCUUGACAAUUCAGCAUGGGAAAAAAAUGCAAGAGAAAAAUAUUGUUAAUAUCCGGUGAAGUGAAUAACAGUGAGUAUAACAUGAAUAUGCAUGUGCAUGGUAUGGAAAAAAACUGGACAAACCUAAAUCAACUAAGUUACAACACAACUACAUAUGCAAACAACGCAAAAGACUGAAUUAGGCGCAAGCCAACUAACUUUGAAUCUAACCAAAUCAGAAAAGCAAUCACAAUCAAACUAACCUCUUCUUCCCAUAUGAAGUAAAAGAUGUCUCCUAUUUUGCCUUUGCGAACAGCGCGCUUUUCACCCUUUACGCACAAAAAGAACACACUGAAAAUGCUUGACAACAUUAUAAAAGCUAUACAUACAACAUUAUAUAUGUAUUUGAACAUAAAGUAUAAAGAUUUACUAACAAAUUCAAGCUUAAAUUUAACAAAAUAAGUAAAUAUGAAUUGAAAUCAAACCAUAUCAUACUUGUUAAAAAACGUUUUUGACUAAAUUUGACAAAUAGCAUCAUAAAUUGUUCAAAAAUUAGCACCACUGAAAAAACUCAUUACUCCAAUAAAAAACGGAAUAUUGUUUGAUUUACAUUGAUAAAAUAUGACAAAAGUAGUCCACCGGAGCACCAAAAGUUUUCCUGCAUAUCCACCAUCACACAUUACUUAAAAACCAAAACAAAACACAAAAUUACACACACAUAACAAAAUUAAAUAGAAGACCAAUAAAAAAAACCAAUACAUUACGUAAAAGAAUUGUGGCAAUUAACCCAAUUUACAAUGAAAACGUUAACUGGACAGCCUUGUCGAAAAGAUUGGAUCAACAUAUUCCACAUAGGUAGUUCUUGUGGCUUUGGAUUGACAAUGGUAUUUGCAUACAAAAGAUUUAAUAAACAUUGUCCCAUUUACAUGCAAAAAAUGACAAAAAUAUUGUUCUAUUCAAUUACCUUCCAGAAAAUAAUAAUGAUAGUGAAAAUGCUUAUGUUAUUCGGUCAUAUGGCAGCUUGAAAUCGAAAUACUAAGCUCUCAAUUAACCAAAAAAAGGCAGUAACUUUGAAAAAUAUUUGACAACAUAUUACACACCAACAAUAAAAGGAUUUCCAUCAUUGUGAGAAAAAAAUCCUACAAAAAUUGGUAUUGUUCAUAUCACUAUAGAUUUAUAUCUAAUGGCAUAUAGUUUGAAGAAACUGACGACAUUUCUCCAGAGUAUUUUGAACCAAGAAAUGAUAAUGACAAAUAAGGGCUACGAUGAGCGAGAUUAUACGACUACUGAAAUUUUGGAUUGAAAGAAAUACAAUACUUGCAUAGGAAAAAGGGUCCAUCUCGAACACUCCAUAUGUAGUGGAUGAGAAACUAAGAAAGUAGCAAAAGAAAAAUUAAAUGGCAUAAACUCUAUGCUGAAUCAACACAUAACCAAACCCAUUUGAGUCUUACCUCGUGAUCAUUAACCCAACUAAUUGCCACCCACCUUAAGUUUUGCUACAUAAAUGCCCUUUGCAAGCAACCCAAAUGGAGUGGUCUCCUCUUCCAAAGUGUGCAUAUAUGGUUCUUUGUCAAGAGAAAAUGCACUCAACAUUUGCUCUAAUCGACUGACACAUAAGAAAGUAAAAACAAUUGGUACACCGGUUAGCAUAGUACUUACAUAGAGAAAAUGGUCCAUUUUCUAGACUCCAUAUGCAAUGGAUAAGAAACUAAGAAAAUAGCAAAAGAAAAAUUAAAUGGCAUGAACUCUAUGUUGAAUGAACACAUAACCGAACCCAUUUUAGUCUUAUGUCGCGAUCAUUUGCCCAAAUAAUUACCAGAUUUCCAAGUGAUAAAUCAAAUAUAUAACUCUUACUAUCAUGCACUACCAUUCCAAAUUACCAUGUCAAGAGAAGGGAAAGGAACAUUGUGAGGUGAAAAAUAUAACUAAGGGCAGAGUAGAAUUAAUCAUUUUGAUGUUCCUGUUAAUUAUGUCUAAAAGAAUUUCCAUAUCCAGUGCAUUCUUUCUCAUAAUUGACACAAAAGAAAAAAAUAUACGGCCAUGUUCAUGUACUUCAAAGAGGAACAACCAUAUACCUGAGUUUUUCAGAUCAUUAGUCACCUUCUUCCCAAAUUCCCUGAACAUAAAAUUCUCUUGCGCUCGUUUGUUUCAUGUUGUGCCUUGCUCCCAUUCAGAUCCUUCUAUUUCUCCUAGUUGAAGACUCUAAGUCAAGUAAAAUCAAACAUUUAAACGACUCAUCUCUCACCUGAUUGAUUGGUACCAAAUGAAGGCUAUUAAUACUUAUUUGUAAUUUAAUUAGCAAAAAAAUUAAAAACGCUUGAAUGAAUUUAACAAAUCGGUGAGCUACAGUAUGUAAGUAAUUAGUACUCUUGACAAUACCUGUUGCUUAUCCAAGAUAUAAUUCAAUGUCAAAUCGAAAUCAAAAUUAAUAUGAACUAAUUUAAAUAAGUGCAAGCAUUGAUACCUCAAUUGAAUUUUUUCUUGCCGAAAAACCUUGACCUUCAAAACCAAAUUACCUUUAUCAACGAAAAUGAAUCAAUUUAAGAAAGCCAAUACAAUGUAAAAAAAUAGCCAUUCAAUUCAGAUGUAUUUAGAUUAUACAAAGGUCCAUUCAAACAACCAUAAAGACAAAAAAUGAAAAUUUGAACAACCAACCUUUUCCAAAAACCACUGGUCCCACCCUUCUAACCUUUGAUUGAUCCAGUAAGAACCAAAAUAAUCUUAAAUGAAAAGAAACCCUAUUAAUUAACCUUCAAUAUCAGAAUCUAUAAUCACUUUCUUCAACUAAAUUGACUUUUUUGUUGGAAAACCCCACAAAACCCAGUUUACUUAUCCAUUUCUAAGGGAAUUGACAUACAUGCUUACGUUUCUCACCACUAGUCUGAUGCUCCACUUAUAUCCUGACUCAUUUCCUUGCAAACUGUCGUUUGAUUGCCAUAAGUGUCUAGUAGAAUUUUUUUGGAAGCUUGUAACUUUGUUUCAUUACUGGUUGUAAAUUUAUGCAGAAUACCGAUUGGAUUAAAAGGUAUUAAAUUAAUGACGUAUAAAAUUAGAAAAAACAAAUAGACACAAAAAAGGGACCGAAGUUCCACAUAUGGUGCAAGUUCAUAGAUUAGAACUUACCACUUGAAAUGUCUCUAGGAAUUUUCCGAGUUGGUGUUCAUGUUGCUUUUCAUCAUUCAUUCCAUCAAGCAUUAUAUACUCAAUGAAGAUUUUCUGUUGACUAAAGAGUCAGAUUAAAGAGCAAUAACGAGAUUUUCUAAGAUUGUAAAACAACAGUAAAGUUUCGUUGUAAACAAAUGAAAGCUCAAAGAAUUUACUAAAGGAAAAGCCCAAGCUGCAGCCGUUAUCUGACAAUGAAUUUCUUGGACUGCUGCAUGAAGUAAAAUUGCUAAUUUCAGACCUGGAAGAUGGCAAUGAAACUUUCCAUAUUUCUUUAAUCCAAAUUUUUAAAACUAAAAUCAUAAAAAAUUGAAUAAAGAAAAAAAAUCAACUUUUUUGAGCUAACCAAUCGCCAGUUUUUGAGUGCCUACUCAUGGAAGGAACUUCAAAAGUGGGAGCCAAAUGCAUAGCAGGUACUCUUUCACUCUUUCCCUAGGUUCUGUCCACUGACUCUGGCUUGUAAACAAAAACAUUAUGAACAGAAAAAUUUGAAAGAUGUUGUAGAACAGUGGAUGUCCACUCAAAUAAUUAAAUAAUUGGCCCUUCCUUUUGGUUGCUGAAGCUUGCUACACACUACUCCCAUUUUCUAUAUAAAUACAAACCCCACACAACAUCAAAGUGGGAAGACUCACGGGAGAGAUAGGAAGGAAGAAAAAGGAGAGAAAAGAAAGGAAGAAGAAAAGGAGAGAAAGAGAGAAAGGAGAGGAAGAGGAGAUGAGAUAAUGGAGAGAGUUAUCUUUGUAUUUCUAUUAUUUCAGAUUAUAAUGAAAGCACCACUGCUGCCCCAAGGACGUACUCCAGUCACAUUGACUGUAGAGGAACCUCGUAAAUUUGUGUCUUGUUUAUUUAUUCCAUUAAACACACCAUCGAUUUUAUAACACGUUAUCAGCACGAGAAGCUCUCAUGUCAGUGGAAAGCACAACGCCACAAAUCCUGUUCACAUCUGUCGCUUGGAAUCUCACAGAUAAGAAAAUUUUUCAUGUCAUCUUAAAAUCUUUGUACUACUGAUUUUCCUGAAGCAAAUAUAUAUAUGUUGUUGCAUGACUGUAUAUCAUUCUUUGCAGAAGCAAAAGAGUACAAACUCAAAAUUCGUAGAGAAUUUGACAGCCAUGUAAACAGCCUCGGAACUCCAACUUGCGGACCUCGGAUUGAAAUACGUUCUUCUUGAAAGUUGUUCAUCCACUCAUUAUCUACAACAUAUCAAAAUUUCCGAAAACUUUAACGGUGCGAUCGUCGCAGAUGUCUGAAUACCAAACCAGUUUCCACCUUCCGCAUAAAACUGGAUAGCCACCUUAUGAGUACCACAACUUCAUUUCUGUAGCUCAAAUCGAAAUUGUUUCUUCACGAAAGUUAUUUGGUAUCCUCUUAUCCAUAUCAUACUAAAAUUUGAACUAAAUCUAACGGUUUGAUCUUCUCAUAAGUUGCAGACACUCUUGACUCCAAAACUUAUGGGAACCGUUUCGACUUUUUCGAAACUCACUUCAGGAGGAACACCAAUUGGAACUUAUUAUUACUAUUAUUUACUGAGUAACCAAAAUGACUUCAGAACUGUGAAAUAAAAAUAAAAAUAAAAGGAAUCAGACAAAAGAAGUGGCAAACCAAGAAAAAUAAAAAGCAAAAGAUGAGGACUUAAUCAUUGCAUUUUCUGUUUUGGCAUAUUUAUGUGCAUGGUGUUGGUUUAAAUCCCAUGUCACAAGUUCUAUUUAUUUAAAGCAAUUUAUUUACAGUGGGUAGAAUUAUUAUCCUUUGCUUUAAAGCUUUGAUAUUUAUGAGAAGGGUGCUGAAUCAAAGCCCUUGUCACAAGCUUUAUUUACUUAAAAGCAAUUUAUUUACCAUGGACGGUUUUACGACCUACUGCUUUAAGUUUUGAUUUAUGUGAAUGAUUCUUAAUUAAAGCCUUUGUCACAAGUUUUAUUUACUUAAAUGUAAUUUAUUCAUUAUGGCUGGAAUUACCACCUAUUACUUUAAUUUAUUUAUUAUACUUAUCUUUUGUUACGACGAAUAUAUACAGUACCUGAACUUCCUUGAUCAGAUCAGAACCUGUAGUUUCUUGAUCCUCAACAUAUAAAAAUGAUUGGACCUGAAGUUCCAUCACACAAAAAGAUCAGACAUAAAGUCCCUUGAUCCUGAAGAUCAGGACAUGAAAUUCCUUGGUGAGUAUCGUAAGUUUAAAGUGUCAUAGUGGCUCAACUUAAUUGUAAUAAAAGCUAUAAGAGUCUCAGUCUACAGACUAUUUAAUAAGGACCAGAAGUUCCUUAUGUCCAUACUCAAAAUGGUUUAGCAGAAUCAUUUAUUAAGCGGAUGAAAUUGAUUACCUGUGCUUUGCUCAUGAAAAUGAAAUUGCCAGUUUUGACAUGGGGACAUGUCAUUUUACAUAAUUCAUUAUUAAGUUUGGUUAAGACUAGUUGCCAACCAUCAAUAUUUCUUAGUACAACUCGUGUUUGGGCACUAGCCAAACAUUAGCAUUUCGAGUUUUUGGUUGUGUUAUCUAUGUGCCUGUAAGAUUGCCAUAACGUACGAAAAUAAGGCAUCAAUACAAAUUGGGAAUUUAUGUUGAAUUCUGUUGAUGCACAAAACCGGAGGGGUCUUGGAACAACGUAAAUCCGACCAUGAAUCUGCAAGAAAGUAAAGAACACAAGAUAUAUCGUGGUUCACCCCAAUGUUUGGGCUACGUCCACACUGAUAUUGUAUUUCUCUGUUUGUGAGAGGAUUGUGAGAGUGAGAGAUUUGAAUAUGAAAGUGAGGCUUUGGGGAUCUCCGGCCCCUUCUUUAUGAGGGUGAGGAGUCCCUUUUAUAGACUAAGGGCUCCUCACUUAUUACAUAUUUACCCCUUCAUUUAUUACAUAAUUACAUUUGAGUCCCCCGAGUAUUUAUACGAGGUCUAAAUACGGAGGCCCUAAGUAUGGUACAAACAGUAGUCCCCCAAGUCUUCAGUCAAGAAAGUCUUUUGGUUGGAGACUUGAAAUUCAGUCCAUGUGUGGGCUAAAGUAACUAGAUGUCGUCUAGAACUAAAUACUCGAUAUGAGGCGGUGCUCAAUGUGAAAUGAUGCUCAACUAAAUGUAGCACAUGUUGCAAGGCUGCUCGGCUUGUGGCUUAUGUUGCCUUGGUUGGCUUGGCUUGUGGCGUUGAAGGUAAGGGAGUCCCUUUUAUAGAAUAAGAGCUCGCUCCUCAAUACAUAAAUGAUGGGUUAGAGUUGAUGUUCGCGGCGAAACGGUUGCUUAGCAGGCGGCGAUGCUCUCUAAUAAUGAUGAGGGAGUCCCUUUUAUAGAAUAAGGGCUCGCUCCUCAAUACAUAAGUGAUGGGCUAGAGUUGAUGCUCGCAGCGAGGCGGUUGCUCAGCAGGCGGCGAUGCUCUCUAAUGAUGGUGAGGAAGUCCCUUUUAUAGAAUAAGGGCUCGCUCCUCAAUACAUAAGUGAUGGGCUAGAGUUGAUGCUCGCGACGAGGCGGUUGCUCAGUAUGCGGCAAUACUCUCCAAUGAUGGUGAGGAAGUCCCUUUUAUAGAAUAAGGGCUCGCUCCUCAAUACAUAAGUGAUGGGUGCUUUCUAAUGAAAGUGAGGGAGUCCCUUUUAUAGAAUAAAGGUUCGCUCUUCAAUACAUGAAUGAUGGGUUAAAUCCCCCAAGUAUUUUUCAUGAAGCCCAGUUGCGGAAGCCCAAUACAUGGUACAUAGUGUAGUCCCCCAAAUCUUUAGUUAAUAGAGUCUGUUGGCUGGAGACUUCAAAUUGAAUCCAUGUAUGGGCCAAAGUGGCAGUUGUUCAGAGGCGGUAUUUGUAUACCCUGCAUUGAAGCUUUGUAGGUGAAGCUUUGCAAGUGAAUCUUUGAAGCUGGAGCUUUUGUAAAUGAAGCUUUUGAAGCUGGAGCUCUGUAAAUGAAGCUUUCGAAGCUGACUGACAUGAGUGAUGCUCAUAAAUAUUUAUGUUGAUUGACAUGAGUGAUGCUCAUGGAUGUUGACAUGAGUGAUGCUCAUGAAUGUUGACAUGAGUGAUGCUCAUGAAUGUUUAUGUAUGAUUGACAUGAGUGAUGCUCAUAUAUAAUUUUGGAGUACUGGACGUACUUUUGAUCACCUAGUUGGUGAUAAUAGCGGCAGGCUGCCGAAUAAUUUUGGAGCACUGGACGUACUUUUGAUCAUCUGGUUGGUGAUAAUAGCGGCAAACUGCCGAAUAAUUUUUUGUAGUACUGGACGUACUUUUGAUCACCUGGUUGAUGAUAAUAGUGGCAGGCUACCGAAUAAUUUUGUAGUACUGGACGUACUUUUGAUCACCUGGUUGAUGAUAAUAGCGGUAGGCUGCCAAAUAAUUUUAGAGUACUGGACGUACUUUUGAUCACCUGGUUGGUGAUAAUAACGGCAGGCUGCCGAAUAAUUUUGGAGUACUAGACUUACUUUUGAUCACCUGGUUAGUGAUAAUAGAGGGCCUGGCUCUUUUGGGCAUAUGGGCCUUCGCUCUCCACAUAACAUUCCAGCCCAUUAUUUUGGGCUUGCAGAUUUUUUUUAAAUUUUUUUUAUUACCCUUUAAUGGGGUUAUACAGAUGUCUCCGAAAGAUAAAAAAAAAAUAAAUUACAUCAUUCAAAAAAUCUGUUGUAGAAGGUGGGUAUGGCAGAUGGUUGGAUAGUGGGAUAACAUGUGCAGCGGGCAGUUGCUUUUGCAGUGUCCCUCAUGUGCUACUCAUCAUCGAAAACAAGCUUUACGUCUUGAGGCUUCCCCUUAUUCUUUGCAAUGUCACCCAUGUGCUACCCAUCCUCGAAAACAAGCUUUCUUGAGACUUCCCAUUGUUCUUUGCAGUGUCACCCAUGUUGCUUUGCAAGGUCAUCUUUUGCUUUUCUUGAUAUGUGAGUAGAUGCACCACUGUAAAAUGCUCAAUAAUUUCUCAUUAUUGCAAACUGCUGCAACAACGUGACUCUUAAAACUCUUUAGCAAUGAUGUAUCUUUUUGCCCUUCUGGAAAAGGCUCUGUCGGUUCAGCAUCAUCUUCACAACAUCAAGUGGUCAGAUGAAGACUCCAGCAGCCCAUGCCAAUUUGAUUCAACACCGGAACAAUCCUCCAAAUGCUGCAUGCGUUUCUUACAUAGACCAAUGAAUGCAGAAAAUUGUAGCGGUACACUCUCAUGGCUUCUAAUAUCACCAUUGAAUACAGGCGCUGAAUUAGAUAGCAUAGCUUCCACAACACACAAUCUAACUCGUUCCUGCAAAUAAUCGAGACUGUCAUUACAUGGAUUCCAAUUGGAGAAAGCUUUCCAAUCUUUGACGCAGCCGCUGAAAACGGAGGGAACGUUCUCGGAUUCGAUCCGAGAUGCGAAGUCUGUGGCCGAAGGAACUUCGUUCAAUCUUCAAACUCACAGAGAUGACUCCAUUGAUACGCUGAUUUGCUCUCCGACUUACUAAGCUCGGUGAACUAGCACACAACCAUAGCAGGAGAACGAGAGCAAGAGAUAAAUGAACUUGAUGUCUUCUGUGUGGGCAACAAACUUUUGGGUUAACCUGCUGUCAUUUGCGCUGAUCUUUUCUACCGCAUAAACUCCCCCCAACACCCUUCAAAGCCGCAAGAUUGAAUCUUUUUUACCAACCCAAAUUCCUGAAUCACCAACCUGAUUUGGUUCCUCAUAAUUCCAGCAUUUCCUUCACUGACCCCAAACUUUUGGGUUUAAAUUAAUGUGCCCCAACUGACAGCCUUCCCAAUUUCACAGAAACGUCAGAAGACUCAUCGGAGGAAGUUACAGAGAGAGUCCGGUGAUUCUUCGAGAAGAAAUCCAGGCCGCCUUCAUCGGAGUUCUUCAGCAUCAAGCUCAAGCUCUGACCUUGUCGGUGCUACGAAUAUGCUUCCUAGGAAUAUGUUUCCCACAAACUUCACCGAUCGCUGGAAUAUACUUCCCGGCUUAGCUCUCGUCGAUUAUGUAAAUGGGUCGGGUUUUGAACGACGGGUCAAGCUCAAUGAACUUCGUGAUCGCGGCAAAGAAGUGUUUCACGAUGGUGACUUGGUCUCUUGAGAUCUUCGCUGAGUUAGCGGCGAUGCUAAAUCCGGUACCGAUCGGGUUGUCGAGGAAGGUCAUGCCAAAGAUUCUGUUCCAGGAGGCGGAAUUGGGUUCCAAGGCCAGGGGGUCAUAAGGGUUUUUAUGGAAAUUUCACGAGCUAGGGGCCGAGCUCGUAGAAGUUACCGAGCAUGGAGGAACAGCCGGGGCCGCCUAGAGUCAGAAAAUGUCCGUUGUGAGGUUUUGAGCUUUGUAGAAAGUGUAGAAAAUGGCAGAGCCGCUGGUGGGAGCAGAGGAUUAUGAGGAAAGAUAUGAAAAUGGCUUGCUUCUUUGACGACAUUGCUCAAAUGGGUUGAAGGAGGAUGAGAGAUUUUGAGGUGUUUAUUUGGUGGAACAGGUGCUUAGUUCUUGGGUUUAUGCGGAUUCACGGUGGAGUGUGGUGAGGUCUCACGUUGGUGAGAUGAAAAAAUUGAAAGAGAACCGACAUAGCUUUUCAUGUCGAUUUCCUACAAACGGCGCCAAAUGUUGAUGCACAAAACCGGAGGGGUCUUGGAACAACGUAAAUCCGACCGUGAAUUUGCAAGAAAGUAAAAAACACAAGAUGUAUCGUGGUUCAUCCCAAUGUUUGGGCUACGUUCACACUGAUAUUGUAUUUCUCUAUUUGUGAGAGGAUUAUAAGAGUGAAAGCUUUGAAUAUAAGAGUGAGGCUUCGGGGAUCUCCGGCCCCUUCUUUGUGAGGGUGAGGAGUCCCUUUUAUAGACUAAGGGCUCCUCACUUAUUACAUAUUUUCCCUUUCAUUUAUUACAUAAUUACAUUUGAGUCCCCUGAGUAUUUAUACGAGGUCUAAAUACAGAGGCCCUAAGUAUGGUACAAACAAAUUUGAUCCACCAUCUAUCAUUCAACAUUUGGAACCCUUGACUGGGGAUAUAUUUACCGCAUGAUUUGCAGAUUAUGAUUUUGAUAAGACAAUUUUCUCGUCAUUAGGGGGAGAAAAUAACAUUGUUCCAGAAGAACGAUGAGAAAAUAUCAUUCUAGAAAAAUGAUAAAAAAAGACCGUUCCAAAAGAACGAAGAGAAUUUGUCUUAUUUUGAUUCACAAAGCAAUCAAUAUGAAAAUGAAGUAAGAAUAAUUGAAUGAUGCAACGAAAGUGAUGAAAUCAUAUAUACUUGCUGCAAAUGUGCCUACAAGAAUUGAUGUCCCUGUUGGACAAAAUAAUAUGACAGUAAAUUAUUUAUCUAUUGCAUGCCUGAAGCGUGGCAUACCCUUAGACUCAAAAGGUUCAUUCAUUCGAAAGAGGAAGAAUAUGGCACUCCUAAACUAUUGGAUUCACGAAGCAUAACUGUUGCAUGUCAGAAGCAUGACAGUCGCCGCAUGGAUAUACGACAAUCCGCAGAUAUGGGAAUGUUGAUGUCUUAUGCAUGAAGCAUGAUAGACAUAUAGGUUCUAAAUGACUCAACUCCUGGAAGUAUUUUUUUAAAAUCCAAGCUCUAUAACGCUCUAGAGGAAGUUAUGAUUCGCAUUCUCUAAAUUACGACUAUCCUGGAAGAGAUAGUGUAAUGCUCUUGAAGAGGCAAUGGAUAUCCAAAGAAAUAAAAAGCUUUUAUGCAUGCGCAUGCACAUGAGAAUAUGGGAUCACGGAUUGAUGAUAACCAAUAGUAAUUUUGGUUUUUAUAAGUAGCUACUAAAUUCAUCAAUGAGUUGUGUUGAUAUUGAGUCUCGUUCUUUUUCAUCAACAAAAUUAUUGGCCAAAAAUGGAGAAAAGCAAUUCCAUUACGCUUACAUGAUAUGACAUUACUAAUUAUACUCUUGUAAACGAGUUCAUAUGAAUGGAGAAUUAUAUACGAAGGGUUGUGAGUCACCCACAUCAUAUCUCCAUAAGUAAAUCCCUCAAGUAUACAUGGGAGCAAAUUGCUUUGUAUAAAUUCCAAAGGAAAAUGUGUCAUGAAGUGUAAAAAAUCCCUGAAGGAUUCAAAUUGCUUGAAGUAAGCCCCCGAAGGUUAAAGCAUAAAUUAUGUACUCAAUACCAAUGGAUGGUAUAAAUUGCCUUAGUGAGUACUAUCAUUAUGAUAUUGUUGCAACAUACUAAAGUCUCUUACAAGAGUCAAUGACAUUAAAUUAGAACUCCUGAAGAGUUGAUGAUAUUAAAUUGGGACUCCUGAAGAGUCAAGAAAGAUUAUAAAGUGCUGAGAGAAAUAUUGUCUCAAGCUGCAGAUCGAACAAUCUACCAACACGAAUCUUAUCCAUGAUGUCUAUGAUAUUAAAAGAACCAUAUGGAUUGAAGAUUAUGAGUUGAAUACUCAAAUGAUGUAGACACUAAGAAAGAUCAUUUAUCUUCGUGAGGGUAAAGAUAAAUUAAAGUUUGGUCCAGAAGUACCACAUCUUAGUGUGAAGUAUAUGCUUUAUUGUAUUUGGCACAAUACACUGAAUGAAAUAAAGCUUAUCUAUUAAUAUUUCUGAGAAAUUACAGAUAUGUGCAUACACAUGAGUUAAAACAAAUAAACAGGAUAGAGCCUUCACAAAGGUUGCUCAUGUGAAGCCUCAGUACUCGGAAGUACCCCAUAAUGAGGAAGCACUGGAAAUUGAUCAUGUGGCACCCUAGUACUCAGCAAAACACCAGAAAGGGAAAGCAUCGGUUGCUUUCGAAAUCUAGCAACGAACCUUUGGUGAUCACUUUAAGUUCGACUUUUGGAUUCCUGCAGCUGGUCGAGCUUUCUUUUCAUGCUCGUAGAGUAAUUAUUUGCAAGCACGUGCAACACUCUAUUCUCGUGCUUGAGCCAUCUGAUCUCUUGUUUAAGACUUGCCACCUCAGCCAUCAAUGAUUCAACUUGGCGAGUUUGAACAAGUAGGCGUUGGCCCAUAUUGGAAAUAGAGCCAGCACACUGAACACUGAGAGCCAAAGAGUCUUGAACGGCCAACUCAUCAGACCGUUUUGAAAGGAUUAUGUUAUCCUUUGGAGUAAGAAGAUUCCUAGCUACCACAGUAGCGGUUAUGUUAUUCUUCAUCAUAGAGUCCCCAACUGUAAGAGGACCAUUAAAAGAUAAGAAGGACAUGCACCAUAUGUUAUCCUGACGUUGCUAGUCUGUAUCACUCCUAAGACUCAAAUCUAAGCAAAUGUUAGAUGGGCAAGCCAUUCUUAGAAAUGAUGAAGAAAAAAAAAGGUCAAAUAAAAUCUCAGAAGUGCAAGUAGGGGAAAAUUUCUACAUGCAGCAACUUUUUAAGCAUACUCUUGAACAUAAUUGAUGUCUUUAUAAAAGAAGAGGCAGUAGAGCCACUUGUUUAGAGAUCGAAGAUGCACUGCUCUCCGAAUUUCAAAAGCCAGAUUUUCCUGAAUAAAGUUCGUUGGCAUUUUCAGAUGCAAUCUCAGCUUUUUCUGUUAUCGCGUGCAACUUUGUCAAAGAUCUUUGAAAAAUUUGAAAACGCGUAAAUCUUACUGUUCUAAUUACACCACAGUUGCUAACAAGAGUAAAGGCACAACACCACUACCUGCUAUUAGGAAAUCCCUAUAUAUGUCGACCUUCAUCGUCCAUGGCAAGGCACACAUCCUAAACUCCUAACUUUUUCUCAUCUCCGAGAAUGCAUCUUCAACAAAGCAUCUCGAAAUACUCAGUUUUCUUUCUCUCUGAGAAUACCUAUUCAAACAAGUCACACCAGAGCAAGAGUCUCUCAUAUCUUCAGGGACGAGGGACGAGAGUAAGAGUAUCUCAUAUCAUGCAAUCUUUAUGUCUUUUCUUUUUUCCUUGUUCUUACCUGCAAAGAUAAGGAUAAAGAAAGCAAUAUGUCGGAACCUCCACUCAAACUCCCGGUAAGGAACUGACUACUUGGAACCUUUCCUGAUUGCUUACCUAAUAUUGCUCUCGAAUAGCCAUCUUCAACUGUUGUUGAAGCUGGGUCUCCAGUCACCAAGAAGUGAUGAACCAUCCAAAUGCAAGGGUUGCAUUCCACUCCUGCAUCAGAAGGCAAAUACUGCAGGAGAAUAUGCCACACAUGCAUGGGGAAAACCAGGGAAAACCAGGGAAAAUACUACUUAAGCAAGGGAAGCAAGUAAGGCAAAUGAAAAUGAUACAUUGAAGCAUGUGGAGACAAGCGCAACAAACACAUGUUGAUUCAUCCCCGACAAAGCCGAAGAUCAAUUGCCACGUGAAGCUUCUCACGGUACAACUUCAUUCAAGAUCAAGUUUCGAAGGUCCUUGAAGAAAUUACAAGUUCGAUUCAAGAUCAAGUGUCCACCACCUUUGAAUUAAAUUUAGCUCCAAAUAGAAGAAGUAAAUUCAGACCUUUGGAGGAAAUCUAGCAGAAGGCUCUUCAGCCCAGUUCAAGAACAAGCCUGUGGAAAGUUAAUAACAAGCAAAAUACCUCUUUCGGCAACUCUUUUUGCUAAGAAACUGAAGCAGAAUGAUUAACGAUCAGUCUAAAUGAUUUGAAAUCAUGGGGAAAUACUCAUCAGGGGGAGCAUUCAAAACAGAUCAAGAUUUUAACUAGUCAAUCGAAGACUUGUGGCCAUCCAAGGGGGAGUGUUGUAGAACAGUGGAUGUCUACUCAAAUAAUUAAAUAAUUGGCCCUUCCUUUUGGUUGCUGAAGCUUGCUACACACUACUCCCAUUUUCUAUAUAAAUACAAACCCCACACAACAUCAAAGUGGGAAGACUCACGAGAGAGAUAUGAAGAAAGAAAAAUGAGAGAAAAGAAAGGAAGAAGAAGAAAAUGAGAGGAAGACAGAAAUAAGAGGAAGAAGAUAAGAGAUAAUGGAGAGAGAUAUCUUUGUACUCAUAUUAUUUCAGAUUAUAAUGAAAGCACCACUGCUGCCCCGAGGACGUACUCCAGUCACACUGACUGUAGAGGAACAUCGUAAAUUUUGUUUCUUGUUUAUUUAUUCCACUGCACACACCGUCGAUUUUAUAACAAAAGAAACAGGCCCAAAAUUUUAGCAUGCCAGAUGAGAUUAUAAAUGUUAUUAAAAUGAGUGGCAAUAGAAUGCAGUGCAGAUUUUUAGAUGGUGAUAUUAAUCUACUGCUUUUAUCUAUGUCAAUAUUGUGGAUGCAAAUUUCUUCCUCUUUGAUCUUGAACAAAAUUUAUUCAUGCUGGAAGUCCUUUUUGGAAGGCUGCUCUAGUUAUUGAGUCAUUAGAUCUGACUAUUCUUGCCUUCUCUACUUUGAACCUCCUUACAUAGUCGCGAAGCGACUCCUUUGGGUUCUUCUUGACGUCGAACAAAUGGUCGGACUUCUUUUUGAUCGAUCGAUAUGAUGAAUAUUCUUUGGUGAAAACCAAAGAAAUUUCGUCGAAAUUCCGGAUGGAUUGUGGCAGCAGGGUGUAGAACCAAUCUUGCACCUUGCCUUGUAGAGUGGUGACGAAUAUCUUGCACAUGAGAUCAUCGUUGUUUCGAUAUAGGAUCAUUGCGCUUCGGUAAUGCUUUAAGUGUUUCUACGGGUCUUCAUCCCCUUUGAAAGAUGUGAAAUGUGGCAUGCUGAACUCGCGUGGAGGCUCUGUCUGCUCUAUUUCAUCCGUGAAGGGUGACCUGCUUAUGUUGGUCAUGUUCCAUCAUAGUGCCUUGUUGAUGACCUCGUUGCGUUGGAAAUUGCGUAAUCGUUUGGUCAAGAGUGUCUCUACUUCUUCCUGAAUUUACCUUUGUUAAGGUAAUAGGGCUCUCAGUUGCCCCCAACCGUUACUUGCUGGUCUAAGCUGCUCUUCCAUGUGUUUAGCUCGUCUAUGCCGCGGAUGCGAUGUGUGUAGCGCAUUACUAGCAGGCAAGCGAAUUCUUCACAGGCUGCCAAUUAAACUUGAGCCGGAUUGAGUGAUUGUUUCUCUCCGUCUGUCGUGCUGCCUACUCCAAUAUAAGGUGGAGGAUGCUCCUUGCAGGCUUAGCCGCGAAUAAACACUUCACCUGAAAGGUUGCUCAUGUUGACUAUCGGAGUGUGACCCCAACUGUGAAUGUAUGCUCGUCUGUGGGCCUAGUCGAUAGUGCACGCUUCUCUGCACUCUAAGAUGGGAGUAUACGCUAUCUCGAGGGCCAAAUCAUGAUUGUACACUGCCUGAACGCUCGGUUUGUGGCUGGUCGAGUGGCUGCUUACCGAGAUGCUGCUAGAGAGGUUCUUUGUCUGCCUUUGUCCUACUUCGAGACACCUCGUCUAGGGCACGUUGCAUCUCGGUGCGUUGCAAGAGCUGGUUCACCAAAGUCGUCUGCUAUGUGAGGGCGUUCGUCAACUCUAUGACUUGUCGAGAUAAGUGUUGUUCUCCAUUUGGGUUGGAAUAGCUUGGAAUGAAUGCGUCUUCUUGAGCAGUGGAAGUGUGGUAGACUCCGAACGCGAGAUUUGAGUUGGGAAAUGCCAAAUCCGUAGAAAAAUGUGGUGAAAAUGCUCUUGGUUCGAUCGUCAGUCUGGAAAUUUGAAGUCGGGAUAGUUGAACUAAUCUUGGAUCGAUUUGGGCUACUUGGAAGGCCAUAGGAGCAAACUGGGCUGUGGAAACAGGUUGGGCCACGAGAGUGGGCUGCUCGACUGGAGCAAGCUGGGCCACAGAAGUGGGUUGCUCGACUUGAGCAGGCUAGGCCACGGGAAUGGGUUGCUCGGCUUGAGCAGGCUGGGCCACGGGAGUAGGCUGUGUCACGAGAGUGGACUACUCGGCGGGAGCAGGCUGGGCUACGAAAGUGGGCUGCUCGGCGGAAACAGGCUGCUCGGAGUGUGAUACAUAUAGGUGCGAGGCUUGGGCUCGGCUUGGCAACGCGUUGAGUUCGCGUUGGGCUUGGAGUGACAUGGCUUGGGUCGUGGCCUUGGUGCCAUGAGCCUUGGAUGGCACGGCUCAGGCCGUGGUAGCGGUGUUAUGGACCUCGUUGCGAGUAGUGAUGAUCGUGGUGGCCACCGUGGUGGUUGCCAUGGUGGAGCCCCAUAGCAAUGGUGCUGCUCCUAUGAUCACAUUUAGCCUCGUGGAUCGUCGUGGUCCCAUUUCUUGAAUAUUGGAAUUUUCACUUGUGGAAUUUUCUAAAUUUCUAGCCAUUGUAUUUCUCUUUUACAUUUUAUCAAAGAAUCUUUGCAAAUAAAAAAUUCUAAUAAUAAGAACGUACGAAAAAUCUACAAAUGGACAAGAAAAUAGAAAAACCUUUUGAUGCGGGAGUCUUCUACGAGUGGGUGACUUUUUUCUCAAUGAAAACACCAAUUUAUGGAUACAAAUUUCUUCCUCCUUGAUCUUGGACACAAUUGCACCUACAAAACAAUUAACAUCUUAGGUCAAAGCCAAGAGCCUCACGCACCCACGAUGAAUGGGGGGGCUUUGGCCGAAGAACCUCUGAUGCCAAAGUUAGAAUUUAGAGAGAAAAAAUGUUUAAGAAUUCUAGAGAAUUUUAGCAAGAGUUGGAAGUCAUUUUUGGGAGAGAAUGGUGAGCUAUAUAGAGGGAUAUGGUCGGCCCUAUUAGGAGAAUAGGGAUCGGCCAUUUAGGUAUUUUUUGGGUGUAAAUUAUGGUUAAUUAGCCAUUAAUAGAUUAAUUACGUAUUAAAUCUAUUAAUUGACUAAUUUACAUAUUUUGAAAGAAAUUAUUUGGGGAAUUAUGGAAUGAUUAAGAUAAUUAGCUAAUUGAUUAGCUAAAAGAGGGAAAAUGAGGUAAAAAAUAUAUGGAAUGAAAUAGGUUUUGGGAGUUACCUUGUAAAAGGGGUUUGAUGAGAUAGGUUUUGAAUUGUUACCUAUUUUGAGCACUUUUGACUUGGUUGAGGGAUGAUUACACGUUGCUCACGCGUAGGAAUCCCGUUAUGCCUCAAAUGUAUUUUUGUCCUCUUUUGUCCAUAAAUCCACAUGUCGCCUUGUGAUUGUUUUUGCCUCCACAAAUAUCUCCUUAUGAAGAUGUUAAUGCAGUAGGAAGGAAAAUGAAGAAAUGGGAUUUUGGAGAAGAGGGUAGCUCGGGCGGAGGAGGAGAAGAGGAAGCAGAUGGAGAGCCCCGUCGGGAAGAGAUCGGGUAGCGUUUGGUUGGUUUCCCCAGUCCAGAUUAGGGAGCUGGAAAAAAAAAAUCUAUCACGUCAAGUUCAAGCCUUCACUUACCACAAAGUAUUGUGUGUAUACUAGGCAUUCAUGUGGCUUCCCUUGCUCAUCCUCUGAAAUUAAAUACAACAACAACAACAAUUCAAAAUAAUAAAUUAAAAUUUAAAAUCAAUUUUUUAAUCAGUGAGCAAACAUAGAUUUGCACAUACAAAAAGAAGAGAAACAAUGAAUAUAGAAGCACUCGUCGCCACGAUGAGGAGGUUGAAGGGAUUGGUUUUAGCUUUUCCGUUGAAAAGUUGGCUUUCUUCUUCUCCUUUUGAUUCAUAUUCUAUUAUGUGUCGGUCGCUGUUCUCCCAUUUCUUUCCUUGUUUUUUUUCCUUACUUCGACUAUUUUUUCGCCUUGGUUGUAUACUGAUCUAUUAUGUUUCUAUUUCCGUAAUAGUUUCCCUCAUCUUUGUUCAUCCAUAUUCCAAUUUUGAACCAUACAACCUGAGAUUGUGUGUAGAGCUCCGAUAUUUUCACCGGCUCGAGUGUUUCCAACACCACCACUUUCUCCUUAUAUUGCGUUAUCGGUAAUGUCAUUCGUGGAUUUCCAUGAACUUCAUCUUCAUAGCUAGCUUCUCUUGUUUAGUUGCUAGCUAUCCUUACUUUAUGGCUAUGCUCGGGAAGCAAAUUGGAGUUGGAUGUGGCGUUUGGUUAGGCGUUGCUUGGCUGUGGAAGAUGAUUUGGAUGGAUGGGGAAGAUCUAUGGUGGCAGCGAAAGUAGUAGAAGUUUCUGGUUCUGUUACUGUGUUCUGGUUUGUAGGCCUAACUCUUUCUUGGGCUCUUUUUGUGUUUUGUUUAGUUUUGGCCCGUUUUUUGUUGUUUAUAUGUUAGUUUUGGGCCAUGCCUGUAUGUAAGGUUUGUGUUUAUAAUAAAAAGUUGGGUAAAUUACAUAAAACUACCUCAAUUAUUGGAUCAUUAACAAUUUCAUAUCUCAUCUUUAAAAAGUUUCAAUGCCAUACCUUCCGUCAGUUGCUUGUCAAUUCUUCUGUAAAAUGAUGACGUGGCAUGAGGCGGGGCCCACUUUCUAUUAAAAAAAUUAAUUAAAUAUUUAAAAAGGUCGUACCCAGUGCACAAGGCUCCCGCUUUAAAUAUUUAAAAAUUAAAAAUAAAAAACCAAAACCCAAACCCAAAUCCCAUCACUCCUUCCCCCCCCCCACGAAACAUAUCCCAUAUUCCCAUCUUCCUCAUUCGUCCCCCCAUUCCAAACCCAGAACCGCACCCCAACUCCCCCGCAACCCCCCCUUUCUUCAUCCCGAGCCUCCCAACCACCUCAUUUUCCUCCACUCUCUUCACCUCUCUUCCCAUUCAAAAAAAAAAAAUCAGACAACCUUCAGCCCUCUUUAGCCUUCUUGAAGCUCGGUAUAGCAUCAAAGACAACCCUUGACAUCAGCUCGCCACCCGACAUCACAAGGUCAUCUUCACCAGCGCCGACCACUUAUCAAUAAACGAAGUCAUCGACCGCGUUUGACACAAGCUUAUCGAUCGCUGCCACUUCUCCUCUGUCGUAGUUCUAAGCCAUAAGGGUCGCUGCCACAGGAAUUGAGGCCUUGUGGAUCGAAUGAGCAGUCGGACAAUCUGGACAAUCUGGGUUUAGAUUUGUUUUUUUUUUUUUUUAAGUUUUGAAUGGGAUGGGAGGUGAAGAAAGUGGAGGAGAUGGAGGUGGUUGAGAGGCUCGAGAGGGAGAAAUGGGGGUUGCAGGGGAGGUGGGGGUAGGGUUCUGGGUUUGGAAAAUAGGACAGAUGGGGAAGAUGGGAAGGGGGAUGGGUUUCACGAGGGGGGAGAGAUGGGAUUUGGGUUUUGGUUUUUUUUUUUUUAAUUUUUUAAUAUUUAGUUAAUAUUUAUUUUAUUUUUUUAAUAAUUUUUUCUUUUUUAAUAGAAAGUGGGCCCCGCCUCAUGCCACGUUAGCAUUUAAUAGAUGAAUUGACAGACAAUUGACAGAAAGUAUGACAUUGCAACAAAUUCGAAGAUAAGGUAUGACAUUGAAACUUUAUAAAGACAAUGUAUGAAACUGUUAAUGACCCAAUAGUUGAGAUAGUUUUAUGUAAUUUACCCUAAAAAGUUACAUUUUACCAAAAAAUAAUAAUAAUAAAAGAAAUUUGAUCAUUUAUUGUAUUAUGUGUGUGUAUAUGUGUAUGUAUGUAUGUGUGUAUGUAUGUAUGUAUGUGUGUGUGUGUGUGUGUGUGUGUGUGUGUGUGUGUGUGUGUGUGUGUGUAGGUUAAGAGGCCAAUGAAAACUUGAUCUUUUUUUAAUGAAAAAUUGACUUCAGUAAGCGCAUAUCUAUGAUAAGGAUGGUAACAGUUCAGUUUGGGGACGAAAAUGUUAUAUUUAUCCUCAUAACCACAAAAAUUAAUUAUAUCUAUAACCGUAAUUAACCAUCGGAGAUUAUCCAUAACCAUACACAUCGAGAAACAAAUCGGUUAACGAUUAUAUUCAUCUUCGUCAAUAUAAAAAUAUAUUUGUUCAACACAUUAUAUAUAAUAAAUACUAAUUUCAUCAUUAAAUAUCCAUGUCCAACCAAUAAGCCAAAUAUGAUAAAUUAGUCUAAUGAAAAGAAAAAAAAAAGGAUGACAAAAGCAAAUACAACAACCACUAAAGAAGAAAGACAAAACAAAUCAUCAAAUAAUUAUGAAACUUGUGACGACAAAAUCAGAGCAAUGAAUUAAAACAUUAAUUGACACGCACCAACCCCUAUAUCCCCAAAUAUCAGGGUAGGCACGUGCUGGCCAACACCCGAGGGUGACAAAGCCAUUUUGAACAUGCAUACAAUUAAGAAUACCUAAUUAGAAUGACUUAAACCAAAGCAAAAUCAUGUUCAGGGCAUACAACUAACCAAGAAUAAUAUGAAAGAAUUAUUAUGGAAAGGUACAAACCGAGGAAUGUGUCCUACACAAAGGAGACUUAAAGAUCUCUAAGCGGAAAUGCCCUGACGCCAGGAUCGUGUGCCUUGACUCUGACUCCUGAGGGGCGCAAAACAGAAAAGGUGAGUGGACCGAGGUUUAUAAUAAUACUAGUAGUAGGAAAACCAUUUUCUUUCUAAACAUACUAACCCCCUGUUUUGAAAACAUAUAUAUAAUACUGCAUAAUAAGUUUUUCUGAAAGCUUUACAUGCCAUGCAAAGCAUUCUUAAAAAAAUGCAUAUGUAAAACAGUGCUCAGUGAUGGAUGUAUGGUAAAUCUAUAAAAACACAUUAUACUGUACUCUUUAGGGGUAUCAUAGUCGCCCGAAGGCAGUACAUGUUCAUCACCCGAAGGUGAAGCUGAAUAAAAGAGCAUACAUACAUACCGACACUAGUUGUGGCUAGUGAAGCUGUCUGACACCACUUUCGGCUGUGAAGCUAGGGGUAUAUAUAUAUCUCACUACUCCUUCACUGUGUCCUAUAGCCAUAGAUGUCAUACCCGUGGUGUGUGUAUAUGUCGUAUGAUAACCCACUAGAUAAGCACCAAAAACAUAUUUCAAAAACCUGUAUUUAAAACACCAGCUAAGCUCAAAACUCAACACCUCAUUUCAUAAACCACGAUAAUGCAUAUUCAUAAAACCCAAGUAUAUCAUUUACGAAAACCCCAUAUUUUAUGGCCUUUAGAAAAACGUAAAUUCGAUAAUUCAUAAAUAUUUCAUAAAAGCAAUUUAAAUAAAUCAUAAGUAUAUAAAUCCAUAAAACAUAAUGGGUAAAUUACACUUUCAUACCUCAAGUUUGAGAUCUAUUUCAAUUCCUUAUAACAUCUUCAAAACAUUUCACUUUCAUACCUUAAGUACUAUUUUAUUUCAAAAUAAUACCUCUGUUACAUUUUCCAUCCAUUGAUCCGUUAAGUUCUGACGUAGCUGCCACAUAUAUGUCAAAUGUCUGCCACGUGGCAAAAAAAAUUAAUUUCUUUUUAAAAAACCUGAAUUUUCUCAAAAUAAAUAAAUAAAUAAAUAAUUGAAACCCAUCCCAUCUCCCCGCAACCACCCUCACAUCCCUAAACCUGCAAGAAGAAGAAGAAGAUGAUGAUGAUGAUGAUGAUGAAGGGAAAAAACAAAAGGCCAUACCUAGUUCGUCCCCCCCCCCCACAACUUAGAAGAAGAAGAAGAAGAAGAAGAAGAAGAAGAAGAAAGAGGAGGAAAAAAAAAUUGAAACCCAUCUCCCCGCAACCACCCCCACAUCCCUAAACCUGUAACAACAACAACAAGGAAAGAAAGAAAAAAAAAAGGGCCAAACCCAGUUCGUCCCCCCCCCCCUUUUCACCCCUAAAAACCUACAACCUAGAAGAAGAAGAAAAAGAAAAAGAAAAAGAAGACGAGGAAAAAAAAAAUUUGAAACCCAUCCCAUCCCGUCUCCCCGCAACCACCCCCGCAUCCCUAAACCUGCAACAAGAACAAGAAGAAGAAGAAGAAUGAGAGAAAAAAAAAAUUAAAAAAAAGGCCAAACCCAGUUCGUCCCCCCUCCCCACCCCAAAAAACCUACAACCUAUAAGAAGAAGAGGAAAAAAAAAUUAAAAAAAAAACCAGAAAUCGUCUUCCCCGUCCACCCCCUUCUCCCAUCCAUCAUCACCCACCCCAAAAUCCCACUCGAGCCACCCAUUUCUUCCUUCCCCCAUCACCCCUCCCAAAAAUCCCCCAUCACCCACCCCCAAAAAUCCCACCAGAAAUUAGGUGGAUCUAUCAUAAAACCAGUCCAACAAUCAUCUCAAACUCAAACUCCCCAUCUCAAAGUAUUUUCGAAACUUACCCACACUGAAAAUCUAAAAAAUAUGGAGAGUCAUUGUAUGGGUGGGUUCGCGUAGUGAGGAGGGAUGGAAGGCUGGUGCGUCGCGCGGGGGGCGGGGAAAGGGGGGAGGGAGUUGGGUGGCGCACGAGAGGGGGAGGGGGGGAAGGCAGGUUCAAGCACUAUUUUUUUUCCCUCCUUCUCCUUCUUCUUCUUCUUGUUACAGGUUUAGGGAUGUAGGAGGUGCAGGUUUAAGGAUGGGUUUCAAAUUUUAUUUUAUUUAUUUAUUUUUUGAGAAAAUUCAGUUUUUUAAAAAGAAAUAAAAAAUUAUUAUUUUUGCCAUGUGGCAGACAUUUGGCAGCCACGUGGCAUAUAUGUGGCAGCCACGUCAACACUUAACGGAUUAAUGGGUGAAAAAUGUAACGGAGGUAUUAUUUUGAAAUAAAACAGUACUUAAGGUAUGAAAGUGAAAUGUUUUGAAGAUAUUGUAAGGAAUUGAAAUAGACCAUAAACCUAAGGUAUGAAAGUGUAAUUUACCCAAACAUAAUAGAAAACAUAUUCAAAUCAUGAAGUGUGAAAUGCAUGCUAGACUAAUAAUUUAUAAAAUAUGUAAGUUUAGAAGGGGUUCACUCACAUAUAUUUUGUUGCCCGAAAGCCACUCGAACUAGCAAGGAAUGCGUCGCUUCCAACCGAUACACCUAACCAUAAUUUGAGACCAUUUAGUAAAACUAUACCUAAAUAAUAGAAUUUGGGAAAUCGAACAGCGAAAUUGGAAUCAGAACGUCGAAAUUAGUCUAGGAGGGGUCUCGGCCAAAAUCUGAAAAAGUCAACCCAAAAGUCAACAUUGAUCGAAAAGUUAAUGGGUCGGGUCUGGUUCUGGGCUUGAAGGGAUGGAUCGGGUUAGGCUAAAGGGCCAAAGGUUAGGCCAAGUUUAAGGAUUGGGCUUAAGCUAAGGUUAAGGACUUGGGCCUGGGUAAAUGGGUUCAUGAAUUUAGACCUAAAUUGGGCUUGGGCUGGGUUAUAACAUUAGGCUAAUAGGUUUGAGCCUUGACAUGGACAAUAGGUUAAUAGAUUUGAGCUGACUAAUGGGUUUGGGCCAGAUUCAAUUAUUGGGUUGGGUUAGUUAUUAGGCUAGGCUAGGCUGCUUCGGGUUGGGUCUAACCCGUUAAACUCGUGGGGCAUCCGAUCCAGCGAAGAAGAAGGCUGGAAUUGGGCCAAGAAAUUUCCCAACUCCGUUUUGGGGUCAAAACUCAACAAAAAAAACAAUGAUUCAAAGAUCAUAUUGAAGCUAGAAAUCUAGAGGACAAGUUUGUAACAAAGUGGGGCCAAGUUAUCGUCGGUGUUGGCCGAAAAUCCCCUGCAAACCCGUGGUACUUGUCGAAAAACUGGAAAUGUUUCCUCCUUCGAUGCUUCUAUGUCCAACCACAUUGAUUUAGAAUAUUAACAUCCUAAUAUGGUUUUUAAUUCACGAAGGAAGAACGACAAAGGUGAACCGAGGCAUACCUUGGUUGGGAUCCAAGAAACUCGCGGGAGUACGACAAGGUGAUGUCGUUGUGCUCCCUUAUACAGAAAGAAGUCAGAUGAAGAGAGAGAGUUGAGAGAAUUUAAGGGAAACAGAGUGAUGGUGGUGAGGUCAUUGUCGCUGUCGUACAUUUGUACGUGUGUGUGUGUGGGUGGAUGGUGCUCGGGAAUGGAGAUGAGGGGAGUGUGUUGUUUCCCGGGGAGAGACAAAGAGAAAGAGAGGGAAAACGAGAAAGAAAAAAGUUCGAGAGAUUUGGGGAAGGGACCACGUGGCAAGAGAAGAAUGGAGAGUGUAGUGUAGGUGUGGGUUCCACAGCCUGAAUAAUAUUAAAAUAAUUAAAUAUCCAAUCCUAAUAUCUCGAAUAGUGGAAUGAUUAUUUUGCCCCUCCACUUCGUAGUUCAGUAAAAUCCUCAUCGGAACUCCAAAUUACAUUUCGUUUGCAUCCACACGUUCGUAAUGACGAGUACUUCAAGAAUACGCCAAGGAAACGAAUCUUAUGUGACACGACAAAAUGGUCAACAAAAGUCAACAUUUGGCCCCAUAAGGCAUUUUUUAAAAUUUACGUAUUAAUAUUAUAAAAAUUGUAAUAAUUGGGGAUGGGUCGUUACAUUAAUAAUGUUGGCUAAUCUUUGAACUCUUCCAUAAGCACCAUUGAAUUCUCAUUGGUUUUGAUUCAAAAUUUUGUACUUUCCCACAAAAUGCAACUUUUGUAAUGCUUAAGGUAAAAGGUUUAGUGAAUGUACAUAUAUAUUAUAUUAUGUAUAAGUUAUAUUAUAUCCUUAAUAAGUAUUAUUCGGAGCGGAUUCGGGAAUAGAUACUGAUCGGGGACCCUUAUAUCCAAAUCGGAAACCAUAGCCUAAUAAUAUUUCAAGUUUUCCUCCAUAUCCAAAAUAUAUUCGAAUUUCACCUCCAAAUCCGUUCUUUUUGGUUGGGCUAUCCAUGAUUAUCGGAGUUAACGAUUUGAAUUGUCAUCCCUAAUCUAUGAGGACAUAUACGAAACAAAGAGAAGCCAAGAUGACAAUGUAUCAAACUAAAUAUCUACUCAAUGUGAAAAAAAUUAAAACUCAUAAUAAUGCAUAAUAAGUUUGAAAAACUACCGUGACACUUUUGAAGAUUUUUUCCAUUGAAUUUUCUCUAGUGAACAUCAAAAGAGCACAGUUACAAGAUCAAAGAUACUGUCAUUCAGGAUAGCUUUUUUAAUGUGUCUGGAACACGAGGAAAUACGUUAACACACUGGAAAUACGUUAUAUGUCAUUAUACAUGAAGGAAAAUUAUUUUUGUCAAAUAUUUUUCAACUUAUAUAAUGACAUAUGACGUUAUCAUGGGAAUUCUCUUCUAGCAAACGGACGAACUGCAUUUGGGGCCUACCACGGUAGACUGCCCAUUACGGUGAAAAGACGUGACCCCAAAUCUUGUCCAGUCUUGUUUGAUGGGCCUCCCCAAUGUAAGAAAAGAAGACGCAUGGGGCACUAACAAUGACAGGUCUUUUAGCCCAUGUGGUGCACUUUUCACCUUAAAUCAUGAGUUUGUUCUUUCGUAUAGGUUACAAGUAAGAGAUCCGAAGCUGAAACCUCUCUUAUAUUUUGAUACGCGAAGUAUUACUAGAUUAAGAGUUAGUUGAUAAAAUCGGAUCGGUUUGGCAUUGAGAGUGAAAUUAUAUGAAAUGAGGGUGACACAAAUACAGUCACAGAAGCAAAGACAACCAUCCUUUUUAAGACCGAAGUGAUUGAGAAUCUUUGGUUCUUUCACUUUAUGACUCCUUUAUCACAUUAUUUAAAUUAAUCCAACUUAAACAAACUUAAAUGAAUGAUGGUUACAUAAGAUACCUCCUUGUCCACUAAUUUUUAAUCAAUUUAAUUAAUUAAAUUUAAUUAUAAUUAUACUAUACAACAGAUAUCUAGGAUUCCGUAUCUUCUUCUUUCCGCAACAUGGACGGCUGACAAUUGAGAGCCUUUACUUGCCCAUAUCUAUUACAAAUAGACAAGAUAUUGGUGCAAUAAUUUUAGAUGUUCCCCAUGGAUGUAGAUGUUAGAGUUGAAAAACCCACCACUUCCGCAAUCCCUCGUAGCAACUCCCCCAUGGAUGUAGAUGUUAGAGUUGAAAACCCACCACUUUCGUAAUCCCUCAUAGCAACUCCAGUGUAAAAGCCCCCAUUCCAGAUUAUUUACUAUUUAAUCCAUCCAAUGAAUAGUAACUGUUCUUAAUAAACAGUAAUUACAGUGGUAAUUACCUUUUGCAUCUCCACUCCUGUACUGAAUAGCCUGUCAAUUGGCAAUAAAAUAUUAUUAUUUUUUAUUUAUAAAAUAAUACAUAAUAAUUUUAUUUGUAAUUUCAGAUAAGAUUUUUAAUCGUUCUCGUUGCGCCACGUGUCAUUAUCCGCAAAGAUAAUUUUUCAUAAUUUUUUUUCGGAUUUUAAAGAAUUUUUUACAUUUAAAAAAAAAAAAUUUAUUCACCUAAUUAAUCUUUGCCGUUGGAUUUUUAAAAAAAAUUGAAUUCCAACACUCCAGGUUGUGCCACGUGGUACAACGGUAACAUUUCAGAAUUUUAAACUGUUUUUUUUUUAAUUUACAAAGCCUAAUAACGUGGACCGUUGAUCUUAGAUCAAACGGAUGAAAUUAAAUGAGAUUUUUAAAUGUUUUUUACCGUUGGAAAUCCAACAGUCCAUAAAAUAAGGCCGUUACAAUCGAACAAACAUGGGGAAGCUACGUGGCUUCCCCAACAGUAGCAUUUCAAAACAGGCGCCGUUGGCCCCAGCCCUGUUUUUUUGUCAGAAGACGCGAGCAUGAAACGCACGUGCCUGACGCAGCCCUCGGGUUCUCGGGCUGGCAAUCGACGCCGGGCCUGCUCCUCGGGCCUUGCCUGUCACUCGGGCUACCCAACGCUGGACCCUAUCCCCCGACAAUUUGGUCCUGUUUGAAGGCCUAGCCCUCGAGCAAACUCCCUCGCUGGAGUUGCUCUCAUGAGAGAAAAAAUUCAAGGCAUCCGUUUGCAUGAAAUUUGUGUUUAUGUUGUGGUCUAUUUUAUCUGACAGAGGGACUAGGGCCGGCGGCAAAGAGAGAGAGGAGAGAGAUGUGUGUUUGUAGAAUUGUAGGGGAAUGUGUGUGUUGUUAUCCCUCCUACAUUGUGCCUUUAUUUAUAGUAGUAAAGGGAGAGAAGAUAUUUUGUGCUUUUAUUUAUAGUAGUAAAGGGAGAGAAGAUAUUUCUUCUCCUCCAAGUAAUACAAGUUGUAAUAGGAAAGGAUAACUAGAAUCAAAUCUUAUCUAGGAUUUACACAAUCAUACUUAAACUAGGAAUGUUUACAACACUCCCCCUUGAGUGGGUAAAUACUCAAGGUAGAUUCAGCAUCAUGCAAAAGUUGAGGAAGUCGACUCGCCGGCACUGAUUCCAAGGAACAACGCUUAUUCUCAAUAAGGUAGGAACUUGCAUAAGUAGUAAGUCUCACUAAAAAACCCUAAGGCUAUGGCAAAAACCCAAGUAGGGACAAAAUCCAUAGUCUAAGGAAAAAUGUGUGAGAAAUGCAAAGUCAAAAGAAACGUCUACAGGACGUCAUCAGGGAUAUGACCAGCCCAAGGUGGGUGCCUCGUUAAAACCUAGUUAGGUAGCAAAAACCCAGUGGGAAAAAUGCUCAUAAUCGUAGGGAAAAAGAGUACAUUAAGAUCAAACAAGUAUCCAGAAGAUACUCCCCCUGAGUUUGACAUAAUUCCAAAGAGAAAUAGCAAAGUUACAACUCAGAAAGUUUACGCAUACCAAUUCCAUGAACAAGCUUCUGAAACGUCGCCUUCGGUAGUGAUUUGGUGAAGAGGUCGGCCAGAUUGUCUUGUGAUCGGAUUUGCGUGACUUCAAUCUUCUGAUGCUCUUGUUGUUAAUGUGUAAAGAAGAACUUCGGCGCAAUAUGCUUGGUGUUGUCUCCUUUGAUGUAACCCUUCUUGAGCUGUUCGAUGCAAGCUGCGUUGUCUUCAAAAAUCGUCGUCGGGGCAUUAACGGCGGGAUGAAGAUCACAGGAGCUUCGAAUAUGGCCCACUACUGCUCUCAACCAAAAGCAUUCCCGAGUUGCUUCAUGUAAGGCGAGAAUUUCAGCAUGGUUAGACGAAGUGGCAACUAAGGUCUGUUUAGUUGACCUCCAAGAUAUUGCGGUGCCUCCAACGGUAAAGACAUAACCCGUUUGAAAACGCGCCUUGUGCGGAUCAGAUAAGUCUCCAGCGUCGGCAUAACCAACAAGGCGAGAAUCAACCCGAUGAGCAUAGGGUGAGGCAUUACUCGAGGAUUCGUAGGGAUAGAAUAAGCCCAAAUCCGUAGUACCCUUAAGGUAACGGAAGAUGUCUUUCACGCCAGUCCAAUGUCUGCGUGUUGGUGCAUUGCUGUAUCUUGCCAAAAGAUUAACAGCGAAGGAGAUGUCGGGUCUAGUGCAUUGAGCUAAGUACAAUAAAGCGCCUAUCGCACUUAGAUAAGGAACUUCAGGCUCCAAAAUCUCUUCAUCAUCCUCCUUCGGACGGAAGGGAUCUCGCUUUGCAUCUAGCGUACGAACGACCAUAGGAGUACUCGAAGGCUUCGCUUUAUCCUCAUUAAAACGGCGCAACACCUUCUGGGUGUAGUUCGAUUGAUGUACUAGGAUUCCAUCCGAACAAUGCUCUAUCUCGAGACCGAGACAGUAUCGAGUCUUACCUAGAUCUUUCUUCUCAAAUUCCGACUUCAGGUGCAAAGCAGUUCUCGCGAGCUCUUCAGGAGUUCUGAUGAGAUUCAUGUCAUCGACAUAUACUGCAACAAUCGUAAAUCCGGAAUGUGACUUCUUAAUGAACACACAAGGGCAUAGUUCGUUAUUCACAUAUCCCUGACUAGUCAAAUACUCACUUAAACGGUUAUACCACAUUCUUCCGGAUUGUUUCAAACCGUAUAGUGAACGCCUCAGCCGAAUUGAGAGCGUGUUCCGGGGUUUGGAAAUAUUUGAACCAGUCAAUGUAAGUCCUUCGGGAACUUUCAUAUAAAUUUCCGUAUCAAGAUCCCCAUAGAGAUACGCGGUUACUACGUCCAUCAGCUGCAUAUCCAGUUUUUUCGGAAACUACCAAACUGAUAAGGUAUCGAAAAGUAAUCACAUCCAUAACGGGUGAGUAAGUUUCGUCAUAGUCAAUCCCGGGGCGUUGUGAGAAACCUUAUGCUACAAGACGAGCUUUGUAACGCACAAUUUCGUUCUUCUCAUUACGCUUCCGAACGAAAACCCACUUGUAGCCAACGGGCUUCACAUGUGGAGGAGUAGGAACUACAGGUCCAAACACCUUACGUUUCGCAAGUGAAUCAAGUUCGACUUGGAUUGCUUGUUUCCAGUUUGACCAAUCAGCUCUAUGUCGACAUUCAUCAACGGAACGCGGUUCAAUGUCAUCGCUCAACAUGAUCUCAGUAGCUACUGCAAAUGCUAAUGCAUCGUCGACAAUCAUCUCAUUUCUACGCCACACAUCAUCUAAGCUAGCAUAAUAGACCGAAAUCUCACGAUUCUCGGGAGGAGGAUUCGUCUCUUCAAGAACGCUUCCAUAAUCUAGAAUUUCCUCAUGAGUUGGGUAAAAUGAGUAAGCGAUAGUCAGAUUCACGGUAGGCUCUUCAGGACCUUGUGCCGUGGUUUUCCUCUUCCGGGGGUGUGAAUCCUUUGAACCAAGGGGUCUGCCAUGCUUUUGUGUAGGGGCAGAUGAUUGGCUAGCCGUUAAUGUACGUGGAUCACCAGAAUUGGCGUCCCGGGCUUCCAGGAGGGUAGUCCGUCGUACAUUUGGUACAUCCAUCUUUGCAGGCGUAUUCGCAGCUAGAAUAUGUGAUCUUGUCACGCGCGCUAGAUCGGUGAAAGCAUCUGGCAUGCUCUGAGCUAUGCUCUGGAGAUCUAAUAUGCGCUGCACUUCAGCUUCAGACUGAGCGGUGCGGGGAUCUAAAUGAGACAAAGUGGGAGUUGUCCACGAUAAUUCGCAUCGUUCAUUAGGAACGUUGACGUUCUUAUCUCCCCCUAACGACGGGAAGACUGUCUCAUAGAAGUGACAAUCCGUGAAACGAGCGGUAAACAGAUCGCCUGUCAAAGGUUCUAAGUAACGAAUAAUCGAAGGAGAAUCAUAUCCGACAUAGAUUCCCAUCCUUCGCUGAGGCCCCAUUUUUGUACAUAAGGGCGGCGAGAUCGGCACAUAGACCGCACAACCAAAAACGCGCAGAUGCGAUAUGUCGGGUUCGCAUCCGGUGACCAACUGAAGGGCACUAAAUGGUUGUGUCGCAACAGGCCUCAGGCGGACCAACUUUGCUGUGUGCAAUAUUGCAUGGCCCCAAGCAGCGAUCGGGAGCUUGGUACGUAUGACCAACGAUCGAGCAAUCAUUUGUAAACGCUUAAUGAAAGCCUAUGCCAGGCCGUUCUGGGUGUGAACAUGGGGUACAGGAUGUUCAACUUCAACCCCAACCGACAUGCAAUAGUCAUCAAAAGUUUUAGAUGUGAAUUCUCCAGCAUUAUCCAAUCGAAUAGAUUUGAUCGGAUAAUCAGGGUGGUGAGCCCUGAGCUUGAUAACCUGAGCCAACAGUUUGGAGAAUGCAGCGUUCCUUGUGGACAACAAGCACACGUGUGACCAACGUGUAGAAGCGUCAACCAAAACCAUAAAAUAUCUAAAUGGUCCGCAGGGAGGUUGAAUCGGUCCACAAAUGUCCCCCUGAAUCCGUUGUAGAAAAAUGGGAGGAUUCGAACGAAUCUUGUCAUAAGAAGGCUUAGUAAUAAGCUUUCCCAUAGAACAUGUUUGACAUGCAAUUUCAUGGAUCGAACCUAAGCUUCGGGUUAGUGGAUGCCCGUGUGAAGUUUUGAGGAUACGGCGCAUCGCUAUUCGUCCAGGAUGUCCCAAACGAUCAUGCCAAAGUGUAAUUUCGUGCGCGGUCCCUGUGGUAGGGCCGGCCACAUAGUGGCAUUCUAUGGGGCGUAUGGUCGUAGUAUACAGACCACUCGAGUUACGCUCCAUCUUCUCUAGAAUACGCUUCUGGCCAUAUUCGUAGGAAGUUACGCACAGAAAUUCAACUCCGUUUUCUAUGUGGGUUUCAGCAUGGUAAUUGUUAUCUCUAAUGUCCUUGAAACUUAGUAACGUUCUUCCGGAACGUGGAGAAUAGAGUGCCUCAGCAAUGGUCAAGAUUGUACCAUUGGACAACAUUAUACGUGCCUUACCGUAUCCUUCGAUCAGGUUGGAUGGGCUUGAGAGGGUUGUCAGAGGUGCAUUCUUAGGUACGAAGUUAGUGAAAUAGAUGCGUUCACGCAAAACAGUAUGCGUGGUUGCACUAUCUGCCAGACAACUAACUUUCCCACUAGUCAUACCUAGAAUGAAAAAUUAAUUUGAAUCGGUCACAUGCAUAAAAGUUUAUAAAAACAAGUAUCAAUUCAAAAUAAUUUCAUUUAUUCAAGGAUUAAAAACUUAAUAUCCAAAAUAAAUCGCCAACUAAUAAUCCAAAACAUAAAGGAAAAUUGUUCAAAAUCAACCAAAAAAAACAAGGUGGGGUUCGGCCACAAGGUGGAAUUCAGCCCCAAUUGUCUUAUUUUAACUGAAAAAUAAGUCUAUGUCUAAGAUUCUAAUCUUCCAUAGGAGUGGUAUCCUCCUGAAAAUCAGAAACCUCCAUCUUUGUAGUCUCCGGUUCGUCCACUUGUAGGAAGUUUGAUUCAAACUUCGUACGACGAGAAUGAUAUGCAUCCACAACCUUCUUGGGAGCACGGCAAAUACGGGACCAAUGGUCCUUGGAACCACAACGAUAGCACAUAUCGUCAUUCAUUGUGGCAGGUGCUUUGCCCUUAUUCUUGAAGUUCGGGGCCUUGGGAGCGAGGUUUGGGCGCUUCUGGGCUUUGUUUCCUCCCUUGGAUGGGCCUUGGCUCUGUUGACCUUGGUGGGAUGGCUUCUGGCCGCCCUUACCACGCCUCUUUUGGCGUUUUGGGUGCUGAUUAGUGCUAUAAUGUGCUUCAGGCACAGCAGUAGCCCCAGUAGGUCGAGCUUGAUGAUUCUUCAUCAACAGCUGGUUCUGCUUUUCAGCAAGAAGUAAAACAGAGAUCAAAUCCGAGAACUUAGUGAACUUCUGAGCUCUAUAUUGUUGCUGCAGGACAAUAUUAGAAGCAGAGAAGGUCGAGUAGGUCUUCUCCAGGAGAUCCUCUUCAGUCAAAGUUUCAUUGCAAAACUUGAGAAGUGAUCGGAUUCGACAAACUUCAGAAUUAUAUUCAUUCACAGACUUAAAGUCUUGGAAAGCGCAAGUGCUGCCAGUCGUGCCGUGUCUUGCUUCAGGCAAGAAUAUGUCCUUUUGGUGAUCGAAACGAUCAGCCAAAGCGACCCAUAAUGCACGUGGAUCCUCCUCAGCAAGGUACUCAGUUUGUAGAGCGUCAUGGAUAUGUCUUCGGAUGAAGAUCAUAGCAGUGGCUUUUUUCAGCCUCGCCAACAGGUUUAUCUGUUGCUUCUUCAAUAGCAGGACGCAAGUUCUUUGCAGUGAGGUGGAGCUUCACAUCUUGAACCCACUUGAGGUAGUUCCUUCCAGAAACCUCCAAAGCGGUGAAGUCGAGUUUGUUCAAAUUCGACAUGUUCCUAUCACAAAAUAGAUGGACAAGAUGUGGUUAGUGUAAUGGAGAAAAAUCAAUCCAUUCACAUAGGAGUAGAACAUACAGGUUCUAAUAGACAUGUAUUGGUUGAAUUUUGCAUGAAAAACUUCGGGUUUUCAUGGGUGAUAUGUUUAAGUGAAAACUUCGGGUUUUCUAACAAGGCAUGUGUAUAAGAAACUUCGGGUUUCAAAGUAAUUAUGAACUUCAGGUUCAUAUAUUCAUGCAGGCAAACACAAAUAUAUAUGCAAACAAAUAUGCAAAGAAUAUAUGCAGAAAUAUUGUAUAAUGAUAAGUGAAUUAAUUUAUUUUUUUGGUCUUCGGGGGCCAAAUUAAAGUGUGGGUGAAAAUAUAAAAACCCAUAUUAUUUAAAAGUAUUAAAUAAUAAAAUCUCGGGGCCUAAAAAUAUAGGCCGAGUACCCCCGGGUGUAGGCUGCAGGCCCACGGGGUGAGAAAGGAAUGGGCUGCUGUGUGCAGCCCUAAAAAAAAUUUUCUCCUUUUUUCGGUAUGGGCCGCUGCAGGCGAGCCCAGGAAAAUAAAAAAACAAAUUGUUUUCUUUGUGGGCUAGGCCGCUGCAAGCGAGCCCAGCAAAAAAAAAUUGUUUUUUUUUCUUUUGUUACACGGGCCGAGAGACAGAGCCCGAGUAGGGUUCGGGAAAGAGACCCAAAAGAAAUCCCAGCCGUGCUGGGUGUGCGAUGCCGAAGAAGAAAGCCGGAGUUCGUGGACGGCGCCAUGGCAUGCGGUGUGUCCAGGGUCGAGCAAGCCAUGGUUCGUCGAAGAACCAGGUGUUUGUUGAUGAAGAAGAGAUCUCAACGUCGAUGGAAGAAAAAAAAUUGAAUGAAUUCAAUUGAAUUCGAGUGAAGACCCAUGAAAUUCUUCUGGAAUUUCUAGAAAUCGUUGGUGAAAACGAUGGGUGGUGUCCAAGUUUGCACGACUGCAGGUCGUGUUGUGUUGGAAAAUCGACGGCGAGGACCUAGGCUUCAGGCCGUAGGUAGGGACAAGGUGCUUCAAACGCACCGUUUCGGUUCAAGGCUUGCGGCAUGGGUUCUCGGUUUGGGUUGGGCCAUCGCAGGCUGCGGGCCUGGUGGCUUGCGGCCUUGCAUGGUGCACAGGCACGGGUUAGACUAGAACCCUAAUUUCCCCAAUCGCAAAAUUUUUUUUUUUCAAUUCAAAUAUAUUACAUGUAUAAUUUUAAUGAAUCACAUAUUUACGUUGAUGCAUAUGCAAAUAAUAGUUUCAAUGCAUGUACAUAUGUAAGAUUCAAUUCAUGACAAAUAUCAAAUUCACAUAAUUGUAGCAAUUUUGAUGAUGAAGCAUACACAAUUUAUGUAGAAUCUAAAAUACGUUAAACGUAAAGUUGGGUCAUGCAUCAUGGUGAAUGUUCAUGCUAUCAGGGCUUGCAAAAUAUCGAGUUAAAAACCGUUGUUUGGAAAGAACCUGAUUGCGUGAUGAUAUGGAUGAACUGGUUUGAUGCAGAAAAAAUUUCCAACGUCAGAUUCCUAAGCGCAGCGGUAGGAGCGUGCUGAUAACGUGUUGUGGUCUAUUUUAUCUGACAGAGGGACUAGGGUCGGCGACAAAGAGAGAGGAGAGAGAUGUGUGUUUGUAGAAUUGUAGGGGAAUGUGUGUGUUGUUAUCCCUCCUACAUUGUGCCUUUAUUUAUAGUAGUAAAGGGAGAGAAGAUAUUUCUUCUCCUCCAAGUAAUACAAGUUGUAAUAGAAAAGGAUAACUAGAAUCAAAUCUUAUCUAGGAUUUACACAAUCAUACUUAAACUAGGAAUGUUUACAACAGUUUAAAAAUUGUUACAUCAUUUUUAAGUGUCAUAAUCACAAUUGAAUUCUGCAUCAUAUGUUUUUUUUUAGUACAAUAAUAUAUUUUACAUUAUUUAAAGAGAGAAGUUUGAUUGAACCACACAAUAAGUAACCUAAUUUGAUAUCAAAUUCAAUAUUUACGAUAUUCAAAAUUAAAAUCUCUCACUUGCAAAUAAAAGAAAAUAUCAUCGUAAUACUGAAUAGAUUACAUCAUUCGUUUUAAGUCGGUUUACCAAAAUUUGUUAUUAUGUUUGAUUUGAUGACUGGUGAAGUGAGACUAGGUUAGGUAACAAGUCUUUCUCAGUAGGGGCUUAAGAGUCAACAUACAAUGUCCCACUCGCUUUAAUUAAUAAAAAUUAUUUUGACUAUUAUCUUAUCAACACUCGUUUACGGAAAGGAAUCCUUUCUUGAUCCUUUUUCAUCUAAUUUAGAUCUGUUGAAAUUUAAUUAAACAGUUAUAAAUAGAAGAUUUCUUUAAAAGUGAUAAUAAAUAUAACUGUUAAGUUAAAUUUUAACAAUCCAGGUCCUGAAUUAAGUGGAAAGUGAUCCGCUCUCUUUCCCUCGUUUACCAUCAUAAUCCAAAUUAAGGUUACUAUUUAAUUUGGAUCUCCAAUCAUUGUGGCUUGGCUAAUAUAGAAUUCCUCGCCGAGAUGGUGGUGGUUGUUAUUGGUAAAAAAAAAAAAACAAAGAUAUUUCUAAGUAUAUACUAUUUACCAUCCUUGCUAGGCUGUUUGUGGCUACAUUUCAACACUCAAUAAUGUAUGGCAUGUUCCAAUCUUUGUUUUUGAAUUACAGCCACGUGAUGUUGUUAUUUUGUUGUAUAUUUUGGACUUAACAGACUCUUACCGAUCAUUUUACACCUUCUCAUAAUCAGUAACAUGCUCGGAAUUAUACGUAGACCGAGGUUGCCAUACCUCUCCUAGCCAUCGUGGAAACAAGACAGUCCUCAUGAAAUCACUCAUUUAAUAGAUGAUUGUCACAAGUUUAAAAAGAACACCACUCAUCCAAAAGGUUAAUGAUUUCUUUACUUACAAGUAGAGGUAACAAAUUAACUCAUUGACUCAUUAAUGAUAUCUAUUAAGACCUGCUUAAAUUUGAUAUCACCAUAACAUAAAUGUGAGAUUGGUAAUGAUGAUGAUAGUGUAAGAUGAAAUGAAAUCAAACGAUUUUUAACAUGCAUUUAUUAACAAUCCAAUGAACUAAUUUGUUACAUCUAGUUACAAGGGAGUAUUUCCACUGCUGAAAUAAGUCUAAAUUUUUAUAUUAACGUGUGUAAUUAUUUUUUAUAAAAAUACUUUAUAAAAGCAUAUGAAUAUAUCGUUCACACGUAUUAUAGUAUAUACGUGAAAAUAAUGUACCAAAUGAAAUAUUUUCCAUACACGCAAAAGGUUCUUCCAUCCUAGCCGUAUGAUUUAAGAGGGAAAGCCAUAAUGGCACAAAAAUCAUACAAAUCAACUCCAUCUCACCCGUUGAUCACCUCUCAAUCACCCCAAUCAGAAAUCCAACGGUGGAUACGCUUACAGAAAAGGGUACACUUCAGAACACACCAGAGCCAUCCCCCACCCCACGCCUAAUUAUGUAAGGCCGCCUCAAGGAGGGAGAAACGACAGAUACGUGGAAGAAAACAGGUACAGAGGGAUUGGACUUAAAUGCAUGGGAUAGACAUGACGUCUGAUCACGCCACGUGGACGGUGGAUAUCAGCCACUCUCUCUCCUCCACCGCACUAUAAAUUGAGGGUCAUGGCUUCCUAUGGUUACUCGUUCAAAACAGAGCUUGCGUUUAUCUGCUUCUUUGUCAUCAAUUCAAUCAAACUUUCCGUCGGGAAAUUUUCCGUCUCCAAUUCCAAAAAUGUCGUCGUGCUGCGGUGGUAAAUGUGGUUGCGGGUCCGGCUGCAGCUGCGGCAGUGGCUGCAACGGGUAAUCUUUCUACCUCUCUGUUUGUUUUCCGAGAAUCUGGAAAAAAGAAAAUCCCAGAAAAUUUCUGCUCUGAUUUGGGUUUUUGACUACAUGGGUUUUUGUUCAGGUGUGGGAUGGCUCCUGAUCUGAGCUACAUGGAGGGGUCCACCACUGAGACCCUCGUGAUGGGAGUUGCUCCCCAGAAGUCGUACGUAUUCUCAUCUCUCAGAAAUGAGAUCCCAAAUUAUUUUUGAAAUAUGUAAUUUGCAGAUUUUGUGGUUAUAAUUUUGGGAGACACGGAGAAACAGAAGUAGAUGGACACCAAACCGACAAUAAAAGUUUUAAAACGACAAUAAAAGGGAAAAGGACUCCGAUCCCUUCCUCCAAUUCAAAUCAGGAAAUUUAUGAUGUUGAAAUUUUUUUCUUUACUAAUUAAUGAAAUCUUUUUGUCAAUCAAAAAAUGAAAGAUAAAUUAGUUUUUUGUUACAAAAAUAUGAUGGGUAAUAAUGUAAUUUUAAAGGUUUAAAUUUUAUUAUUUUUAUUGAAAUAUUACUUGCCGAUGAUAUUAAAAUACCUUUAAUAUUAUAUAAAAAAAUAACCAAAAAAUACCUUCCCAACUCUCCCAGUUCUCUCUCUCUCCUAUUUUUUUUUAAAUGUGUUCAUACAUAUAAAUUGCAAGUAAAUAUUAGUAAUUUUUAAAGUGAGUUUCUGUUUGUAAUCGUUGAAUCUGUAAGGAUUUUCUGAUUUGAUGAUUAGGAGAAAGGGAUAUGCGGAGUGGAUUUAUUCCCAGUAAAAGGAAACAAAAUCAUGAUUUAUGUACGGUUUAUUGUCUGUUUAACAUAAGUUAAAUUUGUCUUUGUUUUGUUUUUAUUGAAACCGCGAUCGGUAUGAUUUAGGGAAGCAUGGAGAGAGAAAGCAUCAUUUAUACACUGACUUAUUGUCUGUUUCGGAGCGCUGUAACAUUUGUUUUGUAAUUUUGAUGUGCAGUCACAUGGAGGCAUCUGAGAUGGGAGUUGCUGCCGAGAACGGAUGCAAGUGUGGAGACAACUGCACCUGCAACCCCUGCAACUGCAAGUGAGAGGGACAGAUGGCACCUUCUGAUGAAGCAAGAGAAUCGCGGGGCUUAUAUGUUUAGCAGUAAUAUAUGUAUGUGUGUGUGUCGUAAUCAUGAAUCAUGAUCCAAAUUUACGAAGGUCGUGUUUUUAGAAUAAAGUGGCCAUGGCUUCUUCUGAGCUGCACGUCCUACUAGGCUGGGAUCUGGUCCUAGGUUAUGGCUGCUUGUUGUCUGUUUGCUUUGUACAUGCAGUAGUCGUAUUUGUGUUUUUAUGUUCGUGUUAACUUGGUGGAUCGUAUUAUGUGUUUCUGAUGAAAUUAAUGAAAAACUUGCUCCAUCUUUUGCUUUAAUUUUUGGGUUAAUUGACAAGGAAAACGAGUGCAAUAAGUUCCAACAACAAAAGUUUCUAAGAUGUUCUGGGGAAAUUUGGAGUACAACAUAUUUCGAUGUUUUAACCUUUUAAGAAUUUGUCAAACAUCCAACGAUUAUCGGAGAAUUUGUGUAGAAAGUCGUAUAUAUGGAGGAGAAAAACACACAAGAAGAAUUAGAUUAGAUCUGUUACUAAUCCAAACAUUUUUAAAAAGGGAUUUUAACAAAAAAAAAAAAAUGGUAUUAUUUAUUUUAACGAAAAAUUAUAUUUUUAUAAUAAAAAAUUAAUAUUAGUACUAUUUAUUUUAUUUUUUUAUUUCGUAUUUAUCGUUAACUUAAAAUUUUUAAAUUAUUUUUAUUAGUUUUUUUUUUUUUAAAAAUAUUAACCAUCUAUUUGGGAUAAUAAUUUAGCCAUUAAUAAGACUCCAAAAAAAUAAUCAUCAAAGUAUUUGGAGAACCAUCAACCCUAUCCUUUAUUUCGUUCCAUGGUUAAAAAAAAAAAAAAGAACAAAAAAGCAGGAACUAGUGGUAAGCUAUGGUUAUUAACCUUUUUUUGGUCCGAAACCGGGAUUGUAAUUUUGUUAUGUCGGUGGUUACGAUCAAGCAGAUCUAACGGCUCGAAAUAUUUCACAUUUUUUCAAAACUCACCCAUCCAAUAUUUAUUGUAUGGUUGUGGUUCAACCACAUUUUUUUGUUGGAAACUCACCCUCGAUCUAAUAUUUAUUGUAUGGUUGUGGUUCACGUUACGCUUUGGACGGGCGAUGUCUUUAUGCUGGGAGCAGCAGCUUUUGGGCACUCCACAUGUUGGUCGAAAAAGUGUCACCGUGACAUCUCAUGUUAGUGUAACAUCUCGGUGAGGACAGUUUCAAUUGUCGAACGAAAAUAUGACGAAGCAUAAGUGCCUUGCCGUAUCAAUGACUCAGCAAUAAGGCUUUGUAAAUUUCAUUCAGUUCAAGAUUGUAACAACAAAUAGAUGGAAUUCAUUAGAAAUCAUGAAUAAUCUUCGUUGCUAGUUUACAAAUCAACACAAACAGGGUCUUUUCAGUCUUUUACAAUGACACGUCCAUAAGGUUUUACUUGGGCGAGAAAUUUCCGUAGAGCUGCCUUCUCACACGGGGUUUGACCAACUUGAGGUUGGAUAGAUUAAAAACUAAAAUACAGGAGGUUUUAGAGUUGGAGUUGACGUGGUCAGACACCCCUAUCCAAAUUUCACAUUUGCUUGACCUGUGAAAUAUCUGAGCAGCUGAGUGUUGCCUUUAUUUCCUUAUCAAGUACCCCUAUCGCUGCUUUGUUAAACAGGUUGACAAUCUGUUAAAAGAAAUUAAUUAGAGCAGAUUAGUAAUCAUUCAUCAUUCAACGGGGAAGGUUGUGGUGAAACUGUCUUCUGGGAUCACCUGCUUAGUUGAGAGGCCUAUUUUCUCCAAAUCGUUCAGCUGAAACAUGCAACGUUCAACAUCACAGUUACUCAAAAACUUAGUUCCAAUUUCGCUGUACCGUUCCAAUUUUAUCGGAUAGUCCAUGAAAAAACAAAUGUAAUUCAAGUUUCAUCUGUUCCUAAACCUUAAUAAACUUGCUUACCGAUUUUAAAGGGCUCGUUUCUCUGAGCUCGAGUAUGUAUUCAGCCAUUUUGACUCCUAUUCCCUGAUUGAUGAACGCGAGGGAAAAAGAAAGUAUCAGAAGGCAAGUAAUUAUUUUAAGAACACACAAAGAUGCAGCAUUUGAUAGGAACCUUUAGCUCCAGCAGCUCUUCCCUGCGGUUGAGAAAACCAGUCGAAAUAUUAGGUUCAUUUGGUAUGAUUGAGUGAAAAAUGCAAGAAACGAAAAAACGAAGAAGCUUCAAAGAGAUGAUAAGAUUUUUACCUGUUGGCUGUGUUCAAGAAGUCAAUAUAAUCUUGAAGUAGGAACUUCUGUGCAAUAAGCGAAAGAAAAACAGAUGAAAAUCACAUUAAAAAGCUAGAACUUAACUAAUAGAGUUGUACGUAAUGAUUGUACCUUCAAGUUUGAUCCGCAAGCAGUGAAUUUAUCAAGUGGGGUGCCUGUCCUUUGGAACAUGUUUUUCGUGCAGGUCGCUAAAGAGGGAGUUUUCGGAGUCUUUGGAUCAAAGAGUAGGGUGCAAUCUCCAUUUGUGAAUAAGGGUUCACUGAGGGGAUUUUGAUUUAUAUUGGUGUUGAUCGGGGAGAGAGCUUUUCUCAAGGAACUUUGAGGUGUGUUUUUCUUCCCGCUGACGGGUGAUGAGUCGUUUGCAAAGUUUUCCUCCUGGUUUGGUGGUUCAGCUAUGCAUAUAUACAAGAAAAUAGUGCAUUUAUUCAAUUUGUUUAGAGUGUUUGAAGGAGCAUAUUAAGUAAUAAAACCAUAUAGAGCUGAAACAUACCAGGUAAACUUGUAUUUGAUUUGAGAACGGAUCCACAAGCUCCAGCAUUGCCCACUUGUUUAUUAUCCUUAGCGGCGAAUUGCAGGCUCUGGAAAGCAAUUCCAACUCAUAAAUACACAAUGACAUAAACAUCAAACGCAAGAUAAACUAAUUCGGAAUGAAUUCAGUAGCUUCUCAUCCCCAAGUGGAACUGUUAAACUCAAACUUUCAAAUAAUAUGCCAUCUCAUGAAUAUCCUAAUGUGAUGAAUAAAGUUUCACAAUAGAGUAAGAAUAAGAAUAUAUUGAAUACACUAUAACGUAGUUCUAAUUUUAUCAUUUUCCAUCCAUGUACUCCCUAAAAUUUAGUAAUUACCUCCAAAUUGGAAUCAACUAGACUUUCAUUGUCGAUUAUGUUCCUGAUAGGUCUUUUGAUUGUCCUGCAAAAAAUUUCAACAAUCAAACAAAAGUGACUAAUGCAUAGCAUGAAGGAUAUACAAUUCAACUAGUUACUUGUCAUUGUACCUUUCUUUCACAGAGCAGGCGCUUCUGUUUGUAUUAACCUUGGAUUUCAUAGAACUGAGGUUGAUGCUGGGUUUCUUGACAUUAGCAAUAGAAGAACUUGGAGAUUUCCCCAACAAGGGAGAAUUGAAUGCUUCAAUUCUUCGCACACUCUUUGUCUUUCCUCUUGAUUCAAGCCAAGUACGGAGUUUGGCUUCCAUGUCAACUUUAACCUUCGGGGUCUCUUGCUUGUGAGCUGAAGGAACAAAGUUGGUAAUGUGGCGUGACCGAGCUGCCAAGCUGACAGUAUGAACAGACUCCUGGUACUCUCCUGGAUUCUAUUAUCAAAGAAAAUUGUUUCCAAUAUAAGUUUCAAAGAAAAAAAAAAGAUAAUAAUAAGUACAGGCCAGACGAAAGCACUUCUAUUCAAACGCUAAUUCAAACUUCUUACCAAGCAAGUAAUCAUCAAAGCCUGACUCAUCCCACCUAGUGAGUCUUGCAAAAUACGAGUCAAUUUACUCUCUCUAUAGGGCACUCGGGAUAAGUUGUUGUUCAGUGCAUAAAUGACAUUUGAUAAUGCAAACAAGGACUGGUUAAUCUUCGCACUCUCUUGGAGACGGAUCCCUUCGUUGCAAGUUCUUCUAUUAUCUUCAUUACCUGCUUGAAAUACACAUGUAGAUUAAAUAAAGAAAAGACAAAGAUCAUGUACUUUAUUUAUAGGGAAAAGUUUAGGAGUGAGAAAAGACCUGCUAAAUCUAUGAGAUUCAACUUCCCAGUAACAGCAUCCCCAGAACCAUCAUCAAGAGUUGAAACGGCAAUCACAAGGACACCAUGGCUCCUACUAGACACAUCAUUGAGACCUGUAUGGGCAGUUUUCCGCCUCUGAAUCCCACAAGAAAAGGCCUCAUAAAACUCAAACAUGGACUUUACAGGGACCCGAGACAGCCCCUUAAGAUGAACCUGCCCAUCUUUGUCAUCCAAAACCGUAAUUUCCUUGGCUUUGAUCUCUAACAGGUCAUAACACCUGUCCAUAUAGACCUCGUAGUAUGAUAGCUCAACUGAGCUUCCUGUGCUCUGGCACAUAGACAGGAUUUUGGACAUGGACAGCUCCAUUAGACCCGGCAUCUCAUCCGUGCCCUGGAACAUAAAAUCCCAUGCUGGAUUAACAUUACAGAAGAAAAUGCUUCAGAACAAACACUAAAAGCUGCAUUUAGUUACUUUUAACCUAUGCUAAUUCACAAAUUUCUUUUCUUUCUGGGGAUAAUUACAGAUGAUUAUCCAGAUUAAUGAUUUAUUAAUCAUAAAAUGCCUUCACUAAUGUUUCAUAUGGGUGGUCAGACGUUGGUGUAGCCACAUUGGGUAGAGCGGAUGUGCUCCCCCUCCCCGCAGUUUAGAUUAGUUUAAAAAUUAAAAUGGAACAUCGAUUAUGUAAAAAGAAACGAAAAAAAAAAGUUCAUAUCUUUGGAGAAUUCAAAUUCAAAACUGAAUUUUUGCCAAAAGAAGUAAAAAAAAUUUCAAACCUGUAUAGUGUAAGUCUUUCCACUUCCAGUAGCUCCGUAGGCGAACACCGUCGCAUUGCAGCCAUGAAAGAGUCCCGGAAUCAAGGGGCAAACUUCUCUACUGAAGAUCCGGCCAACAUUGUUAUCCUCCGGGGCAAAGAAGGAGUCUAACCGAUAGCACUCGUUUCGGCUACACCCCGAAAAACAAAAUCAGGAGUCACCAUCAAAACCCAGCUUCCCAAAUCAAGAAAGCCAAAAUUCAUCUCCGAAUUGGCUGACAGAAAAGCAAGAAAAUUACUCACCUUGUCACUUUAUCUUUGAGAUGAACAACCACUUCCUCGGUCGCAAACUCGGAUUCUUUUUCGAUAACGGAAGCGCACGGCGUCGGAUCUCUGUUACCGUCAGCGAUCUCUUGGGGAAGAAAAGGGCGCACCCGAGCGAUCACCCUGACCUUCGAAAUUGAACUGGGGUUCGUAGAUUUUGCUGGAGUUGCAGAAGAACUGUCAAGAGCUCGACCCACCUCCAUUGGAACAAAGGAAAGAGCUUUAGCUUGGAUUUCAAGUGAGAGAGAGAAUUGGGAAUUUGCAGAACGGUCUGUAACUGAAAGAUGGAGAUUAAGAGGAGGUCUGAAACUAUUUGUCGAACGUUGGGGCUUUUUCAGUUUGAAUUUUUGGAUUGGGUGCGGACUGUGCCGUUGGGCCUCGUGUGUGGUGGGGGCCUAUUUCUUACUCCUUCGGAAUGUUUGCUGUUUAGGAUGAGAGAUUUUUUAGUAUAACCGCUAUACGGAUGGGACGUGUUAUUAUACAAAUGAUGAGAUAUAAAUUUUUGUGUUUUGACUGUCGAACGUGGUUUGUACCCAUGUUGAGUCAAGUGACAUCUAAAUGUAGGAAGCCCAUUGUCGAACGUGGUUUGUACCCAUGUUGAGUCAAGUGACAUCUAAAUGUAGGAAGCCCAUUAUUUAUGAGCAAGUAGGACAGUGUAAUUAUACAAAUGAUGAGAUAUAAAUUUUUGUAUUUUGACUGUCGAACGUGGUUUGUACCCAUGUUGAGUCAAGUGACAUCUAAAUGUAGGAAGCCCAUUAUUUAUGAGCAAGUCGGACAGUGUAAUUAUUUCGACUAACACGUACAAGAACUAGUUCUUUUUUUUUUUUUUUGGGAGGGGGUGGGGUUAGCCUUACAAAGGGUUAGUAAAUAGUGUGGUUCAAAUUCGCUUUUAGCGAGAAUUGAACCUAAGACCUUUUAUUUAUAGGUGAAGGUGAAUACCACUAGAUCGUAGUACUAAGUGGCAUCAAUAACUACUUUCUAAACAAUGAUAAAUUCUUCCCCGUUGCUUGUUGAGAUCAAAUGAGGCCCAUAGUAAGUAUGGUCGUAUUGUCUUUGCAUUAGAAGAAAGACUUUUAUGAUAUAAGUAUACACUAUCUUGACAUUUGGUGUCAAUACUAUAAAAACAUGUGUAAAUUUUUAUUUAUAGCAUCGUAUCAUUAACAUAAUUUGUUGAUAGUAUAACUAGGAUUUGGAUUUCGGAUCCAAAUUGUAGGAAUUCUAGAAAUUCUCACAUCUUAAUUGUUUAUCGUACAUCAUGCAGUCAGAAAUUAUUUUGAAUUUAUUUAUUUAAAACUAAACAUAAAUAAUAAUGAACAUUAAAUGCACAAUAUACGAUAAACGAUCAUGAUGUAAGGAUUUCUGAAAACACCACAAAAAAGAUCCGGUGGAUUCUCAUCCGUAUAACCAUGCCAUCAAGUUGCUCUCAUGAAUUUUCGAAGUAAAAAAAGCUGCUCUCAUGAAUUUGGUUUGUAUAUGGGCCCCCACCAUGGACCCACAACUUGUAAGACAAAGCCGCAUAUGACCGGCGGAGGGAAACUCUCUCCCAACCAGGCCCAAAUGGCCCCCUCGUCAGAGUUUCAAUUACCCAAACGUUUGAGGACCUGUCAGCAAGGCGGCGCAAAUAUGUGAAGGGUUUUAGACAAAGACCGUAAUUGUAUAUGCGUUAAACCCUAAACCCCCAAAAUUGUGGGAAAUCACGAAGAUGGAGAAGGGCAUGCUGUCUGCAAACUUGGAGGGUCUUCCCGAAGAAGACAAGCACAGAAUGGCCACCUUGAUCGACCAACUCCAGAUUCGCGACAGGUUUUUCUGAUUUUUUUUUUAAAUGCAGUGUUUUUUUGUAAUUUGUUCUCAGUAAUUUGUGAUUAGUGAGGCAUGUUCUUGAUACGGUGCAUGAUAGAUUGAAGUCUUAGAAAAAUACCCACAAAAUUAAAUGGUUAAUUGUUAGCAGGAAAUUUGAAACUACGAUGUGAUUCCAAUGUAAUCAAGUAUAUGUUUUGAAAUUUUGAAAACCGAACCGAACCGGAUAUAUGUCUUGGGUUUGGCUCAUGGUUUUGAUGAUGAACUGGCCCAAACCGAACUGUGCCCAUCCCUACUGAUUUCGGUUGUGUUUGUCCAAAAAAUGCAGUCUGAGGAUGUAUAAUUCAUUGGUGGAGAGAUGCUUUACCGACUGCGUAGACACCUUUUAUCGCAAAGCGCUGACGAAGCAAGAGGAUACGUGCGUUCGUAGGUGCGCUGAGAAGUUCCUCAAGCACUCGAUGCGCGUUGGCAUGAGGUUUGCAGAGCUUAAUCAAGGAGCGGCUACUCAAGAUUAAGCUAAGCUCUAUGUAUGAAUCAUUUUUUGGUAUGGAAGGUCUUGGAAAUCUUUCGAGUCGGUUUACGGAAGUUGCAAUUUGUUUAGCCUUGAUUCUAGAAUUGUGUUUCUUACACUGAUUAGAUUCGUACAUUUUCAAAAGAAAAAAAAUAUUCAUGGUGAGGUUUUACAGUUAGCUGGAACUGGAUAUGAAUUGGUUAUGAUUUAUGAUUUUGCCCUUUUAUUCGCGUAUCAUAUCUGGUGUGGUAAAUUCGUUGUGUACACGUAGACUGUGAUUGAAAGUUUAGGAGGAACGGCUCCUUGCCUCUGCAGCAUUGCAAGUGUAGAGAUUGAGAUUGUGUAGUUUUGUUCAUUGAUGAAGUCCCGACUGCGAAAAAAUGAAUAUAGGAUUUGGGAUUGAUAGACUUUGAUGCAACCCUUCAUUCUUGGUAUACAGAUCCUUCCAUUCUUCCCCUUAAUUUAGAACUUGACUUCGGUUGGCAGUGAUCUUGAUAGUGAGGCAACCAAGUGAUUUAGAUUAGAUGAGAAGAAAAUUGGUUUGUAAAAUCACCGCCUUCUGAGCCUUUUCCCCUUUCUGCUAAGGAUGAUAAAGAUUACGAUGUGACUGUGAAAGUAUCUCAAGGACUAGAAAAGGAAAACUCGAAGGGAGAUUACCUAACAGUGAAUGAAGAAGUUGCCAGUUGGUCUCCCGGGCAUGGAGGUCCCUGCUUGAACUUGAUGAGCAAUUAGGCAGAAAUGUGAGCAAGCAGAUGCAGGGGAUUGAAUUGAACAUGCUGUGAUGCAGGCAAUUUUUUGCUUCGAUGAUUGUUUUGGAAUGCAGUUUUCUAGUGCUUGUUAUUUGGGAUUCAAUCAUGUAUAUUUUUACGUUGAGUUGUGUUAUUGAAGGAAGGAUGAAGGUUGUUCUUGGUAAAGAUUCCAUGAUGCUUUGUGGGGAAGUUGUUGGAUAUAAAGAUGUCAAAUGCUAGGUUUGAAGUUCUCUUGCUCACUAGUGGUUUUUGGUAUUUUAAAAACUCAUUAAAAACCCAACUGAAUACUUUGUUAAAAAAAAAAAAGAAAAAAAAAAGAAAAAGCUUAGAAAAGCACUUCUAUUUAAAAAGCACAUUUAAAGCCCUUUCAAAUUUUUGUUAAACACUUCUAGUCUUGAAGGCCUCUUUGAUGUCUAGCGUUUAGCUUGUAUAAGGUAAAUCAUCAGAUUGAGUGAAUACCGAAUGAAGAAUUAGAUGUCCACUUGCAUUUUUUUGUCAAAAUGAAGGUAGAAUAUGGAUUAGCUAUGACAAAAACUUAUUCCGACCAAUUCUAUCAUUUUUUGUAGGAAUUAAAGGGAUCAAUUUCAUACCUAAUCCAUCUUCUAUCUUCAUGACCAAAAACCCAAAUAGACUUUCAUUUUUCGAUUCAUAAUCAGUUUGAAAACAAUUUCACUUGAAAUGAAAACGAUUUUUGUACAUUAUUUUCUCCUUCUAAACAUCUAUGUUUAUUAUGUCAUUUGAUUCUUCUUAUUUUAUUCAAUUCAAACGUCAUAAAUAAACAAUGGUGUUUUCGGUUCCAUACUUUCUGUUUUUUUUUUAAAACCGAAGAUAGGAUUAAUUAAAGACGAAUAGGAAUGUUUACAUCGUGGGCUAGAACAUUAAACAGAAACUCCCGCCCAAUACAAUCCCAAACAAAAUCACCACCUUUCUGAAAGGCAAACUUCGCCAUCGAGUGAGCCGCACGGUUGCUCUCCCUAGGCAUAAACGAAAACGUCACAGAACCUCUGUACUAGAAUCUCGAUGUCACCAAGGAUGCAUUCAAUGCUGUAGUCUUGUGUAGAUUCUUUCUUUAGCAUCUGGAUAAUAACUAAAGCAUCAGAUUCAAUUACCACAUUAUUAAAGCCGUUAUCAAUGCAGGCCAACAGAGCGCUCCGGAUAGCACAUGCCUCAGCAGCCGCCGCACUGUGACAAAAGCCAGAUCCCGAUCUUCCAGCAGUUUGAAGCAGACCCGCAAAGUCACGGCCCACCCAUCCCACUCCAGCUCGCAAAGAAGACCUACACCAAGCCGCAUCGGUAUUCAUCUUAAUGGUGCCAAAUUUUGGUUUCUUCCAUUGAGACUGCGGACGAUUCGCCAGCUUGUGGGGUUUUGAGUUCUGUUGACAUUCUCCCUCGAGACUCUGGGACAGAGCCUCACGGUAAUCGGAAAUAUUCUUCCUCCAUAGCGUCAUGACUUCUAGGUGUUGUCUGUGUACACCAUUGAAUACCAAUUCAUUUUUGUUUUUCCAUAGUCUUCAGAUACCGAAAGCAAACUCCUAGAGAAUCUCCUCAUUCUUUUUCGUAUUCUUGAUUCUGGUACAAAUUUUAUCCCAACUUUCCAGGAAGUCGGCUUCAGCCAGCUCUCGGGAGUUUAUAUGUAUAGGGGAACCAAACCAAAAUCGAUGGCUGAAAUCACAAUGGAAGAAUAAGUGAUUUUCCGAUUCAUCAAAAGUGUUACAUAGCCCACAAAUGUUUUCGACUCGCAUUUGGCGUCGUUGAAGAUUGUGACGCAUCGCCAGAGCAUUAUUGCAACACUUCCAGAUGAAGAAUUUAAUUUUGUUGGGAACCUGCAACGUCCAAAUCUUUUUCCAUACCAAGUUGUUCCUGCGGUGCUCACUAGGCGUACCCCGACCUUUCCUACCCAGGGCGCCGUUCUCCAUCAAAUUCAUUGCCACUCCAUACCCAGUUUUAACAGAGUAAUCGCCAUUCACCGUAUAGUGCCAUACUAUUCUGUCAUAACAGCUAGAUUUACUUAGAGCUAUGCUUAAAAUUUGCCUCGCUUCAUCCCAGUUGAAACCAGCCGAGAUAACCUCUUCCUUCCAGGACUUUGAGACCGGUUCAAUUAGAUCUCGUACCAUAAUUUCUUCUAGGCUGUCCUUCAGGUUAGCCAAGAAAGUUGUAGGUGUCGGUAACCACGGAUCAUUUCGAAUAUUUAUGCUUUCCUCAUCUCCUACCCGCCACCUUACAUAAUGUUGAAGUACCAUGCGACCUUCGUAGAUGCCUUUCCAUCCCGACGAUGUGUUCCUCCCUCUUCCAGCAUCCUUGAAAACUUUUCCUGGAAAAUAUUUAUCUCUCAAAACAGUCGCAAGAAGGGAAGUGGGAUUUUGGAUCAACCGCCAGCCAAUCUUUGCAAGGAAAGCAAGGUUAAAGCACUGGAUAUCCUUAAAACCCAAACCACCGGCCUGUUUUUGUUUCAUUAGCCGAUCCCAUGAAAUCCAAUGACAUCCCCUUCUCUGAUCAUUUCCUUUCCACCAGUAGCUUCAGAUUGCUUUCUCCACAUCCCUAUAGACCCCAAUGGGGAGUUUGAAGCAGCUCAUGGCGAAGUUUGGCAGAGCCAUAGCAACUGCCUUUACCAGGACUUCCUUCUCAGCUUGGGAUAGGAAUUGCUCCUACCAACCCGCUAACCUGGCUUCAAUCUUAUCUCGAAUCUCCGCAAAGACAGCUUUUUUGGAGAGUCCAAAAUCAGCCUGCAGUCCAAGAUACUUCCCGAAACCAUCCUUGUAUUGUAUCCCCAGAGUUUCCCCAAUUUUCUUCUUGGUCCUUUUAGAUGUCGAAGUUCCAAAGAAAAUCGAGCUCUUGGACAUAUUAAUCUCCUGCCCAGAUCCGCUAGCAUACACAUUCAGGACAUCUGCCACACCUUGGGCCUCCUCAACCAUAGCAUUCCCAAAGAGGACUGAGUCGCCUGUGAAGAAAAGAUGAGUAAUAGGAGUCCCAUUAGGUGUCAUCUUGUAGCCAUGGAGGGCUCCACGUUCCAGCCCUUUCCUAAUCAAACUGGAGAAACCCUCAGUGCAAAUUAGGAAAAGGAAAGGAGAUAAGGGGUCCCCUUGUCUUAAGCCCCUCUUCGGUUGGAUGUAACCCGUCGGAGAGCCAUUGAUAAGGAUACUAAAUGAUACAGUAGAAAUACAUUCUUUUACCCUAUUGCAGAACAUCGGUGUAAACCCCAAUUUAAUCAUCAUGGAGAGAAGGAAAUCCCAUUCCACACGAUCGUAAGCCUUUGCCAUGUCCAACUUGAUGGCCAUUCCUUUCUGGUUUUCCUUACUUUGAUGGUUCAGGGAGUGGAGGAUCUCGUGUACCACCAGAAUAUUGUCAUGUAUUUACUUCCCAGCAACAAAGGCAGAUUGAUUUUCGCCAAUCACCUUCGGCAUUAUCUUUUUGAGUCUGUUAGUCAUCACCUUAGCCAAGAUCUUGUAGCUAACGUUACAGAGGGCAAUAGGUCUGAAUUGCGUCAUGUUCUUUGGACAUUUCACCUUAGGUAUAAGGACUAAAUUUGUGUGAUUUAGUUUCCUCAGAAGGGUUCCUGAGUGCCAAAAUGCUUUGAUGGUCUUCACCACAUCCUUUCCCACUGUCGUCCAGUGAUCUUUAUAGAAGCAUCCAGAGAAUCCGUCAGGCCCCGGGGCUCUUGCGGAUGGAAUUUGAAAAGCAACCUCCUUAAUUUCUUCAUCAGUGAUAGGUGCCACUAGGUCGCGGUUAUCCUCCGGUGUCACCCUAGUCUCCAUGCAGUCUUCUACUUCCUUACUUUGGCUGGGCCUGCAUGACUGAAAUAAACCAGUAAAAUAAGAGUUAGCAAUAUCACAUAUAUCUUUGACUCUCAUGUCACUUUCCGUUGGAGUUCUCUAGACCCUUUAUCUGAUUGUAUCUUCUUCUUUUCAACGUUUGAGCAUGAAAUUUUUUUGUGUUUUUGUCUCCCUCUCGUAGCCAUUGAACUCUGGAUUUGGCUUCCCAGUAGGCUUCUUCGUUUCUGUGGGCAAACCGAAGAUCUCUCUCUUUUAGUUUAACCUCCUCAGAGGCAAAUUGGUUAGACAUGUAAGCCCUCCUGAUCUCUUCUUUCAGUUUGUCAAUGGCUUUUUUUGAAUUUCUACCCCUGCCUUUAUACCACACCUUAAGGCUCUUCCUGAGCUUUUUCAGUUUUUCGCAAAACCAGAAAGCAUGAGAUCCACCAAGCUUGCCUUCCCAUUCAUUUGCCACAAGCUCACGGCAUUCCUCCAGUUUACUCCAGCGGGCAUCAUAAGAGAAUUUUCUUCCUCUCCACGCUUUAAGCUUCUAAUGGAAAGAAAAAGCAUGGCAUGAUCAGAUCCUUCAAGCACCAUAUGUCUUAUUGUAGUGUCCGGGUAUAUGUUGUUCCAGCCCAUCGUUGCUAGCUCCCGAUCAAGCCUUUGUUGGAUAGGUAAGGACUCUCUAUUGUUUCUCCACGUGAAAGGAUAUCCUAGGUCCAUGAGUUCAUUCCUGGCCACGAACUCCCUGAAAUCUCUCAUACUGGAAGCCGGUCUGUAAUUUCCUCAUUCCUUUUCUUCAUUGCAUAGGACGUCGUUAAAAUCUCUCAUACUUUUUGCUUUGAAUACAAGUGAUAUUUUAUACUAAUCUCAAUAAGAGAAGGGGAAACGAAAAGUGCUUGAAUUCAGAAAAUAGCUUAUUUGAGAGACUAGACGAUCCAACAAAACAUAUAUACACCUUUCCAAACAUGUUUGAUUGCUUCAAGUUUCAUCAAUUUUUACGAAUUUGAAUUGGAGCAAUCUGACAUGGUCAGAAAAUUACAAUAGGAAUUAAGGUGAAAUUAGAACAUAAAGGAGAGAGAAAAAAAAACAACUUGCACUAAAUAAUUGGUCACGUUGAGGGUUUUCCCGCCAACCAACGGUCCAGAUUCACGAGAAUAAUACAACCUAACACAAAGAGAGAAAAAAACAUCAUCAGGCACCGUUCAUUCACCCAUUGAUCUGACGUUCCAGCCAACAUUUAGUACCCUAACCCGCCAUUUAAUAAUUAAAACGUUCUUUUCCAAACAAAACCCACUUAAACGACGACCCAUUUAUUCCCCAAUCCAACGGUCCAUAACUCCCCGCGCAAUCAAACCGCUCAUCCAACCGCUCCAAACCUGUUCGACAUUUAACAAAGGGGCUCAGAGUGCCGUUUGAGGUUCAAACUUUUGGCUAACGUUCCCAGCACGCCGUCACCCGCAGUUAACUGACAGGGUUUUCUAUACCUCGCAAAAACUCAUACCUCUUUCGGUAACGGUAAUUAACGGAGACGUCGGUGCAUAUAUAUUCGUUAUAAAAUUUUCUAAACAUUUUUUUAAAGUAUUUAAAUAUUAUUUCCCCCAGGUUCUAACCUCUGUUCUCUCUCUCAUCGUUUCAACGGGCGAGGAUUUUUCGAAACCAAAAAGCUCUCCUCUUUCUUUCAUGUUUCAGAGAAGAAGGGUUCUGAAAUUCUAUUGGGUUUAAUCGAUGAGCUCGAUUUCGAUUCCCGCCACUUCUUCGCAAGCAGAGGUAACUCUUACCUUUUCAGAAAAAUCGUUUUUAUGUUUUUGAAAACUCUUGUCCUUGUUUUUGUUUUUUUGCUUUUCAAUUAUUUUCCACUGGGUUCGAUCAAGUUUUUACGAUUUAUUAGACUUCAAGUUGCUUGGAUUCGUAUUGGGGUUUUUGGGUUUUCAAUAAAAGCCCUAGAAGAAUUGUGUUUAAUUUGCAGUUUUUUUUUUAUCUGAAAACGAGUUUUUAAGAUCUGGGUCUUCCUUGUCUGGGUCUAUGGCGGUACGGUUUUGGAGAUUUUGGAGUAAAGUUCGGGGGUGUUAGGUGUUUUCGAUUUGGUUUAGGGUUUUCUCUUAGAGGGUUAUGUUUUGUAUUUGUGUGUUUGUGUAUCUAUUUAUUGAUUGGGAUAUUGGAUUUUCGAGAUUAUUUUUAGGAGGAGAUGGCUGGGGCAAAAUUAGAGGAGUGUUGCCUUGAGAAUAAGCAAUCCAUGGCUACAUCGAGCUCGUCUGUAUCCGAAGGCAGUGGCAGUGCUAUUAUCAAGUCCCCAGGGGCUUGCAGCCCAGCAUCUGCUUCUCCUACUCAACGGUACUUUUCCUCAAUCCUUAAUAGCUGUGAUUUAGUUACAACUAUAUUGACGGUCUCUAUUUGAAAACCAUUCAAUUACAAAUUUGGUGUUCAUCUUUAGUUCCAUGCAUCUGCUUUUAGAAAUUAUAUGGUUUUCAAUGGAUUUUUGUAUCCUUACCAGCUGGAAAAUCGAUCUGCUAACUUAAUUUUCCUUUUGACCAUUAUGCAUAACUUAUAAUUGUCAUCGAAAGUUUUGUGGCCACUGAACUGAAAUGUGUUUUUUCACCUUUCAGGAGAACUAGUGGUCCUAUUAGGCGAGCCAAAGGCGGUUGGACUCCACAAGAGGUCAGCAUUUCAUUUUGUACUUAUGUUCACUUGUUUGUAUUGUCAGCUAGAAGCAUGUACGUUUUCGUGUUUGUUACUGGAGGGAGAGGUUCAUUAGUCAGUCAUCAAAACAUCUAUCUUGAAAUUCUUGAAUCUGUCAUUGCUUUUAGACUAACUGGUUGUAUUACUUUUGUUAUCAGCACCCAUUUUCAUAUGUUGUGUUGCUGCUAUGAUCCGCAGAAAACAAAUGAAACUGGCAAUUAGAUCAAAAUAAAUUAUUGUUUUGACUAAACAGUUACAGUUAUGGAUUAGCAUGCUGAUCCUGUUUAUUUAGUCACAAUUCUUUUCAUUGCAUGAGUCUAACUUUUAAUAAAUGUUGGAUGACCACAGGACGAGACAUUAAGGAAUGCCGUUGCUGCUUUCAAGGGGAAGAGUUGGAAGAAAAUAGGUACAUCUGUCGCCUGAGUAUUGUUUCUGAUUUAUGUUGUUGGUUUCCAAGGCAGUUUUAGAAUGCAUCUUUUGGGUGGAUUUUGUGUAGUUACAUCUUUCCGUAGCUAUAGUGUUUUUAGGUAGCAGUGAGUCUGCUCAGGCAAUGUGUUCGCCUAAUCUUUUUAGUAAUAGAGAUCUUGAUAAAUUAAAAUAAAUCUAAUUUUGGUCGAAUGAUAAGCAUAUAGUCAGAGCUCUGAAAGUUCAAAGCAAACCCAUGAUAGAUGUCCCAAGAGUGUGAAACGUGACUGUUCAUUUAAUUGCCUGAUUUUCUAUUUACCUAUGUUGUGAAUUUUCUGUUGUACCUAAUAUUCAGGAAACCAAUCUAAAAUUUGAAUUUGAACAAUGUGUAUGCAGCUGAAUUUUUUCCUGAUAGAUCGGAAGUGCAGUGUCUGCAUAGAUGGCAGAAGGUUCUUAAUCCAGAACUUGUUAAAGGACCAUGGACUCAAGAGGUUGGAACCUGAUACCAUACUUGUAUUUCUUAAUAUGUUCUUGCAGUUUUGAUUCAAAAUUUCAACUUUCUCUAAAAUGUUUUGGUUUGUAGGAGGAUGAUAAAAUAAUUGAACUGGUAGCAAAGUAUGGACCUACUAAAUGGUCAUUGAUAGCAAAGUCUUUGCCUGGUCGGAUAGGAAAACAAUGCCGAGAGAGGUAAUCUUCAUAAGUUUUGAAUUAUCAUGAUGCUUUUAUCUGAUACCAUCGACCUAUAGUUACUAAUAAGUUCUUAUGUUAUUGUCAUAUGUGAUCCUGGAAAUUUUGACCACUAUUGUACUUACCUGAUUGAUCACAAGUGCCUAAAAGUGCUAUUUUGCUCUGGAAUUAACAUUUAUGCCAUUUGUUGCUUAAAUAGUUUUGUAUGAUGCUGUAUACAUUUUAAUGUUAUUUUUUCCGUAGGCUUGUAUCUUCCAAUUGAUUUGUUCGCGAAAAACAAUCAAAUGGUUUGGGUAGUCACUGCUUUUAUAAACAAUGAACCAUUUUUUCUCUUCAGGUGGCACAAUCAUUUGAAUCCUGAUAUAAAGAAGGAGGCUUGGACGUUGGAAGAGGAAUUAGCUCUUAUGAAGGCCCACCAGAUGCAUGGGAACAAGUGGGCCGAAAUAGCGAAGGUUUUACCUGGAAGGUAUGUUUCUUGUUUGAUUUGUCGUUUACGAAUGACAUUGAGGUGCUAAUUAGAGCAGCAACAUAUAGAUAUAUCAAAUUUCUAGGAUCACUGCUAAAUUGUGACAUCAAAAACUUCUGAAUUGUGGUCUUAUACCCAACUUUCGGUUAAAACUUUAUGAAGGAAACUCCCAAUUUCAAUGAGUAGUGCUAAUGCUGCCGUCUGGAAACCACUGUUACCUUAAAAAUUAAUCUUUUAAAUUGGAAACCACUGUUACCAAGUUCUUUAUUUUUGUUGUAUAUAACUUGGAAACCAUUGUUUACUAAGCCAAAUGUUGUAUGUAACUUAACGAUGUGUUUGCAGGACUGAUAAUGCAAUAAAGAAUCAUUGGAAUAGUUCCUUGAAGAAAAAACUUGACUUCUAUUUGGCUACUGGGAAACUUCCACCACCUCCGAAGUAUGGUGCCAAAGAGCCAAGAUCCAAUGCGACUAAAAAAAUACUUGUUCGUUCAACUAAAGGAUCAGAUUCAACUGCUCAGACAUCAUCUGGAAAUGCAGAAAUGUCUAAGCUAGAUGAAGAUGGAAAGGAUCAGUUCGAGUCCGCCGCUCCACCUCAGGAUAUGGGUGCUUCAUCAAGUGUUCACCCAAAUGAAUGUGCAGAUUCUGAAGGUGUAGAAUGUGACCUGAGAUUAUCUUUUAUGGAUCUUAGUUGCUCUAACUCAGACUCAGGGCCAAAGUUUGAUAAUUUUGGAGUAAAAAGAAAGCCUCAGAUUGAGAAUUCUGUCAGUAAUGGCCGGGCAGAGUCUGAGAAUUGUGGAUUUAGCAACCAAAUGGACGAAGACAGUGUUAAGACAACAUCUUUUCCGUUUGAAACUCCAAGAUAUGGUUCCUUGUACUAUGAGCCACCACCGCUAGAAAGCUCUGUCCAAUUCAAUUCAGGUUUUUCAAGCAUGCAUCGCUUGCAGAAUGAUUACACCUCUAGUCCAAAUUUAUCACCUAUAAGUUUCUUCACUCCUCCUUGUGUGAAGGGCAGUGGUUUAUGUAAUCAAAGUCCUGAAUCAAUUUUGAAAAUAGCUGCUAAGACCUUCCCCAAUACUCCUUCCAUUUUGCGAAAGAGAAAGACCAUUGGCCAAGGACAAUUGCCUUGUAAUAAAGUUGCAGUAGUGGAUUGUGAAUCAGUCAGGGAAAUGCUUAAUGUUUCUAGUGAACACAAAAACAGUGCGGAAGUUUCUGGAUCUCAAGAUGGAAGUUUAUGUGAGAGUCCAACUAGUAAUGGUAUCAGUACCAUUGGGCCUAAUGGUAAGGCGUUUAACGCAUCUCCACCAUACCGGUUAAGAGCCAGGAGGACUGCCGUUUUCAAGUCUGUGGAGAAACAGCUUGAGUUUACAUGUGAUGAAGAGUAUGAUGCUAAUUCUAUGUCCGUGGAAUUAUCUGCAAAUGGCGGCUCUGCUGUUAUCAAAGACUGUACACAUCCAACAAAGAUGGCUGUGACCUAGGGCAUGCACUGUAAGGUACACUUUUCUUAUCAUUGUUCUUGAACUUAUUUGUCUCUGAUCUAGUUUCUUAAAAUGCUAUCAUCAAAUAAAAUUUUAUGACCUUUGGUGUCGUCCUUUUUUAAUUAGUAUGUAUUGUUCGCACUUGGUAAACUGUUCUUCUAUUUUAGACGUCUCUGAUGCAAGAUCGCUAUAUGACAUAGAAUUGCUUAGUCAAGGAGUGAAUUAUGAUUGUAGAUUAUCUGGUCGUUCGAUUUUAUCCUGCCAUUAUAUUUGGAAUUACAUACCUUAUGAGAUAAAGGACAAGCUUGCAGAAGUAACUGAUAGAUUUUUGGUUUUCAGAGCAAGGAAUCAAAGUUGUCAUUCUUUCAUUCAGGAUUUUUAAGAGUUAGAUCUAUUUCCUCAUUCAUUUCGUUGUGUAGCCUUUGUUGCAAAAGUUAGAAAAGAGCGAAGCAAUCUUUUCCACUUUCUUACAGUAAAUUCAAAAUGAAAAAAAAAAAGAUUUGUGAAGUCCAUUAAAACAUUGGUGGUAUCGAAUCAGUUAAUCCGACAUCCAGAAUCCGAAGUGAUACAAUUUCAACUUUCGUUUCCAUGAAGCAGUUUUUAUUUUCUCACCGGCAGCUGUAAAUCUCUUUUCUUCUUUCUUCAUUUCUGACUUGGUUUCCUCUGGUUUAAUUCAGGGACAAAAGAGAGGGCGAUUCUUUUUGACGUUGGCUGACACUGUUGAACUGGUGAUAUUUCCAAGUCCACAGAGCUUUUGAACAGAGUGAUACUUCGAUUUACCGGACCAUUCUCUGGUCUCACAUCUUCAAUGCCUUACAAGUCAUUAACUUGCAAAUACACCACUUGUUAUUAGUUACGUGCGAGCGGUUUUUCGGCACGCCAACUUGACAAAAUACAGUGGCUGGGGCUUCUGUUAUGUGUAGAAUAAAAAUGAUAGGCCCCAAAUACUUGUGAAAAUAUAUUUUGGUUGUAUCAGGAUUUGUACAGAAAACCCCUCAUCAAAGGAGCCAUGAUGCUUCAUCCUUGAAGUUGAGGGAUUUCUCAAUGAAAGCUUAGCUCCUGUCAUUCUUUAUCAAUGUUUACAGUUACAACUCAACUUAAUUUCCCAUGGAGACACAUGUAUGCUUAGAAAUCAUUUUUAUUAAGUGGUCCUGGAAAUCUUAGGGUUACUCUUUAUUGCGCCAAUUAUUUUUUAUUUAGGGUUUGUUUGAUAUCCCUUCUAUUUUUUUGUUGUUGGAUCAUCUUCAAUAUUUAGAGGUCGCACUUGGUGCGAUGGCAAGUGCCUUCGCCCAUGAGCGGUAGGUCUCGGGUUCGAGACUUGGGAGCAACCUCUUCAUAAAUGGGGGUAAGGCUAGCCGACAUUCACCUCUCCCAGACCCUACGUAAAGCGGGAGCCUUGUGCACUGGGUACGACUUGGAUCAUCUUCAAUAUUUGGGGGGUUAAAACCUAGAAGCUAAAGCUAGGGCGUCACCCGUAAGUGGCGCGCUGUGUGGCCCGAGCACAGUGAUAAAUGAGCAAGGGUCGCUGUAUCUCCAUCGGCACCCGGAUGCAGUGUUAAAUGAGCAAGGGGGCCAUAGAAACUUCUUUUCGAACGACUCCACUCAAAGUUGUUUGGGAGCAUAUGCUCCUAUCAACUUUACACGGGACACACAAAAGAAGUACUUUGAUCCUAUUAGACGGGGGAGGGUGAAGAAGCUAGGACAGAAGGGUAGAGUUCAAGAGAGCAAAAUGCGUUUAGGAACGUGGAAUAUAGGAACCUUAACGGGAAAAUCUAUGGAAGUAGUGGAAGUUAUGGUGAGGAGAAGGAUAAAUAUUAUGUGCCUACAAGAAACUAAGUGGGUUGGUAGUAAGGCAAAGGAUCUAGAAAACUCAGGGUUUAAACUUUGGCAUUCGGGCACAAAUAGAACGAGAAACGGUGUUGGCAUCAUCGUGGACAAGACCUUGACACAAGAUGUUGUAGAUGUCAAGAGGGUAGGAGAUAGAAUCAUAGGCAAUCAAGAUUGUAAUAGGACAAGAACUUAUCAAUGUGAUUAGUGCGUACGCACCUCAAGUAGGGUUGGAUAAGAGUUCGAAGGAGAAAUUUUGGGAAGACCUUGGAGACUUGGUGCAAGGAAUUGCUCAGACGGAGAAGUUAUUUAUAGGAGGAGAUUUAAAUGGACACGUGGGCAGGGAGACAGGCAACUAUGGAGGUUUCCAUGGUGGCCAUGGUUUUUGGGGAGAGAAACGAGGAUGGGGAAGCUAUCUUGGAUUUUGCAAUGGCAUAUGAUCUCUUCUUAGCCAACACCUUCUUUAAGAAGAGAGAAGAACAUGUGAUCACCUACAAGAGUGGGUCGUCAAAAACACAAAUAGAUUUUCUUCUAAUGAGGAAAGGGGAUCGUAUAACUUGUAAGGAUUGCAAAGUUAUACCAGGAGAGAGCGUGGCUAAUCAACAUCGCUUGUUGGUGAUGGAUGUACAUAUCAAAAGAGUGAGACAAAAAGAACAAGACUUGGAAGUGCCCAAGGACUAGAUGGUGGAAUCUAAAAGAAGAAAAACAAGUCAUUUUCAAAGAGAAAGUAAUCACCCAGUGUGUGUGGGAUAGAGAGAGGGGAAGCUAGCCAAAUGUGGGAUUCCAUGGCUAGUUGUAUUCCGAAAAGUAGCAAAAGAGGUAUUAGGAGAGUCCAAAGGGCUUUGCCCCACACCAAAAGGAAUCUUGGUGGUGGAAUGAGGAGGUACAAACAAAGGUGAAGGCUAAGAAGGAAUGUUGUAAAGCCUUAUACAAGGAUAGGACCGAUGAAAAUGGUGAAAGGUAUAGAAAAGCGAAGCAAGAGGCGAAGAAAGCUGUGAGAGAAGCUAAGUUAGCGGCUUAUGACGAUAUGUAUAAGCGACUAGAUACCAAAGAAGGAGAGUUGGAUAUCUAUAAACUAGCUAGAGCAAGGGAAAAGAAGACAAGGACCUAAACCAAGUGAGGUGCAUCAAGGAUGAGGAUGGAAAGGUUCUUGCUACAGAGAACGCGGUUAAAGACAGAUGGAAAGGUUAUUUUCAUAAUCUUUUCAAUGAAGGACAUGAAAGGAGUGCUUCUUUAGGGGAGUUGAGUAACUCAGAAGAGUGUAGAAACUACUCUUUUUAUCGUAGAAUCCGGAAGGAAGAAGUGGUUGUAGCUUUGAAGAAGAUGAAGCAUAGAAAAGCAGUAGGCCCAGACGAUAUACCAAUCGAAGUGUGGAAAGUUUUGGGAGAGACAGGUAUAACAUGGCUCACUGACCUUUUCAAUAGGAUUUUGAAAACGAAGAAGAUGCCAAAUGAGUGGCGAACGAGCACUUUGGUGCCUAUCUACAAGAAUAAGGGCGACGUACAAAAUUGCAUGAACUAUAGGGGUAUUAAGCUAAUGAGUCAUACAAUGAAGCUCUGGGAGAGAGUCAUUGAGCAUAGAUUGAGGCAAGAGACACGGGUUUCGGACAACCAAUUCGGGUUCAUGCCAGGGCGCUCAACCAUGGAGGCAAUCUAUCUCUUACGAAGAUUGAUGGAAAGAUAUAGAGAUGGGAAAAAGGAUUUACACAUGGUCUUUAUAGAUUUGGAAAAAGCGUAUGAUAGGGUCCCAAGAGACAUUCUUUGGAGGAUUUUAGAGAAGAAAGGAGUACGAGUAGCAUAUAUCCAAGCUAUAAAGGAUAUGUAUGAAGGAGCAAAGACUGCCGUAAGAACUCAUGAAGGACAAACCGAAAGCUUUCCCAUAACUGUAGGAUUACAUCAAGGCUCAUCCUUAAGUCCUUACCUUUUUGCGUUGGUAAUGGAUGAGUUAACAGGACAUAUUCAAGAUGAUAUUCCUUGGUGUAUGCUUUUCGCAGACGAUAUAGUGUUGAUAGAUGAAACUCAGGAAGGGGUAAAUGCAAAGCUUAACCUUUGGAGAGAAGUGUUGGAAUCUAAAGGUCUUCGCCUAAGCCGAUCAAAGACAGAAUAUAUGGAGUGCAAGUUCAGUGCAAAUGGAGGCCAAAACGAGUUAGGGGUGAGGAUCGGAGAUCAAGAAAUACCAAAGAGCGACCGUUUUCGUUACCUAGGAUCUAUCUUGCAAAAGAACGGAGAAUUAGAUGGAGAUCUCAACCAUAGAAUACAAGCUGGAUGGAUGAAGUGGAAGAGUGCAUCCGGCGUGUUGUGUGACCGCCGUAUGCCACUGAAGCUCAAGGGAAAAUUUUAUAGGACGGCAAUAAGGCCGGCGAUGCUGUAUGGCACAGAAUGUUGGGCGGUGAAGCAUCAACACGUACACAAAAUGGGUGUAGCGGAGAUGAGGAUGCUUCGUUGGAUGUGUGGGCACACGAGAAAGGAUAAGAUUAGGAAUGAGGAUAUCCGGGGUAAAGUAGGAGUAGCCGAAAUUGAAGGAAAGAUGAGAGAAAAUCGGUUACGGUGGUUUGGACAUGUGCAAAGAAGGCCUACUGACGCUCCGAUUAGAAGAUGCGACUAUGGGACAGAGGUUCAGGGCCGAAGGGGUAGAGGAAGACCUAGGAAAACUUUGGAAGAGACUCUAAGAAAAGACUUAGAGUACUUGGAUCUAACGAAGGACAUGACACAGGACCGAGCACAAUGGCGUUCUAAGAUUCAUAUAGCCGAUCCCACUCAGUGACUUGGAUUUUCCAAGUCUCCAACCGAGAAGUUUUCCUCACUCGGGAAAUUAAGGGAACACUACCUCAACCUACAUGCUCCACUCAGAAAGCUUCAACAUACAAGCUUCAACAAAAAGAAAAUUCAAAGAACUUAGCGAAGAAGGCUUUGGUGUAUUUAACACAAUACGUUGAAAUGAAGGAAAGCUUAUUUAUUGAUAUCCCCGAUAAGCUUACAAAUAUGUACAUAUACAUGAGUCAAAAUAAACAAACAAGAGGGAGCCUUCACAAAGGUUGCUUAGGAGAAGUCUCAGCAGUCGGUAGAGCCCCAGAAAGAGAAGGCACCGGAGGGGGAUCAUUCGGAGCCUCAGUACUGGACAGAACCCUAGAAGGAGGAGGCAUCAGAGGUUGAUCAUUUGGAGCUUCAUUACGCGGUACAGCCCCAGAAGACGAAGGCAAUAAAAUGCCUUUGGAACAAACCCACAAAUCUCUGAUGAUCAAGUAAAACCUGACCAUCAGUUUCCUUCAUCUGGUCAAGCUUCCUCUUCAUGUUUGUAGCAUAGUCAUGUGCGAGCCGGUGCAACUGUUUAUUCUCAUGCUUGAGCCCUCUAAUCUCCUGUUUGAGACUCAUCACUUCAGCCGCCAAUGAUUCAACUUGGCGGGUUCGAGCAAAUAGGCGUUGGGCCAUAUUAGACACAGAACCUGCACACUGAACACUGAGAGCCAGAGAAUCCUUAACAGCUAACUCAUCAGACCGUUUGGAAAGUAGUCUGUUAUCUUUGGGAGUGAGAAGGUUCCUGGCCACCACCGCAGCGGUCAUAUCAUUCUUCAUCACGGAAUCCCCAACGGUAAGAGGACCAGUAGGGGAGACGAAGGAUGGGCGCCAUAUGUUGUCUGGAGAAGGCGGGGCUGCCUCUUCAACAAGGUUCAAGUCAAAACGACGGUCGGAGGGGCCAGACAUUUUCAAAGGUGUUGAAGAGAGAAGAGGUCGGACAAAUCAAGAUCUUAGAAGUGCAAGAAUGGAGCUUCUACUGGUGGAGAUUCAAGUGUGCUUUGGAACUUAAUGCCAGCCCCUAUAAAAAUCUGCACUCGACGGAAGCUUCAGAAAUCGAAGAGGCGCCUGCUCAGAAAUCGAAGAGGCGUUUGCUUUCUCAAAAGCUGGGCUGCUCAGAGACCACGAGGGUUGAUCUCAGAAAUCGAAGAGGCGUUUGCUUUCUCAAAAGUUGGGCUGCUCAAAGACCACGAAGGCCGAUCUCAGAAAUCGAAGAGGCGCUCGCUUUCUCAAAAGCUGGGCUCCUCAGAGACCACGAGGGCCGAUCUCAGAAAUCGAAGAGGCACCUACUUUUCCAGCCUUGUCAGCACCUGUCACACACGCACACUCAGCUUUGCGGAAAUUAUGGGCAUUCUGUCGAAGACUUUCUGAGGAAGUAGAAAACACAUGAAUCUUACUGUUCAAUCACCCACUUCCCACACGCAACAAUAGCUCAUGGGUACCACAGAUAACUUUGCCAAAGUUCUCUGCCAAAGUUGAGCACGUGAAGCUUGCAGCUCCCACUACAUCGCUCUGACCAAGAAAGGGUAAAAGAAUAGCAAAGAAACAGCACUAACAAAGUUUAGACCCAUAAAUUUUGAAGGUCUAGCUACCAUAUUAUUACCCACAAGGGUAAAGGAACAGUACCACUGCUGGAUAAUUGGAAAGUCCCUGUGUGUCAACCUCUGUGCUUCGUGGCAAGGUAGACUAGCAAACAUGCCCAACCUUUACUCACAUUCGAGAAAACACUACCCAAUAAGAUUGCUUGCUCCAAAAUCGAAGAGGCACCGUCCUCCGAAUCUCGAGAGCCAGACUCCCAACAUGACUACUUUCUCAAAAAAUCGAAGAGAGGGUAAAGGAACAGUACCAUUGCUGGAUAAUUGGAAAGUCCCUGUGUGUCAACCUCUGUGCUUCGUGGCAAGGUAGACUAGCAAACAUGCCCAACCUUUACUCACAUUCGAGAAAACACUCCCAACAAGAUUGCUUGCUCCAAAAUCGAAGAGGCACCGCCCUCCGAAUCUCGAGAGCCAGACUCCCAACAUGAUUACUUUCUCAAAAAUCGAAGUGACACUGCUCCCCGAAUCUCGAGAGCCAGACCCCCAUCAUGAUUGCUUUCUUAAAAAAUCGAAGAUGCAUCGUUCUCCGAAUCAAUCGAAGAGACACUCGCUUUCUCAAAAGCUGGGCUGCUCAGAGACCACGAGGGCCGAUCUCAGAAAUCGAAGAGGCACCUUCUUUUCUAGCCUUGUCAGCACCUGUCACACGCACACUCAGCUUUGCGGAAAUUAUGGGCAUUCUGUCGAAGACUUCUCGAGAGCCAGAUACGACAGACCACUUUUUCAAAGUGCUCUGACAGAGUUAAAACAUGUGAAGCUGGCAGCUCCCACUACCGUGCUAUGACCAAGCAGGGUAAAGGAAUAGCAUUACUACUUGUUGUUAGGGAGACUCCUAUAUAUGUCGACCUCCAUCUCCAACGGACAGGCAGACCUGCAAAAAUGUUCAACCCUUCCUCAUAUCUGAGAGGGCACUCCCAACGAAGCCUUUCGAAAUAUUCAGCUUUCUUUCCCCCCGAUAAUACCUUUGCAAACAAGCUAUACUAGAGCAAGAAUAUCUCAUAUCAUCAGGGUUAAAAGCAAGAGUAUCCCAUAUCAUGCUUUUUCCCUGUCUUUUCCUUUGGCCUUGUUGUUACCUGCAAGACAAGGAGAAAGAGAGCAAUCAGUCAGCACUUGGAAUCAAGCUUCCAGCCAGGAACUGACUGCCUGGAACCCCUUACCUGAUUACUUACCUGGCAUUGCUCUCGAGUACUCAUCUUCAACAUCUUAUGUUUCCAGGGAAGAUACCGCAUCUGCUUGAGGAACAGAUAGGGCAAGUGCGAAGGAUACAAGGAAGCAUGUGGAGACAAGCGUAACAGCACACGUGCCGAUACAUCCAUUACUCUGUCAAAAGCAAAAGUAUCCCAUAUCAGCAGGGUCGAACGUACUCUAGAUUUGAUGGACUUGUUUUGACCCUCAAAUUCUUCAGUCGGCUCUGGAGGAAACCAGAAAACCCUCCAGCUCAGUUCAAGAAUAAGCCUGUGGAAAGUUACUUCUUCAAAAGCAAAAGUAUCCCAUAUCAUCUCUUCUCAUCUUUCUUCUCUUUAUCCUUCAUGCUGCCUGCAAGAUAGGGAGAAGGUGAACAAUCAGCCGGAGCUCUGAUUGCUUACCUUGUCUGUCACCUCUUUCAGCAGAUCCCCUAGCUCGGCGACUUAGGAGACUCCUACUACAUGGUUUGUAUCGCGCUUGACCAAGCCUGAAACUACAAGUAAGCUUCAAGUGAAAUUGAUACAUUACCUUGUGCAUCUCCACCAGUUAAAGAUACCACCCCUGGAUGGAGGAAGAGUACUUCCAGAGAAGAUGCCACAUCUACCUAUGAGACAGAUAAGGCAAGUCAAGACGAUACCACACUCCGAUACUUAGAAGUUUCGUGAUUACGAGAUCAUUCUCUCCACAAUAUUUCCUAAUGUCAUUUGUACUAAAUCAUUCACUUGUACUCACUAAAGGAGAGCUUGAACCUAUGUACUUGUGUAAACCCUUCACAAUUAAUGAGAACUCUUCUAUUCCGUGGACGUAGCCAAUCUGGGUGAACCACGUACAUCUUGUGUUUGCUUUCCUAUCUCUAUCCAUUUAUAUACUUAUCCACACUAAUGACCGGAGCAAUCUAGGGAAGAUCACAAAAAGCGACCGUUUUUGCUGCCUAGGAUCUAUCUUGCAAGAGAACGGAGAAUUAGAUGGAGAUCUCAACCAUAGAAUACGACCUGGAUGGAUGAAGUGUAAGAGUGCAUCCGGCGUGUUAUGUGACCGUCGUAGGUCACUGAAGCUCAAGGGAAAAUUUUAUAGGACGACAAUAAGGCCAACGAUGUUGUAUGGCACAGAAUGUUGGACGGUGAAGCAUCAACACGUACACAAAAUGGGUGUAGCGGAGAUGAGGAUGCUUCGUGGGAUGUGUGGGCACACGAGAAAGGAUAAGAUUGGGCAUGAGGAUAUCCGAGGUAAAGUAGGAGUAGCCGAAAUUGAAGGAAAGAUGAGAGAAAAUCGGUUCCGGUGAUUUGGACAUGGGCAAAGAAGGCCGACUGACGCUCCGGUUCGAAGAUGUGACUACGGGACAGAGGUUCAGGGCCGAAGGGGUAGAGGAAGACCUAGGAAAACUUUGGAAGAGACUCUAAGAAAAGACUUAGAGUACUUGGAUCGAACGGAAGACAUGACACAAAACCGAGCGCAAUGGCGUUCUAGGAUUCAUAUAGCCGACCCCACUUAGUGGGAAAAGGCUUUGUUGUUGUUGUUGUUGUUGUAUAUUUGAUUAUAUUCAAUCUCAGCAUUGGAUUUAAAAUUUUAAAAUUUAAAAAAUUAAAUAGGUUUGAAUCCAACGGUCCAAUAAUUAAAACCGACGGUUUGAAAAGAGUUGUUGGCUCGUUUUGGGUGGGUGGCCUAACAUUCUCGUUAGGAGCGGGCUCCACAUUCAGUUAGCCUUCACGUGAUGGGCGCGUUGCCUUACUGUGGCCUCCACUUUUAUGGGUGUGUCCAUGUGCAUAAGGUGGGCCAGCCUUCCCUGGCCGGAAUUCUGGGUUAAAUUUGCCAAAAUUUUAGUUUUUAACUCAAAACUUAUUUUAGGCUCAACUCUUGGAAAAGAAUUGAGUUAGUUUUAAACCAAAAUUUUAGGUUUUAACUAAAGGAUUGGAGAUGGUCGUAUUUAGUUUUCAUUUAUAAAAAGGUGAAAAAUAAGAGAUUUCGUAGUAUUAUUCAAGGAAUUUGAAGCUGGGAUUAAUUUUUUGGUCGGUAGGUCGCUAGGGUGGUCCAAUGGUCUCAGGGCUUGAACCGGAUUCACGUUAUUGCUUGGGCCGGUCCAAGUCGGUAGGCCCUAGACAUCAGAUAUUGUUACAUGGAGUGAAACAUGUUUUGUGCGUUCCUCAAAUCACUUCUAUGAGUAAUGCUAGUAACAACAACAAAUAAAAAUUUUACGUCACAAAACAUGAGUUUUCCUCGAGUAAUAACUUUUUGGUCUAAUUGGAUUAAUGGUCCUCAUGGUGAUAUGAUAAUUGGAAGAUAAUCCUUGUGGUAAAAAAAUUCGGAUUUAAACCCAUGUGGUGAAGUUCGUUAGGAAUUAAGCCCAAAUCAAAAUUUUCGUUAAUUAGUUUGUCUGUUAAGUUCUUCUUCUUAUCCCAGAAGAGAAAUAUCUAGUUUCAUAGAUAUGCAACAAGCUCCCUUUGCCAAGGGAUCUAGCUUAAAAUCUUAUUGGCUUCAUCCUUGCUGUAGACUGCCCUGUGGAUAAAGUUUCCUGCUAUGUAUCUGACGAUGGUGUUGCCAUGCUUACCUUCGAAUCUCUUGCCGAGACAUUUGAAUUUGCAAGAAAGUGGGUACCAUUCUGCAAGAAAUAUUUUUCGAUUAAAUCAUGUGCACCUGAGUUUUACUUCUCACAAAAAAUUGACUACUUGAAGGAUAAAGUGCAACAAUCUUUUGUGAAGGAGCGCAGAGCGAUGAAAGUAAGUACCUAAUGGCCGAAGCUUCUUCUAGUUGCAACUGAAUAUUCACUCAUGAUAAUUUGAUAUCAAAACUAAAUGAAAGCAAGCAUGCUAGUUGUUCGGCUAUGGGCUUAUUACAAUAAAAAUCAAGCAUGUAAAAGUAAUGAAGCAAAGAAGAUCUAGAGUCGGAUCCAUUGGCAAAAGGAGCUUGCUGCAUAUCUAUGAAACUAGAUGUUUCUUUAAAAAAAAACACACACACACACAACUUGAUGAAGAAACUAACAGAAAUUUUGAUUUUGGGCUUAAUUCUUAACGGACUUCACCACAAGAGUUUAAAUCUGAAUUUUUUAUCACAUGGACUAUCCUCUGAGUACCAUAUCACCACGAGGAUCAUUUAUCCAAUUAGGCCUAACUUUUUUCUUUUGCAAAAAAUAAGAAAGCUAACUUUUUAUAUCUCAUAUAAAAUAAAAUUUUAUUUUAUUUCAGUGUAAUUGGGUAUUAUCCAACUUCUUUAGGUUUUUGGCAUGAAUUUACACAUUGUAAGGAAAGCUCCCAUCACUUAAUGUCGUUUUCUUCACAGGGAUAUGAAGCAUAUCCCACUUAACCCCAUUUUUAUCGGGGGAUGAAGCACUUAAUUAACUUUUUAGCAGAAAAAUUUCUUGUUCGAGCCUCAACACAAUCAAAACACUUUUCUUAAAGGUUGAAAAUAAUAAGCAAGAUAAAAACUCCCUAAAAAAGCACUUUUUUUGCAAGAGAAGAAAUAAGCACUUUUAGGACUUCUUACCCAUUUGUCCAUAUUUUCUUAUUCUAGACCGUAUAUUUUUAUUGUAUUUAUAUUAUUUUGUUGCGUACCCUAAACUUCCAUUUAAGUCAUAGCAUUCUCGAUUCAAAAGAAAAUUCAACUCCUAUAAAUACAUGCAGUUUUCCUUCUCUCAAAUUACUACCUUGAAAGAACUCAACAGUCCAUCCAAAGUUACAAAGAAUUGUUGACAACAGUUCAGAUAGCAUGCAAAGCAGCUCUAUUUCGCAUUCUCAAGCAACCUCAAGCUCCUGUCGCUCUAACUUAAUGGGUACGUCUGCAUGACCUUUCGUUUCCAAAUUCGAUAUGAAAGUUAUAUACUUGUUCCCAAUUUUUUGUUUUCCGGUACAAACUCUAUCUUUGUUCAAUUUAUUAUACGAAAAUUUGAUACGGAACUUUAUGGAAUUGAAACUGAUUGUUUUAAUUUGGAUUUUUUAAUGCAGUUGGCUAUUGGGCUUUUGUGUUCUUAUUCUUAGCAUCUAUUGCUAAUGCGAAAGCCGAAGUCUUUUAUGUGACAAAUUCAACAUAUGGAGGAAACCCUAGCGGCGAUAUUACGCUUGCUUUGGCUGACGCUUGGAGAGCUGCCUGUUCAUCGCCAUGGCCAGCCAAAGUUGUUAUUCCAGAAGGGGAAUACUACUUAAGAGGAGCAAUUUUACAUGGUCCAUGCAAAUCUCCCAUUGAGGUUCAAGUUCAAGGGUAUUUGCGUGCUCCACAAGAAAGCAGCCAACUCCUUCAACAGAAUACUUGGGUUGGCUUUCAAUACGUUGACAGGCUCACCUUAUUUGGUGGUGGAACUUUUGAUGGCCAAAGUAAUUGCCACAAAUAUAAAAGUUGCCAAUCCAACAGAGUAUUUGUAAGGACAUUGUAAUCAAUCCUUGCUUUUGUUUACUUAAGUCGAUUUUUAUCGUUUAUUUAAUUAUAUGUCGCUAAUACUUGUUUUGUUUUAAUGCAGAAUUUGAGGUUUGAUUUUGUCACAAAUUCAGUGAUCGAGGGCAUAACUUCACUAGAUAGCAAAAAUUUCCACAUCAAUGUUUUUGCAUGUCGCAAUGUUACAUUCCAAUAUGUUACUAUCACCGCACCUGAAGACAGUGUCAACACAGAUGGAAUUCACAUCGGGAGAUCGUUUGGGGUCACCAUUGAUCACACAAUAAUUGGAACAGGCGACGACUGCAUUUCUCUUGGUGACGGUAGCCAGAACAUUGUCGUGACCAACGUUACUUGUGGACCAGGGCAUGGCAUAAGCAUCGGGAGCCUAGGAAAGUAUCCAGACGAAGAGCCCGUGGUUGGAGUCAGAGUGAAGAACUGCACACUCACUAACACACAAAAUGGUGUGAGAAUCAAAACAUGGCCGGGUUCUCCAACAUUUACAACUGCCUCGCAUAUUCACUUUCAAGAUAUUAACAUGGUAAAUGUUAGUAACCCUAUUUCUAUAGACCAAGAGUACUGCCCUUACACUUAUUGUGGAAAAGAUGAUCCAUCCAAAGUCAAGAUAAGCGACAUCAGUUUCACCAACAUCAAGGGCUCAUCUGCAACCCCAGUUGCAGUCAAGCUUAUGUGCAGUAGAAAAAUACCGUGUGAUGGAGUCGGGUUGACUGACGUGGACCUCACGUACAUCGGAAGCAAAGGCCCUCUCACCUCUCAAUGUGCUUAUGUCAAGCCCUACAUUACUCGCGUGGCGAAUGCUCUUGCUUGUGCUACCUGGUCAUAUUCUAAUAGUCUAAGAAGUGGAAGAAAUCUCACUAAUCUUCUCACUAGAUAGUUUGCUGCUUCUCUGGUUUUGUUUGAUGGUAUAUCAUGUAAGAGGUAGAAAAUAGGUAGUAUUGGGCUUAGUGAAUGUGUGUCUUUUGCUUUUGAUUUAGGGUUACAUUGGUUCCCGACCUAGGUUUAUGGGUCUGGGGCGGAAUCUAUGAUUGUGGCCCUUUGAACGCACUAUAAUUUCAUCAGUAAAUAAAAAAUAAAUAAAAAAUAAAGUUUUAUCAACACGGUUGCAUUUUUUUUAGCUUAAAACAUCAUUAGUAUUCAUUCAAAAUGGAUUAGCUAAAAUGAGCAUGAUUCCCUUUGAAUCCUGGGGAUUUGAUCCGUGAUGCUUUAUUUGAAGAUUAUACUAUUUAAUCAUCAAUAAAAUGUUAAUGAUCUAGUCGUACCAUGAACACACUUCUUUUUUGGUGCAGUUUUUGCUCACCGACUUUUUGAAAUUUGUGUCUAUUUACUACACCGAUCUCAAAAUUUAAACUCAUUCAACAAUGAUAAAAAAGGUGAUGAGCAUCACCAUUACUUAGUGGUGAGGAAAAAUUGGUUUGAGCCAAAUCAAACUAAAAAGUCUAGGAAGGCGAAUAAAAAUCUGGAUCGAUCUUCCAAUUGGAACAUACGAUCAAACUCAACAUGGUAAAAGGUGCUUUUAUUAAUUUAAUUGGGUGUAAGGAAUUUCUGUUGUGAUAAUAAUUUCCAAAACAAAAUAAUGGUUUAAAAGAUUAUAAAAAACAUUUAAGCUUAAUUAGUUAAGUUUCAACGCAUCACAUCUCAAAACACAGCGAAACUCAGAUCUUGAUCAAGCACCUGGAGUCGAGCAUGAACAGCAUCUGAAAAUUUGAUGGCAAUUCAUUUUCCGACCAUUUUGCCGGAGUGCGUAAAAGGACGUACCGUGUAAAUAUUAGCCUAAACUCGAAGCCAAUUCUUUUUAUUUUCAAACUUUAGCGCUAUGGAAACCUUUAAGGGAAAUCAAAGGAAAUGCCUUUUAACAACUGGAAGUCUCUAUUAACAGUACACAAGUCACACUCUCCAUCUUCCCCCUCCCUCCCUCCCUCCCUCCCUCCCCCUCAGCUCUCUGGAGAUAAAAAGAAUGCUUUUUAACAAAUUAAAUAACAGAGAGUGAGAGAACGAGCGGACGAGCGACCGAGCGGGGGCUCCUUUCCUCAAAUCCUAAAGCAUGCAAAUGCCGCUACCCAGAAAUCAGUGGCUCAUGACUGAUGGUAUAACUUUUAUGUACAACCGUUUGAUGGACAACUCCCUGUGAAGAUAGUUUGCAGCCAGCCUUCAGCUUUCAGCAUCAUAUCGAACUGUACAUGCAUAAAACAACGGAUGGAACAACCUGCCGCCGACAAACUGGUCUUCCCUUGGGACCAAAUUUUCAACCUGCUGAGAGGAAUACCCCAAGCAUCUGCCGGUGUAGGUAACAAGAUAUUUAGUAACAGUACGAUUUAACAAGCAAACUAAAAGCAACGGUGAUGAUAAAGAGAACAAAGAGUGUUCUGUAUUUUUCAGAAUUGGAAUAAUUAUAGGAUCACCUGUAGCCACUAACCUCAAUGUGCAGUUAACUGAACCAUUGAUCCAAGGUCCAGAUUUAUUGUCAGAAGUGGAUAUUCUCUGCUGCUAUCAAGAAUCCUUUGCCAUCAAUCUGCGUCAAACAUAUAUACCACCUGAGAUGCCAAAAGAGAACAUUCAGCAUCGUGAAUAAAAUCGGACUAACACGGAACUUGGUAACAUGAUGAACUACCAUCCAUGAAGUUCAUGAUUGUCUUUACCUAAAAAUCCAAACUAAACCAUGAAGAAAGAACCAAUUGUAGUUUGUCCAAGGACCUUGGAGCUUCGAUCAAGGCCAUGAGAAGCAACCUUCCAUGCAAAACAUAAACCAUUUACCAUAAAACUUAGAUCCAAAACAGGAAAUAGUUUCAAUUUGAAGUUUGGAACGUAUAAAUUAAGGAUUCUUCAAAAUGAACUUGCAGAUAAAGCUCAACACAUGCCCUUCACUUGAGAAAUUUCAACACAAGGUUUAGUUACAAAUCAUGGAUGGUGGGGGUAGGCAAGGGGCUCCAAGUGGAUGGUGGGGGUGAGGCAAAGGGCUCGAAGUGGAGGGUAGAAGGGAGCGUGAGAGAGGGGGCCAAACUCUUUUUUUCAGAUUUAUUUCUUAAAUGAGUAAUGAGGGUACAAUGGGAAUAACGAGAUUACCAUAAACUGUUGAGUGACAAUGGGUUUCUUCAACAUUUACUACAUUAAAGAAAACAUUAUGCAAAAUUAAGAACGUGGCAAAAGAUUCUCACCAAGUAAGUUAAAGCUGCAUAGCGUUCCUCGUUCAAGUACAGUGGCUUUCCUCUGUGCAUUUCAACAUCCUGCAAUAACAAAAUUUACAAUAUGAUACACAGAAAGCAUAAACCCCUAGAAAUCAAUGAAUGCACUAAAAGCACAAAUAAGAACAGGAGCGUCCACAAGUACUACUUCCAACAUCUUCGUCUUCCAUUUUACAUUUUCUUUUUGAGGGUUUUGGGCUGAUGGAAGAAUAAAACUGCAAAGCGACUUUUGCAUUUUAUUCAGAAAAACCGUAUGCAAUAAAAGGGGGAAAUUUCUUUUUUCUUUUUUAUUUUUUUUAUUUGACUUGGGGGUUGGAGAUUUGAGCUAAGCCACACAAUGGGCUAGCCAUAAUUAAGUAUUUCCCUUGGGAGUUGAACCUGAGACCUCCUACUUACAAGUGCAAAGGAAUACCAUUAAACAGCAGUUCAAGUGGCAGAAAAGGGGAAAUAUCUAAACUGCCUGAAAGGAGCUCCAUGAAAUGCAGUAUCAAACAUUCUUUUGCUUCAUUCUAUAGAUGUAAAACUCCAAACUGAAAGAGGAGAUAUGCAACUAUAGUGGGUGGAUGGCAUAAUGAGAACAUCCUCUAAAAACCGAUGCCCCAUUCCUCCUCUUGCCAAAGCAAUAAAAAUAAAAGGCAUUUCACAAGUAAGCCCUUGAAACCAUAAAGAUGAAUGACUUGCUAAAAAGUCCUAUAAUGCAAAAUAUCUCUAAGGACCCUAGGCUCAAACCUGUAUGACUUCCAGGAUCAGAGCAGCUAAUUUGUAAGAUGGAUAGACAAGGGUUCACUAGAAUAUGGUAUGAUUAUUUUGUCAUUUCAAAUUGUUUACAAGGGAAGAUGAUGAAAGAAAUAGAGGAAUACAAUAGCAGAAACCAAUUACCUCUUCUCCAAAAGCAUCCAAGUAGGGCGAUGGCCAAGGAGCUUGCCGUGCAGACCUCUGCAGCAGAAUUGUUGUCCUCUGGAUUCACAGCAAAAAAAAUUAAUCAUCUCCGCAAACAAGAAUAGACAUAGAAACAAAAUUAAAAGAUCUGAAAGGCAGGAUUCCAAACAUAAUUAUUAAAAAAAGGAACCACAAUGCAUACCCUGAUCAACAGAAAUACACCAGUACCAGAACCACAGGACACUGCAUGAGUUUGGCAUCCACUUUCCCUAAGAUAAAACAUCAAAUUUAGCAAUGAUGGAGCAAUGGGCAUAAACAUUCUCUAUUGAUGGAUGCACCUAAAUGGAUAAUUUAUCUGAUAAUAACGACAUAUAUUAGUGAAUACAUACCUGCAACAUGACUUCCAGCUUGGAGAACAUAAUCUCCCACAAAGCAAGCACAAUGCAGGGUCAUCAAGGAUAUUUUUGCAAUCAGGACAACGCUGUUUUAUGUACCUGCAAAAACAUAACCUUUCUGAGUAAAUUUUAAUUCUCGAGAGAUCCUUUUAAAAGACAAGAACUCCAGUAACAAACCAAGAAGCAAUUCAACUAACCUCUGCAAUAGGUCCUGGUAAACUUGGGGAAGACGCAUCAAUUGGAAGGGAACUGCAGGGAUACAGUGCAUGCUUCCCUGAAAUCUUUGGACUUCAAACUCCUUCCGAAAAUGAUGGAACCAUUUCUGAGUUAUUGAACGUACCACAUUAUCCUUAAAGAUAACAUCCAGAGAAGGAAUCUUUAACUUGCUUUCUAUUUCCUGAACAUCAUUUAGCUCCACUAGUGCGACAUAAGUGGUGUCCAUCAUGUCACCAAUAGCAUGAGAUCUAUCCAAGACAUUAUACCUUUCAUGGAAUGGUACUCGGGAACAGGAGUUCAAUAGCUUCAACAGCAAUGCACACCUCCGCAAAUAAGGGAAACUCAGGCUACGAACUAUGUUCUUGAUAUUAGGAGAAGAGCCAAUAUAAUUUGAAACAAAAAAUUGCUGAGUGGCUCCAGAUUCUUCCAUAAGUUUAGAGAGGUCAGUAACCAGGCAAUCAUCAAUACCUAAUCCACUAAUGUCACAUUGAUUUUUCCCACAAUAUGUCAUUAUGCCCUGCAUUCACCAUAAUGAAUUAGGCCACUAGAUGUUUUUAAUGCUACUUAAGAAUUAUGAGAAAAAAAAGAAAGAAGAAGAGGUGCCGCUAACAUACCUGAACUACAGAGACAACAUAAAAUAAGUGCACUAGGGACAACAAUGAAUCUUCACAUGAUAAAAAUCGGUAUGGAAGACAAAAAAGAACCCACAUCAAUGAUGAAAAAGGAUCGCGAGCAAGGACAGGAUCAGAAGCUCGCCUCCAGAACUGAAUAUCAGGAUACGAUACUGCCAGAUCAGCAUAUUCCAAGAUACGCAGCAUAGCACCUGUGAAACAUAGCAUUGAUGAGGAUUUAACCGAAUAAAGUAAAAUGCUUCAAAUUUUGGCAAGCAUAACACCUAAAAUUUUGCACAUGUGAAACUUGAAUGCUUAAUAGUUCUUUCGUGACUUCCAAUAGGGUCCAAGAAUUCAACCAGCCGCAGCAUUCUCCAUUAUACGAAUGAAUAGUGCUACUUAUCCCAGAUUUCUCUCAACUUUUUUUUUUCCCAAUCAGACAUGAUAUAUACACCACAUCAUUGCAUUAAGAAAUGCAGCAAUGUUUUAGAAUCCAAUGUGAGAAUGCCAUGUAAAAGGUUGGGGUCAACAGAGUAUUGAUCACCUAAAAAAUCACUUUAAUAAAUUCAUCCUUUGAAAGAAAAAACAACAACAACAACAACAAAGCCUUUUCCCACUAAGUGGGGUCGGCUAUAUGAAUCCUAGAACGCCAUUGCGCUCGGUUUUGUGUCAUGUCCUCCGUUCGAUCCAAGUACUCUAAGUCUUUUCUUAGAGUCUCUUCUAAAGUUUUCCUAGGUCUUCCUCUACCCCUUCGGCCCUGAACCUCUGUCCCGUAGUCACAUCUUCGAACCGGAGCGUCAGUCGGCCUUCUUUGCCCAUGUCCAAAUCACCGGAACCGAUUUUCUCUCAUCUUUCCUUCAAUUUCGGCUACUCCUACUUUACCUCGGAUAUCCUCAUGCCCAAUCUUAUCCUUUCUCGUGUGCCCACACAUCCCACGAAGCAUCCUCAUCUCCGCUACACCCAUUUUGUGUACGUGUUGAUGCUUCACCGUCCAACAUUCUGUGCCAUACAACAUCGUUGGCCUUAUUGUCGUCCUAUAAAAUUUUCCCUUGAGCUUCAGUGGCCUACGACGGUCACAUAAACACGCCGGAUGCACUCUUACACUUCAUCCGUCCAGGUCGUAUUCUAUGGUUGAGAUCUCCAUCUAAUUCUCCGUUCUCUUGCAAGAUAGAUCCUAGGCAGCAAAAACGGUCGCUUUUUGUGAUCUUCGCUAGAUUGCUCCGGUCAUUAGUGUGGAUAAGUAUAUAAAAUGAAUAGAGAUAGGAAAGCAAACACAAGAUGUACGUGGUUCACCCAGAUUGGCUACGUCCACGGAAUAGAAGAGUUCUCAUUAAUUGUGAAGGGUUUACACAAAGUACAUAGGUUCAAGCUCUCCUUUAGUGAGUACAAGUGAAUGAUUUAGUACAAAUGACAUUAGGAAAUAUUGUGAGAGAAUGAUCUCGUAAUCACGAAACUUCUAAGUAUCGGAGUGUGGUAUCGUCUUGACUUGCCUUAUCUGUCUCAUAGGUAGAUGUGGCAUCUUCUCUGGAAGUACUCUUCCUCCAUCCAGGGGUGGUAUCUUUAACUGGUGGAGAUGCACAAGGUAAUGUAUCAAUUUCACUUGAAGCUUACUUGUAGUUUCAGGCUUGGUCAAGCGCGAUACAAACCAUGUAGUAGGAGUCUCCCAAGUCGCCGAGCUAGGGGAUCUGCUGAAAGAGGUGACAGACAAGGUAAGCAAUCAGAGCUCCGGCUGAUUGUUCACCUUCUCCCCAUCUUGCAGCAGCAUGAAGGAUAAAGAGAAGAAAGAUGAGAAGAGAUGAUAUGGGAUACUUUUGCUUUUGAAGAAGUAACUUUCCACAGGCUUAUUCUUGAACUGAGCUGGAGGGUUUUCUGGUUUCCUCCAGAGCCGACUGAAGAAUUUGAGGGUCAAAACAAGUCCAUCAAAUCUAUAGUACGUUCGACCCUGCUGAUAUGGGAUACUUUUGCUUUUGACAGAGUAAUGGAUGUAUCGGCACGUGUGCUGUUACGCUUGUCUCCACAUGCUUCCUUGUAUCCUUCGCACUUGCCCUAUCUGUUCCUCAAGCAGAUGCGGUAUCUUCCCUGGAAACAUAAGAUGUUGAAGAUGAGUACUCGAGAGCAAUGCCAGGUAAGUAAUCAGGUAAGGGGUUCCAGGCAGUCAGUUCCUGGCUGGAAGCUUGAUUCCAAGUGCUGACUGAUUGCUCUCUUUCUCCUUGUCUUGCAGGGAACAACAAGGCCAAAGGAAAAGACAGGGAAAAAGCAUGAUAUGGGAUACUCUUGCUUUUAACCCUGAUGAUAUGAGAUAUUCUUGCUCUAGUAUAGCUUGUUUGCAAAGGUAUUAUCGGGGGGGAAAGAAAGCUGAAUAUUUCGAAAUGCUUCGUUGGGAGUGCCCUCUCAAAUAUGAGGAAGGGUUGAACAUUUUUGCAGGUCUGCCUGUCCGUUGGGGAUGGAGGUCGACAUAUAUAGGAGUCUCCCUAACAACAAGUAGUAAUGCUAUUCCUUUACCCUGCUUGGUCAUAGCACGGUAGUGGGAGCUGCCAGCUUCACAUGUUUUAACUCUGUCAGAGCACUUUGAAAAAGUGGUCUGUGCUCUCGAGAAGUCUUCGACAGAAUGCCCAUAAUUUCCGCAAAGCUGAGUGUGCGUGUGACAGGUGCUGACAAGGCUAGAAAAGUAGGUGCCUCUUCGAUUUCUGAGAUCGGCCCUCGUGGUCUCUGAGCAGCUCAGCUUUUGAGAAAGCGAGCGUCUCUUCGAUUGAUUCGGAGAACGAUGCAUCUUCGAUUUUUAAGAAAGCAAUCAUGAUGGGGGUCUGGCUCUCGAGAUUCGGGGAGCAGUGUCACUUCGAUUUUUGAGAAAGUAAUCAUGUUGGGAGUCUGGCUCUCGAGAUUCGGAGGGCGGUGCCUCUUCGAUUUUGGAGCAAGCAAUCUUGUUGGGAGUGUUUUUCUCGAAUGUGAGUAAAGGUUGGGCAUGUUUGCUAGUCUACCUUGCCACGAAGCACAGAUGUUGACACACAGGGAUUUUCCAAUUAUCCAGCAAUGGUACUGUUCCUUUACCCUCUCUUCGAUUUUUGAGAAAGUAAGUCAUGUUGGGAGUCUGGCUCUCGAGAUUCGGAGGACGGUGCCUCUUCGAUUUUGGAGCAAGCAAUCUUAUUGGUAGUGUUUUCUCGAGUGUGAGUAAAGGUUGGGCAUGUUUACUAGUCUACCUUGCCACGAAGCACAGAGGUUGACACACAGGGACUUUCCAAUUAUCCAGCAGUGGUACUGUUCCUUUACCCUUGUGGGUAAUAAUAUGGUAGCUAGACCUUCAAAAUUUAUGGGUCUAAACUUUGUUAGUGCUGUUUCUUUGCUAUUCUUUUACCUUUCUUGGUUAGAGCGAUGUAGUGGGAGCUGCAAGCUUUACGUGCUCAAUUUUGGCAGAGAACUUUGGCAAAGUUAUCUGUGGUACCCAUGAGCUAGUGUUGCGUGUGGGAAGUGGGUGAUUGAACAGUAAGGUUCAUGUGUUUUCUACUUCCUCAGAAGUCUUCGACAGAAUGCCCAUAAUUUCCGCAAAGCUGAGUGUGCGUGUGACAGGUGCUGACAAGGCUGGAAAAGUAGGUGCCUCUUCGAUUUCUGAGAUCGGCCCUCGUGGUCUCUGAGGAGCCCAGCUUUUGAGAAAGCGAGCGCCUCUUCGAUUUCUGAGAUCGGCCUUCGUGGUCUUUGAGCAGCCUAAUUUUUGAGAAAGCAAACGCCUUUUCGAUUUCUGAGAUCAACCCUCGUGGUCUCUAAGCAGCCCAGCUUUUGAGAAAGCAAACGCCUCUUCGAUUUCUGAGCAGGCGCCUCUUCGAUUUCUGAAGACCGUCGAGUGCAGAUUUUUAUAGGGGCUGGCAUUAAGUUCCAAAGCACACUUGAAUCUCCACCAGUAGAAGCUCCAUUCUUGCACUUCUAAGAUCUUGAUUUGUCCAACCUCUUCUCUCUUCAACACCUUUGAAAAUGUCUGGCCCCUCCGACCGUCGUUUUGACUUGAACCUUGUUGAAGAGGCAGCCCCGCCUUCUCCAGACAACAUAUGGCGCCCAUCCUUCGUCUCCCCUACUGGUCCUCUUACCGUUGGGGAUUCCGUGAUGAAGAAUGAUAUGACUGCUGCGGUGGUGGCCAGGAACCUUCUCACUCCCAAAGAUAACAGACUACUACUUUCCAAACGGUCUGAUGAGUUAGCUGUUAAGGAUUCGCUGGCUCUCAGUGUUCAGUGUGCAGGUUCUGUGUCUAAUAUGGCCCAACGCCUAUUUGCUCGAACCCGCCAAGUUGAAUCAUUGGCGGCUGAGGUGAUGAGUCUCAAACAGGAGAUUAGAGGGCUCAAGCAUGAGAAUAAACAGUUGCACCGGCUCGCACAUGACUAUGCUACAAACAUGAAGAGGAAGCUUGACCAGAUGAAGGAAACUGAUGGUCAGGUUUUACUUGAUCAUCAGAGAUUUGUAGGUUUUGUUCCAAAGGCAUUUAUUGCCUUCGUCUUCUGGGGCUGUACCGCGUAAUGAAGCUCCAAAUAAUCAACCUCUGAUGCCUCCUCCUUCUAGGGUUCUGUCCAGUACUGAGGUUCCGAAUGAUCCCCCUCCGGUGCCUUCUCUUUCUGGGGCUCUACCGACUGCUGAGACUUCUCCUAAGCAACCCUUGUGAAGGCUCCCUCUUGUUUGUUUAUUUUGACUCAUGUAUAUAUGUACACAUUUGUAGCUUAUCGGGGAUAUCAAUAAAUAAGUUUUUCCUUCAUUUCAACGUAUUGUGUUAAAUACACCAAAACCUUCUUCGCUAAGUUCUUUGAAUUUUCUUUUGUUGAAGCUUGUAUGUUGAAGCUUUCUGAGUGGAGCAUGUAGGUUGGGGUAGUGUUCCCUUAAUUUCCCGAGUGAGGAAAACUUCUCGAUUGGAGACUUGGAAAAUCCAAGUCACUGAGUGGGAUCGGCUAUAUGAAUCUUAGAACGCCAUUGUGCUCGGUCCUGUGUCAUGUCCUUCGUUAGAUCCAAGUACUCUAAGUCUUUUCUUAAAGUCUCUUCCAAAGUUUUCCUAGGUCUUCCUCUACCCCUUCAGCCCUGAACCUCUGUCCCAUAGUCGCAUCUUCUAAUCGGAGCGUCAGUAGGCCUUCGUUGCACAUGUCCAAACCACCGUAACCGAUUUUCUCUCAUCUUGCCUUCAAUUUCGGCUACUCCUACUUUACCCCGGAUAUCCUCAUUCUUAAUCUUAUCCUUUCUCGUGUGCCCACACAUCCAACGAAGCAUCCUCAUCUCCGCUACACCCAUUUUGUGUAUGUGUUGAUGCUUCACCGCCCAACAUUCUGUGCCAUACAGCAUCGCUGGCCUUAUUGCCGUCUUAUAAAAAUUUUCCCUUGAGCUUCAGUGGCAUACGGCGGUCACACAACACGCCGGAUGCACUCUUCCACUUCAUCCAUCCAGCUUGUAUUCUAUGGUUGAGAUCUCCAUCUAAUUCUCCGUUCUUUUGCAAGAUAGAUCCUAGGUAACGAAAACGGUCGCUCUUUGGUAUUUCUUGAUCUCCAAUCCUCACCCCUAACUCGUUUUUGGCCUCCAUUUGCACUGAACUUGCACUCCAUAUAUUCUGUCUUUGAUCGGCUUAGGCGAAGACCUUUAGAUUCCAACACUUCUCUCCAAAGGUUAAGCUUUGCAUUUACCCCUUCCUGAGUUUCAUCUAUCAACACUAUAUCGUCUGCGAAAAGCAUACACCAAGGAAUAUCAUCUUGAAUAUGUCCUGUUAACUCAUCCAUUACCAACGCAAAAAGGUAAGGACUUAAGGAUGAGCCUUGAUGUAAUCCUACAGUUAUGGGAAAGCUUUCGGUUUGUCCUUCAUGAGUUCUUACGGCAGUCUUUGCUCCUUCAUACAUAUCCUUUAUAGCUUGGAUAUAUGCUACUCGUACUCCUUUCUUCUCUAAAAUCCUCCAAAGAAUGUCUCUUGGGACCCUAUCAUACGCUUUUUCCAAAUCUAUAAAGACCAUGUGUAAAUCCUUUUUCCCAUCUCUAUAUCUUUCCAUCAAUCUUCGUAAGAGAUAGAUUGCCUCCAUGGUUGAGCGCCCUGGCAUGAACCCAAAUUGGUUGUCCGAAACCCGUGUCUCUUGCCUCAAUCUAUGCUCAAUGACUCUCUCCCAGAGCUUCAUUGUAUGACUCAUUAGCUUAAUACCCCUAUAGUUCAUGCAAUUUUGUACGUCACCCUUAUUCUUGUAGAUAGGCACCAAAGUGCUCGUUCGCCACUCAUUUGGCAUCUUCUUCGUUUUCAAAAUCCUAUUGAAAAGGUCAGUGAGCCAUGUUAUACCUGUCUCUCCCAAAACUUUCCACACUUCGAUUGGUAUAUCGUCUGGGCCUACUGCUUUUCUAUGCUUCAUCUUCUUCAAAGCUACAACCACUUCUUCCUUCCGGAUUCUACGAUAAAAAGAGUAGUUUCUACACUCUUCUGAGUUACUCAACUCCCCUAAAGAAGCACUCCUUUCAUGUCCUUCAUUGAAAAGAUUAUGAAAAUAACCUUUCCAUCUGUCUUUAACCGCGUUCUCUGUAGCAAGAACCUUUCCAUCCUCAUCCUUGAUGCACCUCACUUGGUUUAGGUCCUUUGUGCCUAUCCUCAUCUUUGAAAGAAAAAACAAGGAUGGAAAAUAACUCUUAAAUCUAACUGUCAUCUUACUGUAGGGAUGUUAAUUGUAAUUCUGAAUGGCAUCUGAUUAGUGAAUCAGAAAGCAAGAAACAAAUAUUCACAGAAAGUCACCAGAAACAUAUGAAAUAAAUGGCUUUUACUGGUAGCAAUAAGAAUACCUUGUCCACAUGUUUCAUUGCGAACGUCUAUGGAAACUCCAAAUAGAAUAGAUUCUGUAAAGCUUUGAAUUCCUAUAAAUCUCUGAAGGACAUGAAGAGAAUUCUUUCUUCUGCUUUGGACUAUUUUCAGCAACAAGGACAAAAUAAAUCUACUUGAUUCAAGUUCCUUAUACAACGCAUUAAGGCCAAAGCUUGGUGUUGCAUAUUUCCCAUCAGAACGAGCAGCAAUUUCUGUUGAUAGUAGAGUACUUAAUUGUGUCCCACAUAAGCAUUGGGUGGUUAACCCUGGCAGAUCCUGAUAUCUUAUCCUGUUUAGUUGGAAAAUACAUCUUACUGAGCAAUCGAAAAAUUGGUUCAAGGUCUGAGGUCGUUCUUCCACAUCUCUGAAGGGGGAAACCUUUAAGACUUCCAACCUUCCCAGAUGCCUCUGCUGCAGAUCGCAAGAGAGCCAACCCUUGUUGAAGCUGAAGAGAAUUAAUUUCGUCAACUGAUUUGACCGAUGGACCAGUAGCAUGCGAUGAAUUAACACCUGAAUGCACAGGCUCCUUGGUGACAUGGAGAAACCCUGGCAAUGCGGGCAAGACAGAAUUUGCAAGUCGACGGCAUACAGGGCAGAGAAACUCCCCCUAUGGGAAAAUGAACAAACAUGCACAAGGUUAGUAAUAGAAUCCUCAUCCAUUCACUACAGGCAAAAGUUGGAAAAAAAAUGCAGGGAAACCUUGUACCUUAUCCGGAUCUGCAAUAUGUCCCCCUUCAAAAACAAUUCUUCUGAGAUACCUGCAUGGACAAAUAAGAUGGGACAAGUUAGGCCAUUUUCAAUAAAAUAUCAAUAAUCUUCCAGAGCAACGUGUAUGAUAUAUCUUACUAUUUUUCGUUAGAUGUUGCAAUGCAUCAUAACUAUAAAAGCAGGAAAUUCAUUUUUUAGCAACCAUCGAUUUGGAAAACCACACCAUACCCCCUUGUAGAACAAAUAAAGAAACCAAAAAAAUAAAUAAAAACUGAAUGAAAAAUCAUCAAGGCAAGAUUAAAGGUUCACACAGGUCUUCCUAAAGAACAAGACAACUCCACUUGCAAGGUUAAAAGCAAGGCCAAAGAGAUUAAGAGAAAUGUAUUCUGAAACCGUCUUUUCCAAAGUUUCUGCUACUGGAUUGCCCUUCCAAGUUCAUUGCACAAGGUGUGACCACUCUCACUAGCAAUCAAUAAAACAACAGAGAAGGCACUCCCUCUUAACAAAUAUUUUAAUAGCAUUUGCAUUUGAAAAAAUACAACUUCCACUAUUCAUGCAAAUAAUUAAAAAAAAAAUUCCAUAAUUAAGAUUAAGAAGUGAUCAAGAAUUCCCAACCAAAAUUACUAAGGAUUGAAGAUUUCUCUUAUUGAGAGGAUUUACCUUUCCUUCAACGAAAAUAAAUAACGAUCAAGGCAUCCCUGAUGCACAGCAUGUCCACAGGAAGAAAGAUAAAUUCCAUCACAAUCUGUCAGGCCAAAUCCGUCACGCGCUGAAAGACGAGAAGAAUCUACUGGCACCCUUUCAUUAGGAGCACUUUCAGAAGAUGAAGGAAUCUCUGUUGCCUCUCUAGAAAGAGCAGCUAUAUAUGUUCCAAGUAACAUAAAUUCAGCAUGCUUAGUUUCUUCUUGAUCCCCUUCAGGAGUUGAAAAUCCCUUAUCCUCUAAAGGAUUAGAAUGAAGUAUCUUAUCACGCAUUUCCUUUUGGAUGGAGAUGUACAUAUCGUCUUCCAUUGUCUCAAAUGUAAAUAAAGUCUUCACCAUAUCAUCAUUUGAUUCACGUGGCACUUGGAUAUCAGCACUUAAUUCAUGGAACCGGCCCUUGAGAAAAUUUAUAAGAGCGGCAACAUCCCUAGGUUGUCCAUGAUAGGCAAAUUUGGUGAUUGCAUUCUGAACCAACUGUCUGCAAGAAUAAGAUGGCACCUGUUCUGGUCCUGAACCUCUUGAUAAAGUGCUUGAUCCAGAUUGAUCACUCACCUUGUUUGUGGUAAUAGAGAUGUGCUCCUUGUCUGUCCAAGGUGGUUGCUCCCAUGACCGGGGACCUCUUUCUAUGAAACUUAAGAGUCUAGAUUUCUGAAGUAAAACCAAGUAGGAUAUGGGAUUUCUGGAACUGGGAUCAUGACAAAGAGAGCAAACAACUUGUUCAGAUUCUUCCAAGUCAUCUUCAAUAUUGAGUUUACAAACCUCUUGCUCAGAUUUUGAACCCUCAUCCACAGUGGAAUUUACACUGGCCAUAAACUUAGAUUGUUCGGCUCUCAUUUUUUCCAAUAUGGCAGCCUGUCUCUCUCUAGCUUUUGCCUUGCGCUUCUCAGAGUAAGAAAUUGAACCUGAGGUCUUAGCAUCACCAUUUAAAGAAGAUUGUGAUACGUGACCAAUCACUUCAGGUGCAAGUUGUUGUAAUAUGGUCAUACAUCCGGAAUCAAUCUCUACAAACUUCUUUAAUAAGCUUCCAAUUAAAGAAGAGAGGUCGCAACUGCCAGCUUCCAAACAAUUGUUGACAUUCUCUUUCUUAUACAUCCUCAUCGAGAUAACAAGAAGUGACAGUAAGCUUUGUUGACCAGCACCAAAGUAUCGCCCUUCAGUAAUUUCUUCCCCAGCAAAAGCUAGCAUUGGAAUUGCAUCUCCAUCAUAACAAGACUUAUCACCAGCUUCCUUAUGUUGAGAACAAAUGUCUAAUGCUAAUGAGAGUAAGUGCAAUGCAGUUAAGAGAACACUAUCAGGAGCUCGUGAAUCAUUUGAUUUAUCAGAAAAAACAGCAUAAAACAGCACAGCACGGAUAAUUUGAAGCACUGAUUUACAAGUAGCUAUUCUAGCUACCCCUUUGAAAGGAGAAUAAAUCUUAGUCCAUCUGGGUAGCUGAGUGGUCAAUGCACAAACACCACGAAAACGCAAGUAUCUUUCUUCUGCAGCUUGCAGAUCCCUCGAGUUCCAACGAGAGUAGUACAAAUCCAGUUCUUUCCAAAAUGUCCAUUGUAGCGAAUAAGUCCCCUGAUUAAAGCCAGAGGGAUUGGAGUACACGGCAAUGGAUUCCAAAAUUCCAUGUAGCUGAUCAGACUUGGAGAGAUCACGAGGAAGAGAUUUCACCAAUUGACUAUGAGUGCCAUCUGCAAUGGCUAAUUUAUGAACCAACUCUCUUUUCAAACUUUCAGCUUUAGUUAGACCACAAAAUCGCCUUUCUUUGAUUAUUUGUAUAAUAAGAGUGAGCAUUUCUUGCACUAGAAUAGUUUCAUAUUCACUAGAGCGCUCAAGGUUCAAAGAAAGGUAGCUGGACAGGCCAAAGCGUUCUAUAAUUCUGUUAACAUAAGGAUCAGCUGGAGCUAAGGCAGCACAGCACUGAAGCAGAAACAGAUCAAGCUCCAAACCCUGUUCAGACCUGCAAAAUUAACCAUAUGAUAAAGAGACAAUCCUGAAAAUAAAAGGGGAAAAAAGAGUGAAAAGAAAAUCAAUCAUUACAAGAGAUACAUUUUCCCCCUAAAAUGCAUGCCACAGAUAAAGCAUAAAUCACUUACCAGCGAACUGAACGAUACCACUCACAAGGUAACAGGGCGGCAUCCCCAUUUUUCCGCCACAUUCCAGCAUGAACCUCAGCACAAAAUACUCUGAUCCGAAGGGGAUGCUCCAUAACAAAAGCAGAAAAUCCAUAUGGGUGGCAGCCUCCCAGAAUAUUUCCAAAGAAGUCAGUGAAAAUAGCUGAUGAUGAAUUUGCAGAAGUAACGCUAGCCAGAUCUGGCACUUCACCGAAACAUCUUCUUAAUGCUUUCUGUAAAAGCAAGGAAAGUAAACGGUGUAAAGGAAUGUGAACAGAUAUAUCCUGCGAACUAACAUCAUAUGUUAUGUCUGGCCAAUCAGACAAAUUCAGAACGCGUUGAGCAUCCAAGUCCAUGGCACCAUCUACUUCCAUAGCACUAUCAUCAAAUCCUGCAGGAUUGCAGACAUUAACUGAAUCAAUUUCGUCAGUAACCAUCAAUUUACUCUCCUGCCCUGCACUUUUGCCAUUUUGGGUGUCAAUACUCAUAUUGCAAUCACUAUGUCCAUGUGAUGAAUGCUGCUUGCCAUGAUCUUCACUUGAACUGCCAAGUCUACCAAAAAUAUAUUUUCCUUUCCUGAUCUUGGAUAAUGUUCUCUUCAAUGCUGAAAAAUUGCUAACAGAGAAAUUGCUAGUACUUGGAGAAGAGGCAUCAAGAAGAGUCCUGGAGGUAUUAUCAACUCCCAGCCAAUUCUUAAUUGCCCUCAAGCACUCAUAUGUUAGCCACAUCACAGAAGGUGGAAUCAACAAAUCAGAAAGAGCAUCCGAUUUAUCUUCAGAAACCUUCGACUCGCACGCAAAUGAACUACUACUCCCUACUGCACUGCAUGCAGAACUUUCCUGGGACAGCCAUCCUACUUCUGAAUGCCUUAGGCUAUCCAUGUCAUCCAUAUCCUGCUUAUAUGUUCUGAAAAGAGAGUCUUCAUCCAUCUUGUCAAUAGCCACAGAAAAUGCCCCAUCCACCAAUAAAGAAUGAAUGUUGGCAAUUGAAUGACCUAGAACAAAUGGCAGAUGCAUAUUCUCAUUUUCUUCUUCAAUGUGUAAGCCUGUUUCUCUUUUCUGUGGGUUCAUCCCUUGAAUGAAAGCCAAGAGUCGUGUCCAAGUUCUUGAAAUAUCUUGCUGGUCACGUGUUACGUAUUUGGGCACUGUAGCAUGGCUCAUAACAAAUCGAAUAUCUUCAAUCACACGAAAUGUGAUCUCAUACAAAUUUGACAACGUGGUAACCUAUAAGGGUAACCAACAAUUUUACUACAUGAGACCAAAACAAAUGAAAAAGUAGGAACUUUUAUAAAGCAAAAGAAAACGCAUCAGGUACUCAAUCACAAUAAAAAAAAGGUCGUACCCAGUGCACAAGGCUCCCGCUUUAAGCAGGGUCUGGGAGAGGUGAAUGUCGGCUAGUCUUACCCCCAUUUAUGGAGAGGCUGCUCCCAAGUCUCGAACCCGAGACCUACCGCUCAUGGGCGAAGGCACUUGCCAUCGCACCAGGUACUCAAUCACAAUGAACUAGAAAAACAAAAAAACGAAAACAAACAGAAAAAAAAAAAAAAACAAACAGAAUGAACUCCACAACCGGAGCAUAAAAAGUACCAUAGUUAGAACACCAUAUAAGCACGACAUGACUUUAGAUUAAAACAUAACUACACAAUCUAUAAGUUGGGUUAUCAAUUCCAUAAUGAAGGUGGCAAGGACAAGGAAGCAAUGUGCAGAGGAGUAACGAUCAUUUCGCAACCUAUAGAGAUAUAUUAUAUUAUUAUAUAAAUAAAAGGAGAUCAGUGAAACAUUCAAAAUACCAACAAUUGUCCACCCCUAGUUAGAUUUUCAAAAGAAAACAAUUUAAUUGGUGGUAAAUUAGUUAUCACAUUUGGAAGUAAAUAAAAAAUUCAGUAAAAACCAAUAUUUUAAAAGGCUUGCCUCAGAGCUCGCCUAGGCGCCCUCUAAGGCUGGGCUUGAGGGUUGUCGCCUCUGUUUUGAGGGAGUGGGCGUAAGGCUUCGCCAGAGCCGCCUAGGCGGCGGAAGGCACGCCUCAGGGCUUUUUUUUUUUUAAACUCCCAUACACAAAUUUUGGGUAGGGUUUUAACUGCCUCAUACCUCUUCCUUGCACUAUUGUCUCUCUGCCUUUUUUCUGAUUUUUAUUUUUAAUAUAAUGGAUGUGU
rnacentral:lncRNA from 1 species